UGGGGUCGCCUUUUUUUUUUUUCUCGCGAUCCAUCAAUUGCAAGCCUAUGCGCCUACUCUACUUAUCCGCCUGCUGCAUCUGCAUCUGCCAUGCAUGCUGUGCACUGCUAGUAGCUCGUGAUCGUGCUCGCUGGCUGCAAGCAUAGUAGAGUCCUAUAGCUCGGACACAACUCCAGCUAGCUUUACCGGUAUCGUCUCCGACCGUACGUGAGGUGAGGGGCACGUCCGUGCGACUGCAAGGGUGAAGAUCUACCCCACAUCCUCCCCACUUUGCUUUGCCAUCCGUUGCCCGGCAGGUGCACCAGCGUAGGUGUAUAGCAGCGUAGCCUUUUUCCUCGCUGUGGCCAGCUACAGCUUUAGCUCGAUCGAUCGGAUUCGCGAUCCGAUCGUGCAUGCAUGCAAUGCAAUGCAGUGCAGACUGGUGGUGCGUGGCUGCUGCAGCUGGCCUGCAGGUCAAGGCGCCGCUCCGCUCACGGGAGUGUCAUGCAUGGCAUGCAGCCCGGUGGUGGUCUCUCGUCGCCGUACCCGUCGCAUGCAGCUAGCAGCGGCCGAGUGAUGUGGGUGAGUGGUGUGAGACGUGAGUGAUGUGGGGAUCGAGAUCGAAAGCUGAUCUCGAUCGAUCGAUGCCCCGGCGGCCUGCUGGGCCCUGCCAGUUUGAUUCCGAUCUGGCGUCCGUGUCCCGCCGGCGAGUUCCUUCGUCUCCAUCUCGAGGUGGUCACUAGCUCAUAUAUUGCUCGCUAGUUGUUCCUCGUCCUCCUCAUCUCCUCAGAACUUGUUCAGUUUGCAAAAAAUUUUAAACUAAACAAGGCCUUAUCCGUCCUAAUGUCUUUAGCUAACUAGCUAGCUACUUGCAUGGAUCGGUGCGUACUGUAUGUAGGAUCAUGCUCGCGCGCGUAGUACGUAGACGCCUUGUCCCAUUCGAUGGCCGCAUCCAUCGAUCCCGUCUCGUCCCCCAACUUGGGCUCUGCCAGUGCCGGAGGCAGGGCACCACCACCACACCACGUACUCCCACUGUGAACCUCUGAAACAGGAUAACGAGCGAGACUCUCUCUCUCUCUCUCUCUCUGUAUGCGAGGGUAAAUGAGUAAUUUUGGCACGGCGCAGAGAUCACCCCGGCGGCCCUUGCUCGGUCUCGGUCGGUCUCAUGCACUUGCAUGCUGGUCUUCUUGUUUCCAAAAAUGCGGUCUACUACAGCUGUUGCUCCCAAACUGGUCUUCUUUGAGUUCUUUCUCGCACCCCGGCCGGCCCUUUCUCGUUUGCGUCUUUUUGGGCUGACGCUGUCCCUUUUCGAACCUCGAGUCCCCCUAAACAAAAUCUCUCUCUCCCUCCCUCUUCACGCUUCUCCCAAACUGUAAUAUUUUUGAUUGAGAUGCAUCCGUUUCCGUUUCAUCAUUAGUUUAAUUUAAUUAACGGCGAUCAGAGAGAGAGAGAGAGAGAUGAGUGGGCGAGGCCCAUGCUUCGCUUUGUCCGCUAAUGGUCCGGCCCCUCACCUCACCUCACCUCACCGUCGUGGGCUCGUGGCGUCGUCUAUCUCGGUCUCCUCUCCACUCUCCCUUUUUAUUUCCACCCCGCGGCCACUCGCACGCUUCUCCCUGGCCUCCUCCCUCCCUCGUUUUUCCCUCUCUUAUUCAAAAACUCACCACCGCUACUCUAACCGCCGCCGUGUCCUCUCCCUCGGCCAGGCCAACCAGGCCACCAGCUAGCUGCUGCCAGGUCCGUCCGGCGAUGGGCAAGGCGGCGCGCUGGUUCCGCAGCUUCCUGGGCGGCAAGAAGGAGCAGCAGGCCACCAAAGAUCACCGGCGGCGCCAGCAGCAGCAGCAGCAGGACCAGCCUCCUCCUCCUCCGCCUCCGCCGGCCACCACCGCCAAGCGCUGGAGCUUCGGCAAGUCGUCGCGGGACUCGGCCGAGGCGGCCGCGGCCGUCGUCUCGGCCGGCGCGGGCAACGCGGCGAUCGCGCGCGCCGCGGAGGCCGCCUGGCUCAGGUCCGCCGCGUGCGCCGAGACGGACCGCGAGCGGGAGCAGAGCAAGCACGCCAUCGCCGUGGCCGCCGCCACCGCCGCCGCGGCCGACGCGGCGGUCGCCGCGGCGCAGGCGGCCGUCGCCGUCGUCCGACUCACAAACAAGGGACGCGCGCCGCCCGGCGUCCUCGCCACCGCUGGAGGAGGACGCGCCGCCGCCGCCGCCGUCAGGAUCCAGACGGCGUUCCGAGGAUUCUUGGUAAUGGUCAAUCAUCCGCAGCAACUUUUUUUUUCCUCUCUCUCUCUCUCUCUCUCUCUCUCUCUCCUUAUCCACACCCUGUGAUCCAAUGGAAUCCAACAGUGUCGCUGCCCUGCUGCCUCGCCAUGUUCGUGCAUUCGUACGGGGCGGCUGCGGCUGCUUCUGCUCUGUUUUGUUCUUGCUGUAAUCGCUGCUGCGUCUCUGCGUGCGCAGGCGAAGAAGGCGUUGCGCGCGCUCAAGGCGCUCGUGAAGCUGCAGGCGCUGGUGCGCGGCUACCUCGUGCGCAGGCAGGCGGCCGCCACGCUGCAGAGCAUGCAGGCGCUCGUCCGCGCGCAGGCCGCCGUGCGCGCCAGGCGCGCCGCCGCCGCCGCGCUCUCGCAGUCGCACCUCCACCACCACCACCACCCGCCGCCCGUCCGUCCGCGCUACUCGCUGGUACAGACGACGACGGACCACGCCUUCCAUUCACUACUCGUUCGUUCGUUCGUUCGUUCGUUCGUUCGUACGUUCAUGCUUACACUCUACUGUUUCUUGACGCGCGUCCGACUCCGGCGUGCAGCAAGAGCGGUACGCGGACGACACGCGGAGCGAGCACGGGGUGGCGGCGUACAGCAGCCGGCGGCUGUCGGCGAGCGUCGAGUCCUCGUCGUACGGCGGCUACGACCGGAGCCCCAAGAUCGUGGAGGUGGACCCGGGCCGCCCCAAGUCGCGCUCGUCGUCCUCGCGCCGGGCCAGCUCACCGCUGCUCGACGCCGCCGGCGGCAGCAGCGGCGGCGAGGACUGGUGCGCCGCCAACCCCGCGUCGUCGUCGCCGCUGCCGUGCUACCUGUCCGCCGCCGGCGGACCGCCGCGCAUCGCCGUGCCGACCUCGCGCCAGUUCCCGGACUACGACUGGUGCGCGCUCGAGAAGGCCCGCCCGGCCACGGCGCAGAGCACGCCGCGGUACCUGCUGCCGGCCACCCCGACGAAGUCCGUCGCGGGAAACUCGCCGUCGCUGCACGGGUGCCCGAACUACAUGUCGAGCACGCAGGCGUCGGAGGCCAAGGUGCGGUCCCAGAGCGCGCCCAAGCAGCGGCCCGAGCUCGCCUGCUGCGCCGGCGGCGGCGGCGGGGGAGCGCGGAAGCGGGUGCCGCUCAGCGAGGUGGUGGUCGUGGAGUCGUCCCGCGCCAGCCUGAGCGGCGUCGUGGGCAUGCAGCGCGGGUGCGGCGGCGCCCGGGCGCAGGAGGCGUUCAGCUUCAGGGCAGCCGUCGUUGGCCGCAUGGACCGCUCGUUGGAGGUUGCCGGUAUCGAGAACGACCGGCAGGCGUUCUUGCAGAGGAGGUGGUGACUGGUGACCACCGAUCAGCAAGCUCCAUUGGAAAUGCCAACAAGACGACGAGAGCUUUGGAGGAGUAAUUAGCAAUAAGAAUGCGUUUUCAUGUGUUCUUGCGAGUUCUCGUCCUUUUUUUUUUCUUUUUCUUGGUUUUGUUUUUGCAAUGUGAUCAAUCAUGCGACUAGUGUUUUUUUUCCUUUUUCUUUUCUUUUAUCAGUGGCCAACAAAGUGUAUGAGGAAAAUUUGAUUCAUACUGCACUUGGCAUGUAAAUUCUUGAUCUUAUUAUUCAUGCUGUUCUUGAAUUGUGUUUUUAAUGCCUUUCUUUGCUGGUUCAGAGCAUUAAGUGAACUGUUUCUGCAAUUGUGGAUGCACCCAGUUAAUACAAUCAGCAAAGCUAGUAGUGGAUACCAAUCUUAGGGCACUCACCAUGAAUGAAGAAACUGUAAAUUCACCUAGACAAACAACCCGUACAGUCCAGUUCCUACCUCAGUAAACUAUGUGUCCUAUGGCAUUCCGUAAACUUGUUAUCUAGAUUAAGGCCGUGUUUAGUUUCCAAAGAAUUUUCCAAAAUUUUUCAGAUUCCCCAUCAUAUCGAAUCUUUAGACGCAUGCAUGAAGUAUUUAAUAUAGAUGAAAAUUAAAAUUAAUUGCAUAGUUUGGUCGGAAUUAACGAGACAAAUCUUUUGAGCCUAGUUAGUCCAUGAUUGGACAAUAUUUGUCAAAUACAAACAAAAAUGCUACAUUGUCGAUUUUGCAAAAAAUUUAGGAACUAAACAAGGCCUAAAACUUCUCUCGAGUUUUCAGGCAGGUCUAAAUCAGCCCAAGUGCCCUACUGCCUAUGCCACCACCAAGCGUGGCUUGUGGUGCACGGCUAGAUAUCGUUUUUGUUUGUAGCAUUGAACAGCACUUGUGCUUGCUAAUCUUAUUUGAAAGAUGAGUGUUAUCAGUGCGGGGUCCAUGAAUUUGAGAGAUCUGUACCGUGCAAAAACGUUUAAACAUAAAAAAGUAGAAAAAGCAUAGCAGACAUUUUUUUUUGCCCUUGAAGAUACGUGCUCCCAACAUGCCGACCAUUAGAUUCAUAUUGAGAAGUACACACAUCUCAAUGCACUCACCGCCAAGCUCUAUCGAAGCUCUUUUUUUUCAAACACGUAGUAGCAUACUUUGUGUACAACUAUAGGCAUGUUUGGAACCCAGAGUUAAAAAAUAGCCCUCUUUGCGGGAAUGGAUUAAAAAUUAAUUAAUUAUGGGCUAAAGGAUUUUAACCACUAAUUAAUCCUCAUGGGCUCUGUCAAACGAGGCUUUAGGCUUUCUAAUUGGCAAACAAAAACAUAGGCUAGCUUCGGGUCCGAACACCCUGUAAGGGGCUAUAAUCUCUUAUACAACACGUCUUGGAAUGAAACUUUAGAGAACUCCUAAGAGAAAAAUUGAUCUCGCUUUUUUUUCGAAAAUCACGCUUGAGCGUGUACCGCUUUAAGGGAAAAAGGAGUUCAAUACAAAGCUAGGGGUGCCAGCGGCGAGAUGCCUCGAGCCGCCCCUAACCGAGAAGCACAGACACAAGGCACCGGAUAGAACGGUGGAACUUCGAGUGAUGUACUAGGGGGCACACGGCUUUGCGACUGGAGUUAGAAACCCCCGGGCUACUCCUCGUACUAUAUCCCAACGAACAGGGCCGCAAGCUUGUUGAAGCCCGCUCCGAUCCACUCCUCCCCUUCGUCUUUGAUGCGCUGCAAUAGCUGACUUAGGCUUAGGCAGUUGCCGUCGAAGGUUCGUCGGUUCCGCUCUUUCCAGACUUCCCACGAGACGAGAAGCACCAGGGAGUCGAAGCCACCGCGUCGGCUAGCAGCCACCCUCAGCCUCGUGUCCAUCCACCAAACGACGAUGCUCAUAUUGGAGACAUAGGGGUAUAAUCAAAUGGGCAAAGCUUGGGGGAUGCUGGUACAGAGUUUUUCCAUGCCAAUGCAAACCUUUAAGCACAGGAAAAACUUAAGAGAAAAUUAGUUCCUUAGUCCUAAAAAGUUGUUUCCUUUUUUUUGGCCCUCUUUGUUUUGAAUUUUCCUAUUUGGCCGUAAAAUGAAAUUCGUUUUUUUUUCAUAGCCCUUCCGUUAGUUUGAGGCUCUAACAACGUUCAGUUGCACACAAAAGUACCCUUUUACCCCUAGCGCUGAAGGGUGACAUGCAUGUUGUACGCAACGUCGUCGCUGGGGCAGAUGGCCACCACCUUCAUCAUGCACACGAGGCUGGGUGGGCGGUUUAAGGUGCUGUUGUGGUGCGUCGACGACACCAUCAUCCCAGCGGUCCACAGUGGUGCUGGCCCUAGGGACGCCGCACUCAGUGGCUCCACGCCAUCCACUGCGGGAGCAGGCCGAUGAGCAUCACGUGGCAGAAACUUUCUUCACAUCCAAUAGAAGUCAUAUGUUGUUGUCCGAGAGUUUCAUAGUAAUUUUGGAUCUUGUUUAGUUUUCAAAAAAUUUUGUAAAUUUUUUCAUAUUCUCUGUCACAUCGAUUCUUACAUCAGAUGCAUGAACACUAAAUAUAGAUAAAAAAUAAUUGAUUGCACAGUUUAUCUAUAAUUUACGUAAUGAAUCUUUUGAGUGUAGGUAGUCUAUGAUUGGACAAUAGUUGUCAAAUACAAACGAAAGUGGUACAAUGUCCAUUUCUGCAAAAUAAAAUGUAAAAAUUACAUAAAAAUGUAUUUCAGCUCAUAUAGUCAAUUGAACCAUAUGCCAUGAGAAAGAUUAACAAUUGAUUUGUUUUGCACGGUCAAAACGAGGUUCUAUCUCCAUACUAUCACUAAUCAAGUCUAAUAAUACCAAAAAGUUGUUGAAAAAAAACUAAAAAAUUGAAUGUAAGCAUAUCUUGUGUGUAUAUGUUUGCCAUUUUUUUUUUCAAACGAUGUUAAUAAAGGGGGCAUAUAUAUCGUUCAUAAAAUGGAUACACCUUAUGCAACAAAGAUCACAAAGUAGACAGCAUGCAACUAUGAAUAAAAUGUACUACAAUUUCAUAGCAUUUUUCUAUUAUUUAUUGAAAACUUAUAACAUAUCUUUAUAUAUAUAUAUAUUUUUCAUAAGAAACAAGGAUUAAAUAAAAAUUCUUCCGGUCAAGAACAAUCUCGCAACCACAAAAGAACUCUGAAGCGCCCCAAGAACCAAUUGGAGAACCUAUGCAAUAAUGUACGUCUUGGAGAGUUGGAGCGCUCUUAAUUAGCGUGCCCAAGGUUCAACAUGGACUUAUCGUCAUGAAAAACUAAAGACUGGUGAUGGCAACCGAACUCACUGGUGAUUUGAGCCCUUUACAUCCGUACCUACAAUUCUAGAGCACUGGCCUUGUUUACUUCCACCCAAAAUCCAAAAACAUUUCAAGAUUUUCCGUCACAUCGAAUCUUUAGACGCAUGCAUGGAGUAUUAAAUAUAAACGAAAAUAAAACUAAUUUCAUAGUUUGGUCGAAAUUUAUGAGACGAAUCUUUUGAGCCUAGUAGUCUAUAAUUAGAAAAAUAAUUACCACAAACAAACGAAAGUAAUAUAGUGUCUCGAAAACAUUUCGGGAAGAAACUAAACAAGGCCUAGCUAGGGUAGUAAAACUGAAAAUCCUAUGGAUUUGAUCGUGAAUGAUUGUUUCAGUAUUUAUUUAUAGGCUAGUACUACGUAUGUAGCGGCUACGGCACUGGCUUUUGUGCUACUACUACAGAUGCGUUCAAAACCUAAUGAGACAACCCGUUCUGGCCCAGCCUAGCUUGUGAAAGAACACGGGAAACUGCAACAAAUUCGAUGCACAAGACAUGGAGCUGCAAACGAACUCGAUUUCAGAUUUGAACCGCGGCGGUGUGAGUCGUCUCGUCACGUCCCCGUGGCGGGCGACAGGUAGGAUUUGAGAGGUGCCGCCGGAACGCGACGCGGCAGGGCACGGCAGGGCAUGUGGCUUGGCUGCCGACCUGGAGCCGGGAGGCGCGGGCAGGCAGGCUCGACUGGGAUCCCCUAGCCCAGCACGUGAGGGCGGGGCGAGCGCGUGGGCCGCGCCCCCUGUCGGGAGGGGGAGUAACGGGACCCUGUUGUGCAGGUGGUGGUGCUGCACUGCUCGCUGCAUGCUUUCAGUUGCCGAUACUGUUUGUGACGUCACAAGUGGCGUUCUCAUCGACUGUUCGUACACCUGUCUUUCGCACACCUGUUAAGACACAACACAAUGUGCGCUGCAUGCCGGGUUGUGAUGAGUACUGUAUCUCUUAACAAUGGAGUACUCUUUGUAGUAAGCAGUGACAGCAAAACUUGCUAAUCUGUAUAUAAUGUACAUCCAUAAACCGGAGACUUUAUAAGGGUAUCACUCAUCUAGGUCGAAAUUAGUGUCAACGUAUGACACUAAUUUCAUAGAUCAGCGAACGGUAUUUUCGUCAUUUUAGACGAAUAAGCUUAACAACAUAUUUUAGAAUCUGUUUGGAUUUUAAUCUCUAAAUUUUAGAGCUAAAACUCCAAACAUGUAGCCUGAAGUUAGCUCUAAAACUUUAGCUCACCUCACGUUAGAGCUUUAGACCUAAAAGUGAUCUAAAUUAAAGUGCUCUAAGAGCUCUAAACUUUAGAGGUGGGAAUCCAAACAGUAAACUGUGGUGAUAUACAACAAUGCCAUUUGGUCGUUUGCUACAACUUCCCGAUCUGGAUGCAAUGCAAGUUACAACAAUGCCAUUUGGUCGUUUGCCACAAUUUUCCCGAUGUGGAUGCAAUGCAAGUUCAUGCAUGCAUAUGUCCGCAAAGCCAUUGCAACUUGCAUCCAUCGUCAGAAAUUCAGAACAUCACCCGAUCGAUCGCAAGUGGAUCUACUCUGCCCGCCCGUGAGGCCGUGGGUCACACACACACACACCACACAGCACGAUCCAGUAUGAAGAACACCACACAGAGCACAAGACCAGAAGACCACCACACCCGGUGCCUGACCUGACCUGACCUGACCUGACCUGACUGCCUGCCGAUGAAGACACCACGAGGGAGCCUCACCCUGACGAGAGACUGCAACCGUCCAUUCGUUCAGUUCAUUCUCGGCCUAUCCGACUAUCCGUCAAUCAGUUCAUGCGUGCAUGGCGACUUUCUUCUCAGCAAAUGAUUAGCUAGGUUCUGAUUUGAUAUUGCUAGCAUCGGACUCACACCCCAUGGGUGACCGUGCUCCGUGCACUUUAUGCUGCAUGCAUUAGAGGGAGUACUGCUUUUUUUUUCUUCUUAACAUUCUUAUCCUUUCUCUCUUGAUUUUUGCUUUUUUUCCCUGCACGUUUACAUCGCCGAUUGGUUUCAGAGGAUGCUUGGUAUGGCAUCUAAAGUGUGUUACAUCAAAUGUUAUAUGAGGUGGUCUAUGGGAUAUUCGGAUAUUAAUAGAAAAAUAAAUUACAGAUUCCAUCAAUACUCUGUGAAACGAAUUUAUUAAGUCUAAUUAAUUUACCAUUACCGCAUAUGUUACUGUAGUAAUUAGUGUCUACAUAUGACAAAUUAGUCUAGCUAUAUUUUCUAGUUUCAUAAAUAAUUUAUAUUUAAUAUUUUCAUAUAUGUAUCCAAACACCCGAUGUAAUAGGGACUAAAGUUUAACAGCAUUAAUCAAACUGGGCCUUAUUGCCGCGCUGCAGAGCCAUCCCCUCUAGUUGCGAGACGAAUCUUUUGAACCUAAUUAGUCCGUGAUUAAACAAUAUUUAUUAAAUAUAAACCAAAAUGCUACGGUGUCCAUUUUGUAAUUUUUUUACUAAACAAGGCCCAGCCUAGGCACGCUGGCGCGGUUGUUAUCGGCUGGCAGAAGCCAAUGUGGCGAUAUCCCAGCACCUAGCAGGCAAGGCAUCUACGCAAACAGCGCUGGGGAAUUGAAGUCAAAUGCAUGCACUACUGGAGCUGUUAAUCACUUAAUCUGUGUAAGGGAAGGAGUACGAGCUCAUCAGUAAUCCAUGUCUUAUCUAGAUUCUAGAGUUUGUGAAGUGGUUAAGCAUGGGCUUCGACCCUUGUUGGCUAGACAGACAGCUGCACUGCACAUGGAGGCGGUGGUUCGAUCGGCUCACCUCUCGAGCUCAACUACGACCUGACCAAACCCCGUCCGAGGCAGCCGCAGCCCUGACCGCCUGACCAGUGACCACAAUCGCAUCGCACCCAAGAGAUGAUUUCACCGAAUUCCAUGCACGACUAGGGCCUUGUUUAGUUCCGAAAAGUGAAAAAAUUUCGGUACUGUAGCACUUUCGUUUGUUUAUGACAAAUAUUAUCCAAUCAUAGAUUAACUAGGAUCAAAAGAUUCGUCUCGUGAUUUACAGCUAAACUGUGUAAUUAGUUUUUGUUUUCGUCUAUAUUUAAUGUUUCAUGCAUGUGUCACAAGAUUCGAUGUGACGGGGAAUCUCGAAAACUUUUUAGUUUUCAGGGUGAACUAAACAAGGCCUAGGGCAAAAUUCGCUGAAUUCGAGCGAUUUGUGCGUGGACAGUGUGUGGCUAGUAGUGCUGUAGUGGACCGGAAGCACAGAGUAACUAAUCCACAGGGCACUCUCCAUCUCCAUCCGGUGCAGCUAGCUAGCGUUAUAUAUGUUCAUCAUCCAUUACCAAGCUUUACUUUGGUACCGUACGUGAAGUGCAGCUACGAUUUGCAUGGAUCUGGAGGACACAGGGCACCGUUAUUACCUGGGAUUGGGGAUUUGGGGAAGAUGACCUUCCUUAUCCACUCGAUCACUGCCCUUGACUGUGACCUUAUCUGUCACCUCACCCUGCCUUCUUCUUUUAAUCCUGUGGCAUGGAUUGUGGGUACAUGUAUUGUACGUAUUACUUUCUCCUCCCAAAAAUAGAUUUCCUGAGGAAUUGAAUCUAAUGCUAUCUAUUUAGUACAAUAAAUAUUACUAUUUUUAACAUGAGCUUGAACAAACUCAACAGAAUAUAACAUAUCACACUUAUUCUAGAAUUGUAUUCUUUUUAUUUAGGACGGAGGCAGUAUAAUAUAGCCACACCUCAUCAUACACACACGCCUGCUGCACCGAGUAGUACGUAGCACAACUGCUUUGCACUACUCGAGAGCUUCAAAUUUCGAAACCCCAACAGGAUCUAUCGGAGACAUAUGGGAUCCCGCCUACAAUGCCGACCUUGUUUGUUAGUGUCGAUCAAGAAUUCAAGAUGCAGGCAUGUCGAUCCGUCACCAUGCAUCCAUGUCUCUCUAUCUAACACUGUCAAUUUUGUUUCCAUCCAGCAAUUUGCUUCCGGCCUCAUCACUUGCCUGUGGCCUGGUCAGUGAUCAGAGUAAAACCAAACAGUGCUGCUCCUACUACCAUAUCACUAAACUAGCAAUAGUGGUGUGCCGUGCAUUUGUUUACCACUUGGUAAGUACAAAGCAGGUGACAACUGCUCCGUUUACCACUGAAUCUUUUCAAAUCGUACAGACUGAUGCAUGAUCUGCUGUCUUAGCUUGCUGGUUUGUAGUAUUUGUUGGUACCUAAUUAAGCUACAUGUACUUUUGACCUUCUUAAACUGACAUACUCCUACAUAUGUUAAAUCAAAGGUUAGUGAGUGCACUGUACUUUUAUAACAUAUCGCCCAUGUUUUCUAUUGCUAGGCAGUAGCUAGCUUCUCAACCGUUGAGAAAUAGCCCUAAUAUUGUACUCGUAUCUACAGUAUAGUGUUUUCAGAAGUGGUACAUCUAUGCCUGUUUAUUUAUUUAUUAUUUAAAAAAAGAGCUCUGCAGCUAGCAGAUGCAACCACACUGACAUGACGUGAUAGUGGCGGAUUUGUUCUUGCCUUGUUUAGUUCACCCCGAUUUCCCGUCACAUCGAAUCUCUCGGCACAUGUAUGAAGCACUAAAUAUAGAUGAAAACAAAAAUUAAUUACACAGUUUGUCUGUAAAUCGCGAGACGAUUCUUUAGAUACUAGUUAGUUCAUGAUUGGACAAUAUUUGUCAAAUAAAAACAAAAGUGCUACAGUAGCGAAAUCCGAAUUUUUUUCAGAACUAAACGAGCAAAUUGAAUGGGCAAGUCUUCCGGCGGGCCAGGGAUGAUCAAUGUUGGAUGAUGAAUUAAUAAUAAAUAAGCAUAUAGUACUAGCUAUUUACUCUUCCUAAUCCUGGAAUCUUGCAACUGAUGCUACUCAUUAUUGUUUUCCAGAUGUAUUUACUAAAUAUAUCAUGUCGCAAAUUAAAUCAGUUUGCUUGCGAAAAGCCUGGCGGAGAUGCUAAAAUCAGUUUCCUAUAGUACGUCUCCGAAGAUGCUCUAUUUGAGCUCAAAUGCAAUGCAGAAAGCAUACUGCGGAGCUAGACGACGACCAGCUUUCAGUGUGGGAGACAACACUGAAACUGAUGAUGAUGCGGUCGUACGUGUACGUACAGUGUACUAUACUGCAGCUGCACGAACUUUCAUGGCAAUGUGCGGGUAUUGCUUGCUAUUUCAGAGAAAUGGUCUUUUUCUCGCCCACACAUCCACGUCACAUCCUUCCGGGAAAUAGUGCAGUUCUUGAAGCAAUUUUCUCCGAAGGGGUUUUGUUUACUUACAUCUGAAAUUUAAAAACUUUUCAAAACUUUUCGCCAUAUCGAAUCUUGCGACACAUGUAUACAGAUAAAAAACUAAGGUCUUGUUUAGUUCACCCCAAAAACCAAAAACUUUUUAAAAUUUCUCGUCACAUCGAAUCUUGCGGCACAUGCAUGAUGCAUUAAAUAUAGAUGGAAACAAAAACUAAUUACACAGUCCGUUUGUAAAUCACGAGACGAAUCUUUUAAGCCUAGUAGCUCUGUGAUUGAACAAUGUUUGUUAAAUAAAAACGAAAGUGCUACAGUGUUAGAAUCCAAAAAAUUUUCGGAUGUAAACAAGGCCUAACUAAUUGCAUAGUUUGCUCGUGAUUUGAGAGAUGAAUCUUUUGAGCCCAGUAAAUCCAUAGUUGAUCAAUAAUUACCAAAUACAAACAAAAGUGCUAUAUUAUUCGAAAUUUUUUCACGAACGGAACUAAACAAGGGCUAAAUAUACUCCACGUGCGUAGGUGGAGUCCUUGACGCAUAUAACCACAAUAAUAAAAGCUUACAAACAAAAAUAGACAGCAAGCACAUUGCAAGGGCUAAGUUUCGGUUUCAACCUAUAUAGGAGCCAAGACUAACAUAACACUUCUUCAAUUUCUCAAUGACCAAGACCACAAACAUCCCCAUGAUUGGAGAAUGAAGCCUUAUACAUAGGAAAUUAAUAUCUGUUCCCAAAACUCAACAAUUACUACAUACAAGAUUAGCAUGGAAAACAAUGAAGAAGUAGAUCUUUUAGCUAGACAGGCUUUGGCCCUUAAACAUUAAUCAACCUCUUCAGGCUUCUUGCUCAAAUGUAGCACAUGAGUCUUAGUGCCCUGUUCUUCAGGCUCUGAUCAAUGUAACCUUACCCUUUGUGCGGUUACUCACAUCUUCAUGUUGUUCAUGAAUGAAAUUUUGGUUCCUCCUAAACAACCCUAUAUAGGAGCUAGAGCCGGUGAAACUGCUAUUUGUUUUUGUUUCACCUAUUUCUAGUUUAUUAUAGAGACAGGAUAUACUGUACAAAUGACGUGAGGCUUACCAUGGCAUUUUUUAGCCUAGCCUAGGCACGACACUGUGCGAUAUCGUCAUGUGAUGAAGGGGCAGAGCCAGAGGUAACUAUGAGAGGGGCAAGUACUAAGGCCUUGUUUAGUUCUUUAUAAAUUUUGCAAAAUUUUUUAGAUUCUCCGCCAAAUCAAAUCGUGUGGCACAUGCAUGGAGCUUUAAAUAUAGAUUAAAAAACUAACUAAUUACACAAUUUGUCUGUAAUUUGCGGGACGAAUCUUUUGAGCCUAAUUAGUCCAUGAUGGGACAAUAUUUGUCAAAUACAAACGAAAGUGCUACAAUGUCUAUUUCGCAAAAUUUUUUGCAAGUAAACAAGGCCUAAUUGAUGGUUUAUUGGAGGGACAAAUAUAAAAAAAAUUCUUCAAAUAUAUGGUGGAAUUUUGUGUACACAAUAUAAGUUCACCCAACAUAGUGGGUGUCUGCCCCCCCCUCAGCCCCAUCCCUCCACCCCUGAUGUGAUGUGCUUAUGUUGGCCCUUGGCACAUCAGACAACAUGCGACACGACCCGCUAAACAACAUGAGCUCAGAGCCAAGCCUCUUAACACCCCUCUCACCCCUUACUCAAAUAUACAUGAGUCACAUGCCUACAACUAUACCCCUAGUAGCUGCUCCUCUCCCGGUCAUUGUCUCCUCCCUUAACUACCGUCUGCUAUCUACUCCCUAUGUUGUUGCAGACAAUAUUCCAACCUGACCAAUUAAAAUAAUAAUAAUAAAGACUAUAGAUGAUAUGUCCAUACCUGAUAUAGACCUUGUGAGUGUUGCAAUCGCACCUACUGGCUUGCUGAUUGCUCUCUGAUGCGUACUUCCACAUGCCGUUCAACCACAACAUGCAAAACCGCACACGUCUUCAUUCGAUGUUGCAACCAUCAUUGACCGAUCACCACGAGUUUGCAAGUCGCACAACGAUUGAGUCACCCAAGCCAAGGCCACCUAAAAAGUUAUGGUAGAAAAGUUUCACCGACUUCUACAAAAUCUUUCAUUGCUCGGAUAACUACAUCUAUUGAACAAUUAACUUAGCUGGUGAUACCAAAUUCUCCAGUGACUUACAUAAAUCAUAAAUUUUGUAAUAUAUUAAACUAGCCCCUUAGUUGAGGUUGCUCCAAAAGGAGAUCCUCUAGGUUGUUAAAAUCCAAAGUCAAUAACACAAAUUUUCAUGAUCAUUGGAAUCACCAUAACUAGAAUCAUUGUUCUUUCCAUUGGAUCUACAUGUAUGGCUAGAUGAAAUGUGGAAGUGGAUGUGCACUUCUAAUCCCACCUUAGCGAUGAAGUGACCACUUGAGGCACAAAUUCUUAUUGUCACUCUAAGCUUGGUGUAUCAAACUAAUGAUGCAUAUCAUGAUAAAAGCCACACAUAACUUCAGUGAUGCUUAGAUAAAUGGGGCUUUGUGGGUUUCUUCAAGGGGAAUUAAACAACUUCAGUGAUAUUAAUAUCUUAGGUAAAUGAGGCUUGGUGGGUUUCUUUAAGGGUUUUUAAGUGGGACAAGGGCAGGAGAGUGAACGAGGCUUGGGCCCGUACGGUCGUACCCCAUGCUACAAUGUAGCCCAAAAAAUACUUUAGCGAUCCUUUCUAAAAAGAUGCUUUAAAAUUAACAAAGUUUUUUUUAAAAAAGCACUAGAACAAUUCUCUUACAUUUUAAAUGGUCUAGCAAUAAUGUAAUACAAAUAUACUUGAUCAUGAGAACUUUUGGAAGGUUGUAGACCCCAUACUAAAGUUGAAUUUUGAUGAGUUGACUCGAACAUACCUGUUGGAAAUAGCAAACCUUAUCUGUCAUUACACUACACUACAACCAAGCUAGAGGCUAGUGAUGAAUCACUAUGUAAACAUUUUUUCCAAUAUGGUGGACCAUUUGAAGCAAAUCCCAGUCGAUGAUGAUGAGGGCAAGACAAGAAGCAUGGUGCCGGCGUGGGAUCCAUGGUGUUGACAUGGGGAGACUAAAGGAGGGAUCCAUGGUGUCGACGUGGGUGGGGGGCUUGAGCCCCCUCCCCCACACAACCCCUACACACCUUGGUAGUCUAUCACUAUCAAUAUAUUAGGUUCAAAUUACUAUUAAUUACCCUGAAGCCAUGAACUAAUUUUUGUAACCAAACUAUUGAAAAUAAUAAUGGUUAUACAUUAGUUGAACCACAUAAACAUCCCGACCUUAGUGGUUCAAUUGCAAAAGGAAGAAAAAGAAAUCAAUCUAACUAACCUCUCUCUCAACAAAAUAUUAUGUUUCUAACAUGCAUAUUUGAGAGCUACCAGCUUCCCUCCUUGCCUAUUGCUGCCUGCUCUCCUCCUUGCCACUCCCCACAUAGCCACACUUUCCUGUUUGAAGGAUCAUGAUGCCCAAGCAGGGGGUUGUGAAUUGGGAUAAUAUAAUUUUUCACAAAUUAAAAUAUAUCACUUAGCCCAUUUCACCCCUUGUACCUAGUAUGUGUUUCUAGACUAUGCAUAAAAGUUCGCUCCCUAUUUCCAACCCUAAGAUAACAUCGCAAUCUAGGAAUGUAAAAAUAUUUAGUAAUUGCACAAAAGUAAAUGCUCAAAGUAAAGAGAGGGUUUGGAACACGGUGAUGUUUUUCCAGAGGUAUCUGAGAGAGUUGGCACUCCCCAUUAUUCCUCAUUGGAGCAUCUGGGCAAGGGUAUAGCUCCCUUGAUCCGCGCAAGGAUAAAUUUCUCUCUAUAGGCUGAUUCUUUGCUACUCGGACACGAUGAAUCACCCACAACCAUUCACAACAUAACUUGGGCCUCUCAUAAUUGCCUCUGAAAGAUCACCAAGCCAUCUAGGUGAUGUUGAUCAGUAAGAAUAACAUGCACAAACUCUCACUUGACCUAUGCACUCUUGCUACUCCCUAUGCACUUUUGGAGUCUUUAAUCAUCUUGGAAUUAGCAAACUAAAAUCACUCCACUAUGCUUGAACUCCCCCUUGCACUAGGCAUCAAACACGACAAUGUCCAACCAUUGUACAUGUCUUCUGCACAACCCUAGCACUUACAUGUAGUGCUUUGUUCGGUGGGUUGUUGACCUAAGCAUCGGACCAGUAAUCCCUCAUUCACUUCCUUUUCAACCAUCUUCGGGAAUGGCAUUACUUCCAUUUGAUCACUGAGCUUCCUCUAAGUUACCUAGUACUAAGUUUGACAAAUGUGCACUACACCUACUCACUAGUCUCACCUAGGUAAAGCUACUAGUCCCUCCUUUAUAAUAUGACCAAAGGAAAAAACAAAGUCCUAAACUACUCUAAGCAUCCCUCAACACCAACUGACACUUAGAACUAGUUCUUUCUUAACCAUGUCACUUGUUGUUUGAAAAUUGAACCAAAUUUCAUCAAAUAGAGGCAUGAAAACAAUUGAUUGACCAUUAAUCAAUCAUCUCUGACCUAAACUGAAUUAGGGGCCUAGAUAUGCUUUUGCUCUUGCUUUCACUAGCUGUUAGUUUCUUCUCAGGCCCUAGCCAGGCAACCCUCUAUCUCCUGCCCAUAGUGAUUCUACCCCUCCCUUUUUCUGACUUCUGAGUCUAGGGAGCUCUCUUAUGGUGGGGUCAAGGAAGCGACAGUUGGUGGUGAGAGUAGGGAUGAGUACAAAAAUUUUGGUAUGAGGAAUGUGUUGAUAGCAAGACAUAUCGUGCCUCAGUGGAAUCGUCCUUAGGCGAGUCAUGUUGUGUUUCCAACCGUUUUGGCCUGGCACUGUUGUGGCCAUACCAUGCCCAGGCCAAGCAUGGUAUAACCUAGAAGCACGACCAUGUCGUUCUUGGUCUAUUGAGAUUGGAUCAUGUUUUUCUUGGCCCGGGCUAUCACAGCCUAGGUGAUCCAAUUAGACAUCUAUAGGCCGGUAGAGAGAGAGAGAGAUGUCUCAUUGCUACAAUUUACAACCCUAGAAAUUGGAGCAGUUUUGAAUGAAGAAACCCUACUAGAUGAGAACUAAACUUGUAUCCAUUGUUUAUAUGUCGUAUUAAGGCCUUGUUUAGUUGGCAAAAAUUUUUGUUUUUGGUUACUGUAGCAUUUCGUUUUUAUUUGACAAACAUUGUCCAAUCACAGAGUAAUUAGGCUCAAAAGAUUCAUCUCACAAAUUACAGGUAAACUGUGCAGUUAGUUUUUAUUUUCGUCUAUAUUUAAUGCUUCAUGCAUGCGACCAAAGAUUCGAUGUGACGGGGAAUCUUGAAAAUUUUUACGAACUAAACAAGGCCUAAGUUUUUAAAAAUAAACUUCACAUUUUUUUAGUAUUUGUUACUCAAAUUGUAUACAUACUAGUCCAUCAACCAGUUCUUUGUCCUGCAACUAAUUGAUUUAAAGUUCAUAAAUAAAUUUCUUACCCACAACUAAAAUUGCUUAUUUUUGUUCGUAUGUUCUCUAUAUUUUCUAAUAUAAUACAUAUAAAUAGAUAGUAUUUAGUCUCUAACUUUGUUGCCCUACAAGAUUGGACAAUUUUUUUUAUUUUGUGAGAAAUUCUAAGAUUUAUAUUUUUAGUGGGCCUCGGAUGAUUAAAAUAAAUUCCUUCAAUUAGUUAUAGUGGUAGAGAUAGGUAACUAAAAGGCCAGUUUAAGAGAGGUUACUUUGAUUAUUUACAUGAUUUACCUGCUCCCCAUCAGUCCUUUGUCUGUAGCGUGGAGUGCAUCUUACCCUGCAACCUAACUAAAGUAAACUAGUAACUACACAGUUGACAGUACUCCUACCACUAAACAAGCAGUAUAACCCUCCACGAGUUGAGGCAGACAGUUCAUGUCUCAGAGUGUCAGUUUGUCACCAUUUCUGAGCAGGUGAAAUCUGUCCAAGGAUCGAUCCAAAGUGACGAUGUGCACUGUAAUAACCGUUUAAAAGUUUUAUUUCGUACUGGUUGCUGAUCUUUAGUACUAGCGAAGUAGCGAUCUUCUCCACCCUUUGCUAUUGGACUCAUGGUGAUUUAUAUUAUUAGUGCCUACGAUUUAAGUACUUGUACUGUUAACCUUCUCUUAAUCUGACAUAGGUUAGUGCAUAUAUUGUACCUUUUGAAACUUUGGGAUUCUUAUGUUCUGUACUGGCAUUUCUUAGACUAGCUAGUAGCCUCAACCGCUGAGAAGACCUAUACAUAUGAAGCUACUUAAAUCUUAAUUACUAACACCUUGUACUGUUGUUUAAAAAACAGUAUGUUAUAUGAAUACACACAAACUGGUUUCUGUUUUUUUUUUAAACUCAACCAGGGAGCGAGGUACUAGCUGCUUAUUAGUUCAUUCUUCCAUUCUGAGUGGCGAAUAAUCUUCCACUUACAAUGGCCGUACAUGGGAUCAGGAAAGUAAGCAUCUACACCCUCCAUUCAUUUUUAGGAGGUGUAUUAGGAUUUUUUUAAAAAUGUUUUUAGUGGUAUAUUUUGAUUAUCAAUUUCUCCUUCAGCAUGUCACCAAUCGCUUCAAAAUCAAUGCGAUAUGAAGAAAUAUUUGAAAGAUGAAUACAUCCAUAUAACCUUUUAGUUUUAGACACUAAGCAUGCAUACAAUUUGAAUGGUUGUUGGUCAAAAUCUGUAAAGUUUCCCUACCAGGGGCCUGUUUAGUUUCUCUUGCUAAUUUUUAGCCAGCUAAAACUAUUUUUGUUACUCUUGGGUGACUAGGGGACUAAACUAUUUUAGCUCCUUUUUAGUCAGUAUGUUUGGAAAUUUAGCUAUUAAAGUGACUAAAGUUUAGCUCGCUAAAAUUCAGCAAGAGAAACCAAACAGACCCUAAUUCAAACAAAGUGAAAUAUUUUAUUGAAUAAGGCCAGUCUCAAUGCAUAGUUUCAUGACACAGUUACCAAGACUAUAAACUAGGUAAUCGAGCCAUAGGAGUUUCAUGGGGAUGAAACUCCUCUCUCAUCUGAUGAAACUUCUUCAUUUAGGCUAGUCUCAGUGGCAUGUUUCAAUGCACUAUUUCCAAAAAAAUCUGCUGACAGGGCAUCCAUGAAAUGAAUAAUGAAACAACCUCCACAAUGCAUGAGUUUCACCUUGACGUUUCCUAGGCUGGGCAAAGCAUUUAACUACUACAAAAUGAUCGGAUCACAUACAAAAUGGUGAAACGAUUUAGCCCUCAGUGGGGAUUUUAUCCCGUUUCACCCCGUGGGAAACAACGCCCGCGGAGUUUCACUAUAGUGAAACUACUUUCUUCUCUCUCCUCUUCGUUUCAUGCAAAAAGUGCAGUUUUGCUGACAUGACGCUCUAAUAAAUGUGCAUGACAUUCUGGUGAAACCGCCACUGAGACUGGCCUUAAUGACCCUGUCAAGUCAGCAAUUUUAGUUAUGUGGCACCCUAUUUAAUGUGUAUGACACUCUUAUGAAAUAUGCAUUGAGACUGACCUAAGAAGAAGAGAUAACAAUAAGUUAGUUUUUAUUGUAGAGCAAAGCUCACACACUCUCCAAUGAUUGAUGAGUUUAUGCUUAGACGACGUUUUUUUUUCUAUAUUAGUAUGUUGGUUACUCUAUUUAUUUUUCAAAAAAUCAUUUAAACUAGCAAGUUAGUUUUAUUAUCGAGGAUGCAGGAUGCCCUAGUUAUGGCUGCUGCAGUUUGGUAAGCCAAUGGCGACCGGUCCAGCUUUGAGCACUGAAACUCAUAGCGAUCGCAUCAUAGGCUGAUCAGCUGAUGUACAGUACAGUAUGCUAUACAGUAGUAUUCCCUCCAUAUAGAAAAAGGAAGACGUUUAGAACAUGAAUAUGAUUAUCAAGGUGUAGGGUUAGUUUUCUUGUCAAUAAACAAAACUGAGGGUGGCACCUAUACAACAAUCCAUUGUAGAUUGGCUGGCAAAGGCUCCAUGGCCUAAUGCUAGAGCUAUGCGUUUCAAAUCCUAGCAAUUGCAGUAUUUUUCGACACAAGUUUUGCAUGGCAUUAUGCGGGCGUGUUUGGCCAAGUAGUAUGCUAUAAGCAGUCACACGGCCUUCUAUGUCUUGUGGGGUAUCGCGCACGGCCUUCUAUGUCAUUCUAGUGGUCCAAUUCAAAAUUUUAGGAGUCCCAUUACUAUGUUGGUCCAACAUAAUAUACCGUUAAUUACUCCUUCCACGAAUAAAAUGUAAUUGUAGUUUAUAUAAUUUUUUCUUAAAUUUCUUUAUAUUUUACAAUAUAUUAUAUGAUCAAUUAAGUGAUAUUUAUUUGGCAUCAUUGAUAUUAGUAUUUUUUGUAUGAAUUCAAUCAAAUUUUAAAUCGUUUGAAUCCUUAAAAAUUGAGAAUUGUAUUUCUUUUUUGAAUGAAGGUUAGAGCAUCUCCACUGGACCUCUAAUAUCUUACCCCCAUUUAGGCCAUUAAAAUGGUAUUAGGUCCCCAAUAUUAUGUCUAGAAUUUUUGAGCAAAAUGAUUUGUAGUCCUUGCCCGUAGUGAGAGGAGCUUCAUUUCCUUGGACACGAUUAGCUCAUACUUUUGAGUUAUGGAUUUAGAAACUGUUGUAAUUGCUUGUCUUUUCCUUCUAUUUUUUCUUUUCUUCUUUGUUUCCUAAACAUGUUCUCUUUCUUGUUACUAUGUUACUUUGCCUUUAAUAUAAUUUUUCUGUAGGGGCUCUCCGCCUCUCCGGUUCUUUCAGAAAAAUAGUUCGUCUCUAUUAUUCUUUCUUACAUAUGGACCCUACCAGUAAGUAGGUUGUUUACACCAGAUUUUGGGAAAAAGAUUGUGGAAAUCCAGAAUUUGAAAAGGUACCGUGAAAACCAUGGUGAUGACGGCAUCGGCUUAAGCCUAACAGAGACAAACUCUGUCAGAAAGGGAAUUCAGAGUCCAAUUUAUGUAAAUUAGAUUAUUUUUUAUUUAAGAAUAGUCUAAUCAUGUUUGUUUAGGACUCUUAUCGGCCUAGGGUAUAAAUAUAAACCUUAGUUAUUGUAUCAACAUCUCUCAAUCAAUAUAACAUCUUUUUCGGCUUCACACCAUUGCACUAGGAGUAGGAGUAACGUAGAUCUCAACGAGUUCUUUGGUGGACAAAUCUACAUCGGUUUUGAUCUCUAGUUUGCUUAUAAGUACCAUGUGGCAGAACCUGCUAAGUAAUUGGGCUCACCAACACCCGUCAUUAUCCCAAAGACUCUUGAUGGCUAUGUCAGGGAACCAAAUACCCCAGAAGACUAUUGGGUGAAUCCACCGCUAUCAUUGGCUUGUCGGAAGUCCUAACCACAUCUAAUGGUUAAUUAAUAGCAAACUGCUUCUUCUCACCAUUAAAAGAUAGCAAGUGGCCACAUUAACACCAGGAUCAUUCAUCAUAGAGACAUUGCAGUAUCAUAGACAUUAUACAAAGAUAAUAUUUCAGAGUAAAAGUGGGGAAGCAUUACAUAACUUAAUUUACAAACCUUUUGUUUCAAAAUAACAAACUUAAGUAGCCAACUUAAGUAGAGCACUGUUACAAACCAUAGGUUGUGGAGUAGCAUUAGUAAUAAUGUACAAAACCACCAAAUCUCGGACCUAGCCCACGGGUCACAGCUACUACUCGUCGUCGUUAACCUUGAUGAUGGUCAUACAACAAGGUCCAAAACAGACCGGCUCCUAGGUCUCACCUGCAACACGGGUCAAAGAACCCUGAGUACUAGGGUACUCAACAAGACUUACCCAACGAAAAAGAGGAGAAACUCAGGAAUGCAGGUUUAGGAUGUACAAGGAGAGGUUUAGCAAGAGUCAACUUUUCUUUUGUAUAACAACUUACUAGUAGUGGAUCCUUACUUUAAAGGUUUUAGAUCCAAUUAAGUUGCUACUUCACAUAGACGAGUUCGAGGACACUCUGCAGACGUCACUCUGUACAGACGAAUCUGAGAACCCUUAUCACCUACCAGAAGUGCUAUAAACACAUCCGAUGGUCAUAUUUUCAUGUCACUACUGUCUAGGAGAUUUUGAUCCACACUUAGUGUGACAUAUCCUCCUUAUCAUUUCUUAAUUUAGUUCUUUCCGUUAGCUAUGAUGAGGGUCAAAGGAUUGAGUCUCCAUAAUCGAGGAGCAACGACGAUUCGAACCUCCUUACCACACGACAUAUGUAGAACUAAAUCUUGCAAAUGUCAACCCACAUCCUGGAUCCUCCAAGACAAGAAUAGGUCCACGCCACCCGAGAGCACACUACUCCAUCAUCCAACCCAUUGCUAGGAGGGUACACGCUACUCUUGCCAUCUCUCCACUCUUAGUGCGCGAGUAGCCAUUCUUAUGAUAGAAUAGCCAAGAUGGGGCUUACCAGAGCAUAUGGCUAGUACUAUAAAGUCUCAAUCACAACAAGCCGAUAACGAACAAUCCUUAACCGACAUAGCCAGAGACACUACUUUGGGACUUCUUUCCCAAUGCAAGUGUACUGACCGAUCUCAAGUUGAAACAUCUUUAACCAUCAAAGUUAUUCCACAAUAAUCCUUCAAACUUUACAUUUGAAAACCUACCCACUAAGCAGGACUAAGCAUCACUACGCAAUUUAAAUAAAACAAGUCUCAAGGAUAGUAUAACAAGUAACAAGGUUGGUAAUGCAACAAGUAGGUAAACACUCAACUCCUAAACAUGUAAUGCAGCAUUUUAAAUUCACCAGUGAUAAAAUAUUUAAAAUAUUCAAGGAAAGGUUAAUGCGUCCAGGGUUUGCCUUGGUUGUCGAGGUAAGCAGAUUCCUCGGGGCUUCACUAGGGUCACCCUCGACUUCGACUUAUGAGUUACUUCCUUGGGGUUCUCUUCACUAGUCACCCCCUCGUUGACGUGCACUAUACGUGAAAAGGAUGCAUUUUCAUGAUGAAACAUGAGAAGGGUUUAGUUGAGUAUAACUUUUCUUCCCGGUACAAUUCCAAACUACUAAAGUAAACCUAGUACACCCUUAUGGUCUUUCUUAAACUAGGGUUAUCAUUAAUUAAUUAAAUAGUUUGAUUUUUCUUAUUAUAAUUAAUUCUUAAUUAAGAAUAAAAGAACAAAGAUUAAGCUCAAACAAUAAGGAAAGUGCCAAAGAUCAUUAGGUUUAAUGAACGUAGGUCAUCACUAAAUCUCCAAGUCACAUGAACCCUAACUUUGAAUUUAGACUAAUAAUUAAAUGAUUAUUUAUUAAUUAAUAAUUAAAAUUAAGGAUCUAAUUAAAUUUUAUCCAAAUACCGCCAAAAAUUUUGUGAAGAAAGGUAAUAGCAUAUGGUGACUCCCCAACAAUUUUUGGGAUUUUUGAACAACUGAAUUAAUUCAUAAAAAUCAAGGGAACUUCAUUUAAUAAUUAAAAUGCACAUUUUUAAAUCCUUCAAAACGUACUCCAAAAUGACAACUCAUAUUUUUUCUAUAUGCUACUCAGUACUAGGAGCAUAACCAAAAAAUUGCAUAAUUUUUGGACUUGCCAUCAUUUUGUUAUAAAUUUUCAAACAAAAUUCAUUUUGAAUUAAUUUGGCAAAAGAGCAAAACAACACGAGGUGCUAUUCGGCCUGCUUCCUCGGCCCAUUCCCUCUAUUUUAGCCCAGCAUCACGCACGCUCGCAAGCUCUUCUCCGCUUCUCCCCUUCCCUGCUCUGGCCGGCCUCAGCACGCAUGGCCGGUGGCAAGGCCGUGCUUUGGCAAGGGGAAAGCUCCCCCAGGGAGUUUGCCCGCGUCACAACAUACUCUGUUACCUCCAUAACUCAAUCCUGACGAACACUAACAAAAGGGAAGCUCCACGGGAGCUCAACACUGGCCAUGACGACUCCACGAGCAGAGCUAACCGACGACCAUGUUUCUACCCCUCUAGCGCGAUAGAAUGUGGUCCAAGGACUCGAGGAACUAUAAGAGGUUAAGGCGAACAUGAUGCUCACCCUAGAAGAGUCAGGGUAAGUAUACGGAGCUUCUACAACAGUAGAGCGUGGCCCGACGAUGCGCUCAGAGUUUCACGGCGACUUCUCGGGUACCUGGCCACGCACAAAGGGAAAGAUCAAACCAAUGAGUUUUAGCAGGCUAUGGAGGAGUUAGAACACAUGGUGAUAGGGUGAGAGACCUCCGGAGAUAGCUUGGCCGCAGAAGAGAGUAUGGCGGAAUCCCGCCAGAGUUGAGGAAGAUAGUGGCGCGGGAGCUAGAGAGUGAACGGAGGCACGUGAGCGGGUGCUGGAGGUGCGCAAGAACAUGGCGAUGUUGGCUAUGUGACCAUAGGAGCAAAGGCUGGUGGCUGAGGAGAGGAGAAUCGGCGGUGAGCUCAAAGAGAGAAAGCGAGUCACAGCGGCGUUGUGCUCGUGGAUGACGAUGGUCGAGCUAAAGAAGGUGAUGACCAAGCUGCCAAGCAGCUGUGUCGACCACGGUGGCGAAGGCAGACAGAAGUUGGCCAGCGGCCAUUGGCUGAGCUCCUGUAGCACAUCCCUAUCCGCUUUCCGUUUUUUUCAAAAUUAAACCAAAAUUUAGAAUACAACUUGAAAUUUGACCAAAAUAUGGUUUGUUCAAAAUUAAAAGCUCUACAAAUCAUCUUUAAGGAACCAUAGCUGAUUUGCAAUGGAAAAGGGUGAAUUUGAAUGAAACAGCAUGGGGAUUCAAAUUCCAAUUUGGGGGAAAACUCAAUUUGAAUUGGGACUCUUCUGAAUUUCCAAAAUUAUUUUCAAUUUUGCUCAACAACUUGAAAAAUUCCAAAAAUAAAAGUUGUUCAUUUUGAAAAGUUAUACAACUUUACUUUUUACCAUAUUUCAAAAUUCCAAACAGAUUUUGUAAUGCAAGUUUAAAAUCAAAGGGGGGUAAUUUUUGGAAAUCUGUAUUUUCAAAAUUACUUUGAAUUUUACAUUGAAACUUUAAAACCUCAAAACACCAAAGUUGUACAUCUCAACUAGAUCUACAUCUUAGCUUUUCGGCUCAACCCUAAAUUUAGCUUAGAUUUUGAAUUGCACAAAAAAAGGGGUAAUUCUAGGGUUUAAAUUAGGGUUUUACUCAUCAUGUGAAUACUUAAUUUUCAUCCUACCUUAAUUAGGGAUCACUUAACCAUCACAGGUAUCAUUCCAAAAGUUAAAACACACACUAACCACUUAAGCACAACAAACUAAAAUAAUAAACUUAUUUUAGUUGAUGCAUCUUAGUGUACUAAACAUGCAUACUUUGCACUGCAUAUGAUGACAUGGCAGGUUUUAGUAUCCAUAACAUCAAAGAUGUUACAUGCCGUCAUUAUCGAUUUAUAUCUGAUCUUGUAAGGCCGCAUCAUUUGAUCUCUUGCUAGAUUUGUAAGUGUCGUCAUUACUGAUUCUAUUGGGUUUAGUAAUGCAGCAUCUUAUAAUCUCUUGCAAGAUUUAGUAGAAUGACCAGUUAAACUAAGAUUAAGGCACAUCGAUUUAAAUUGUAUGAAUCUAUCGUCUUGCUGUUCAUCUCGUUUAUUUUGUUUCUGAUGUCAGAUUGGCUUAUCGGCUGAUUAUAUCUUAAUCCUAGUCUAACAUAGUGUGUUUUCAAUUCUUUGUUUAACUAUAAAUAGAUCUAUCGGCCUGCAACCUUUAAUUUAUCGCCCCUGCUGCUAACGAUGUCUCAGUUUGAUCCAAUUAGUGGUGACGGUAGAUUUGAUCCAAUUAGUGGUGACGGUAGAUUUGAUCCAACUAGUCAUCUAUUACUUAGUUAAUAUCUUUAUAUGAAUAUGCAUUGCCGUCAUUGGUUCACUAGCCAAGGUAUUUGCUCAACUUGCUCUAUUUUAUCAUAUCAUUGCAUUUCGGCUUCAUAGCUACGUCAUUCCCCCGCGGCUCGCGUUUUUCUUGCUUCGGCUUUCUAGCCAAUGACCCAUAGAACUAUUCGAAUCAUCAGCCGACAUGUUUCACCUUAAAUUACUGAUUAUCUUUUCCCUUAUCAGUUAUAGGUCAAACUAAUUGACACACCUUAGAUCCCAAAAUCCACAUACACUGAAGCCAACCAGAUCUUCCAAGCUUGUUGUGUGUCUUGUGUGGUGACCAAAUUUUUGCGUGGACACAGUUAGUCUAUUUUUGUGCGCUUCAUCGUCAUCAAGCAUAUUAUAGUCUCGCCUCCCUUCCCCUAGUAGCUGCACCUCUCAGCUCUGUCAUCAAUUCCAGGUGGCACACCUACAAGUGAAGAGCACAAUCUUGGCCAAUAACAGAGGCCACUGUCGUCAGCCAUAGAUUCCAGCGGCAACCAACACCUUUUGUCCAAGCACAUUAUACUUAAUAAAUGUAUCUGAAGAGGCCUGUUUAGAACUUUUUAAAAGCGGAUUAUCAGGUGCUAGAUCGCGAUAAUCGCACCAAAGUCAUUGCAGCCGCUGCGAUUUUCUUUCACCGCCUCAGUCCACGUCCGCAGCUCUCCCACCGCUGAUGGCGUACCGCACCGCAUGGUGGGCAUAAGGCGAACCAAAUGGGGUCAAACAAUCGUUAGGGUUGUUCGGUUGUUCCUAUUAAAUCAUCUUGAAAUUAUAUGGAACAACACCAUUGAUUGGAAAAUGAAACAAAAAACGUUACACAACACCUUCGAAAAAAAACUUUACACAUCAAAUGUACAACUGCCUUACACAUUACUCAAAAAGAAUUCCUCAUCCUUCUUUCAAAAAACGCCUCAAAAAGAAUUGCCAAGUAAUUUUUUUUGUGAGGACUAAUGAACAUUGAGUCUAUGUCUAUCCCUCACCUACUCUCUCUUUCAAUAAACGUCUGCCAUCAAAAAAAUACUUGCAUAUUUCCAAUAGCACAUCCCUCCAAAAUACAAAUUUCUACUCCCUCCAUCCAAAUUGUAAGUUAUUUCAAGAAUCUUGGAAAAUCAAAAGAUCUCAAGUUUGACCAAGUUUAUAUAAUAAAAUAAUAAUAUUUAUGUUAUCAACUAAGUAUCAUUAGAUAAUUCAUUAAUUAUAUUUUUAUAGUAUACCUAUUUGAUGUUAUAAAUAUUUAUAAUUUUUUCUAUAAUUUUAGUCAAAUUUAAGAUAUUUUAACUUUUUAAGAUUUUUAUAAUGACUAAUAUUUUGGAAUGGAGGGAGUACUAAUCAUGUAGGAUUUCAAGUAUGUAGGAUUUCAAAUGAUAAGGCACUCCGAUCCGAUUAUGUACUCCACUACUACAGUCUAGCUGUUGUAGUAAUUAAUCUGUGUUCCAAAGAAGAUGCACUACUAGGCGAGUCUAGCUGUUCUAGUAAUUAAUCUUAAUGAUGUUCAAAUUUGAAGCAGAAGUAGAAUCUCAAGGACAGCAAACGAACAGAACAGGUUUCAAAAGAGUUGCGGAAUGAAUUCGAUUCACUGCCCUACUUUUCCUGUGCGGCGUACUCGUAGUACGUACGUACGGUCAGUGUCUUGUUUCUCAAGAACAGUAGAGCAACAAAAAGACACCACAACACCCCAUUAACGGCCACAUGCUGUGGUACUGUGAGUGAGGGCUUGUUUAGAUCCAAAAACUUUUUGGAUUUUGACACUGUAGCACUUUCGUUUUUAUUUGACAAACAUUGUCCAAUUAUAGAGUAACUAGGCUUAAAAGAUUCGUCUCGCGAUUUACAGACAAACUGUGUAAUUAGUUUUUAUUUUUAUCUAUAUUUAAUGCUUCAUGCAUGUGCCAUAAGAUUCGAUGUGAUGGAGAAUUUCGUAAAGUUUUGAGUUUUUGGGUGUAUCUAAACAAGGUUGAGGCAGCUGAGCAUUUGCAGUUUGCAGUGCGGUGGAAUCGUCCGCAGCAGCAUUAUCCAUGGAUCCUCACUUGUCAGCAGCAGCAUCAUAGCUCCCCAAUUAAUUCCCGGAGUAAAGGAGGGACGAGAGCACGAACGAGGGCCGUGCGAAUCGCAAAUCACUGCAUCCGGACCAAGAGGAAUCAUCCAAACAAAAGACGAGAACAUGUAGAGACAUCUAUCUGAGCGCAGCGGCGUAGUACCCCCUCCAUUCGGCCAUGCAUUCAUCAUCAUCUGCAUUCUGCAGGCAAGGCCAAUUUUCACAGCACAUGGAGAUAGAACAACCACUGUGAGAGUCAGUGAGUGUGAGCUUCCUGAAAACGCAAAAUGAUUCAAACAAGCACAUGCUACAUACAUGUCUUCUGUGCUCUGGCUGCCAAUGUUCUAUGCCUGUGCCCUACACACAUUUAUUUGACUCAUCAGAUCAGGGUUAAGGGACUCAGCUCAGGACCAUGUGUAAGCUCAAAUACUGUGCAAGCUACGGUACAGUACUCAUUCAUCUUCAGCUGACGCUCUCGGAUGGUAUCACUAUCACUGUGCCAUCACCACAGUGUGGUACAGUACUAUGAAAAUUGAGAGCUCAGCUAUUGCUCAAUGCCAGUGAGCAAAAAGAUAUAUAUACUCCUCUACGUCUGCAAUUCAGAAAUUUAAAACAAAUGAAGCUGUCCCCAGUCCCCACAGUGUGGCUCUUGAGUGGCAGGAGGUGGGUUAAUCAGCAGUAGAGUGUUAAAUCACUGAUUAAAGAAUCAGCUGUAGGAAAUGUCCAACCAGUGAAAACCCCCAGCAGUGCCGGGACUUGAAAAUACUAUGCCUUACGAAAUAUGUUAAAUCACUAUGCAAACUUGAAUGAAACAUUCACAAACAGUUCCACCAUCUCUCCUGAUGAAUACUGUAGUUUUGCUGCUGAUGCACAUACAGCUGCCGAUUGUCUCCUGAUGCACAUACAAUUCCCUGCUUGUGCACAGCACAAGGCAUACCAAGGACUACAACAACAGUAUAUAGACUUUGCAACAACCAAUACCACCAGUUGGUGAAAAAAGAAAUCCUGGACGAACGAAAUAGUGCCUCUGGGGCCUGCAAACAAACGUUCGUCAGCCUCUGAAAGCUGAAUGCCCCAGUUCUCUUCGUUAUUCUUCGCAGUUCCCAACAUGGAAAUCACUGCCAUGCAUAGGCUCAGCCCCUCUCAAGUCUGAUCGAUGCCUGCUGCUGCAUCAAAUCAAAUGAAAUCGUAUAACUACUCCUCCUACCAUGCAGUGCACUGGCUGCCAACUUCAUUCCAAGUAGGAAGUCUGCAUUUUUCUCUGGAUAGGUAUAAGAGAGAGACCGGCCUGUGUCCUGGUUCUAAGGGACACGUAUAUUUAAGUUGCUGAGAUGGAUAGGUAAGAGAUGGUACUACAGUCAUGGGGGACAGCAGGAAUUGAAAGCUUAAGGAGUAUCAUUACUGAUGAAGCCUGAAAGGACUACAGAGCCUUCAUUGGCAUGCAUGACAUAAUUGUGUUCUCAGAAUUCUGCUAUCAUCAUGUCAUGCAUGGCAACAAUGGCAAAGGUAAAUAAGUGAAUAAUAGUAAUUCAAGUCAUGGUUAUGUAGUCAGGUCACUUGUGAAGAUUAAUCCGGACCAAGAGCAUCAGGGUGCUUAGAAACCAUUGAAUUUUAAACAAGGACCAUCCAAUGGGACCAAGCCUGAUGCGCCUGCUAAGAUCACUUGACACUUGACAGAAUGGAUUCUUGCAGGAGUGCCUUCGCCGAAGGAAUUAAAACCCUGCUCACUGAACUCGUGGAAUGGAUGCAGAGAAUUUCCGGCUGCAGUAGGUUUGUUUUUCCCUAGGCACUACAGUUUAUUAACAUGCUCAAAUACUCCUCUUGAAAUCUAGAAAUAAAAUUACAUGACGAAUGCUCGAGAAUAUGACAUGAUGUUAGUGCAGAAAGGAUUGAAGAUCUGCAAAAGGAAUCAUCCCUGCAUUUGGAACUUCCAGUACCUACCAGGAUACAAGACAAGAUGAAGUUGACAGCAGUAGAUUAUUUCUAAUGAGUUUUUCUUUCAAGGUCUUCGAUGUAACCUGUAACUUGUCAGCGAAGUCCGAUUAUCGGUGUCAGAAAACUCAUUGAAGGGCAUUUCCUUUUUUUUUUUGAGAGAGAGGAACUGAAGGUCAUUUUCAUGUGCCAAGUGUAUGACCAGGUGAUAAUAAUAAGCCCAAAAAAGCAAACAAAAAGAAUAAGGAAUAGGUCUAAUUUUCUACCUUGCCCAUUAUAAUUCAGCCUGCUUAAACGUACCCAGUAAGGCCCAACAACAAUAUUAUCAUGCCCCUAUGCAGCGUCCAUAUUUCAGUGGGCCUGCAAACACUGAACUAGCUUCCAUGAGAAAUAUAGCCCAGCACGAGCAAAUUUAUUUUAUUUUGUUUUUCUUUACUAAGACCUUGUUUAGUUCCAAUUUUUUUUACAAAAUAAACACCGUAGUAUUUUCGUAUGUAUUUAAUAAAUAUUGUUUAAAUAUAAACGUCUCGCAAAAUUAUAGGCAAACUGUGCAAUUAAUUAAUUUUUUUUUAUAUUUAAUAUUUUAUAUAUGUAUCGCAAGAUUCGAUGCGACGAGAAAUCUGCAAAAUUUUGUAAAGUUUUUGGAACUAAAAAGAGUCAAACAGCUGAGAGCCUGAGACACUGCCUAUGCCAACACAAGAGCCGCUUCGACGCGACCCUGAGCGUUUCCUGACAGCGUCGACGCCAGCCAUGGCGGCGCCACAGUCCUCCACCGGUUCGCUGGUUCCGCCACUCCGCCGCCGCCCGCGCCGCCUCGUCUUCGACCGCCGCUACGGCUGGAUGUAAGAGACACCCGACCCCCAGCCAGCUCCCCCAUCUCUGUCUCGCUCGGUCGGCGCCGAGACCCUGUUUCCGUGUGCUCUGACGCUCCUUCCCUCCCGCAGCUUCGACGAGUGGACGGACCCCGCCGACCAAGCCCUCUCCGGCGGCCGCGGAAUGUUAGUGCUUCCACUCCCGCGUUCCGUGGAUGCUGCUGGGUUUCCUCAGAAUUCCUUCUUUUCCCCAAUUUUACCAGCCUCAGCUCUCGUUCAUACCUGCCUUGUCGCUUCUCAGGUUCUGUGCGGUGACGAUGGCGCGCUCGCUGGUGGACGCUGCGGCGUCCUCGGUAAUCUCAUCUCCUUGCUGGCAAGUUAGGAUAUGUGCUGAAUUUUGUCAUCUUCGCUGGAUUAAAUUAGAUUGUUGGGAAAGGGGGCGUGCGUGCUAGGAUGCAUUGGAGAAAUCUAGGCCUUGUUUAGUUCACCCCCAAAAUUCCAAAAAAAAAAUUAAGAUUCUCCGUCACAUCAAAUCUUUAAAUGCGUGCAUGAAGUAUUAAAUAUAGAUAAAAAAUAACUAAUUACACAGUUUGCCUAUAAUUUGUGAGACAAAUUUUUUGAACCUAGUUAGUCUACGAUUAGACAAUAAUUAUCAAAUACAAACGCAAGAGUCAAACCCAAAAUUUUUCACCAACUAAACAAGGCCCUAGGCGAUAAUAGAGUGGCAUGCUAGCAUCACUUUGUUCUUUUUACGGAUUUGCAGUGACAAUACAAGUUCUGGAUUCUGAGUUCUGAAUUCUACAAUGGACUUAUCAUUAUUCCCCAGGUUCACUAUGCUUUCACAGCAUUAGUUUAUGGUCGCAUCUUUAACGUUUGGGGUUUAUGACAAGUACAAGCUGGGCAACAUUAUCGGCACGUGAUUAAAUUCCGGGAAUUUGUUUGUUGGGUGGAGAUUUCUUUUCUAGAUUGCAAAAAUAUGAUGAGGCAACCAAUUUGAGGUCUAAUAUGAGAUAUAUGUUUUUUUUCUGAAAGUUAUCCAUUAGAGAAUUUUUCUUCAUGUGAUUGGCAUUUAUCUUUUCCUAACAUUACUAAUCUCGCAAGGCUUCUGUGUCAUCCAGGAAACUCGGAAUCACUAUGUAUUCAAUUUGGAUAACAUUCUGAAAAAUUUGAACAGUUCUAUUCUGAGAUCAUUGAUCUACUAUGAACCUUUACUUACCUUAGAUGAAUUAUUACUGUGGUGGAUUGUUAAUCUUUGAAAACUGCUAAAUGUGUAUUGGACUACAUGUACCACACUGUAACUUAAGUGCCCUAUUGAUUUCCUACGAAAUUUGAUACAUUGAUCUCCUAAGUAGAAGUACUAGGGAACAUUUUCUUUGAGGACUUAACUCUGGACUCUGUUCCUAUUCAACUGUUCAUGUUUUAGCAAUUUAUAUUUGGUGGGUGUUCAUGUGGUAGAUAUGAAGCCAUGCAUAUCCAUGAGUUUAUCUGAACUUACCAGUUGAACUGAAUAUGAUCCACUUUUAUGUCGACUGUUCAACUGUGCUUGUAGAUUAGUCAUGUCAGUCAAUAAUGCCUAUAGAUGAUGUUAUCCUUAUAGUUUUCCUUUAUUCCAAUUGAUGAUUAUAUCCACUCUAGUACUACACAUCUGUUAUUAUGGUUACUUGAAUACGCGAAGCAUGCAGGUUAUCUCCUAGUCAUAAAGAGAGAAAUGGAAAAACCUUUGAUUUGGCUAUUAAUAGAACAUCAUCCUGAUAUCUAACAGCUCGUUUGUUCCAUCACAGAUUAACUAUGCUGCCAGUUCGAUCAGCAGAGUUCUUGAACACCCCAAAAGACUGCCUCUACCAGCACAUAUAUCUACCCUAGCAUUCCGCAAGAAGCAGCAAGCCUGGUUUCGUGAACUUGAAUGCUCUGGAGUCGUAGCUGAUCUUAAGUUAGUACACUGUUGUACUCAUUCUGUACUGGAAUGUACAGCAACUGAUUGCCUCUGUUUAACAAAGAAGCAUGGUCAUCUGUAAGCAAUGCAUCAGAAAAUUAUAAGACACUUAUCCUUAGAAAAAGCUGAUUUGUUAUCUAUAUCUUGUUUCUACUCUAAUGCGGUAAAUGAUGACGCAGCUGUUUACUGGGGUGCUAGUCAUGAACUCAUGACAGUACUGAAUGACAAGCUGAAUCAAUGUAGCAAAUGAAAAGGAUAGUGCCCAACUAUGACUUUUAUAAUGUUCUUACACUUCGAAUAGAAUUUUAUUUUACCAAGGGAUUAGAGUCUUAAAAAGCUGCCACUUACAUUUUUUUUUGAAGCUAUAAUUUCUAGAAACCCCUUUUCAGAAUAAUGCCAUUAAAUUUAUCUUGUGAAAUACUUCCUCCGUUCACAAAUAAGUGCACAUCUCGUUUUCUGAGAAGUUAAACAUUUUUAAGUUGGCAACGUAUCUAGUGCAAACUCAUCUCCCGUGCAAACUAUGCAAACUCUAAUCUGGACCGCAGGAUGUUGAUCCAAGAGAGCGCAUAAGAGAGGUGGAAGGAGAGAUUUGUAAAAGUGUGAUUAAGAGCAGGCGGUUAAGUGCAAAAUUACCCAAUCUUUUCGCGCCCUUGGAUCAACAUCCUGUGGUCGAGAUGAGUUUGCACUAGAUCCGUUCCCUUUUAAGUUUGACUAAAUAUAUAUAAAAAUAUACUAAUAUUUAUCAUAUGUAAUAUAUAUUAUUAGAUUGAGCAUGAAAUAUAUAUUUAUUUGUAGAUACAAAUAUUGAUAUUAUUUAAUAUAUUUCUAGUCAAACUUUGAAAAGUUUGACUCCUCGGGAAGCGAAAUAUGCAUUUAUUUGUGGACGGAGGGAAUACUGUCAUAGAUAUAAAUAUAGAUGUUUGUCUGUGGAUAUAUAAUUCUCAGUGUAUUCACUUUGCAUAUUUUGAUUGAAAUAAAAAAAUCCAGCAUUUCGGGUGGUAAAAAUGAAACGAAGACCCUCGGCUCUUGGCAACUUGGCUUCUCAUCAUAAGUCUGAGCGGAAGAAUGGCAACAUCAAUUUUCAUCGUAAGUCUGACCGGAUAUGGACAAAAGUAAUUCUGCAAGAAUACAGCAAUGACAAUUUAUUUCAGAUACACAGUGGUAAAACAAAUUAGUUAUUAGUAGUGAUGCUCAUUAAGAUGUGUGAAAGAGCAUCUAGGCCCCUAGUGAUUUCGGUGAUUAAUGACAUUAUUGAUUACUAUGACUAACGUGUGUUUUGCAGAGACAAAGUCAUAGGUAAGGUCAUGGUAAAUAGGUACUCGAUGGACAGGAACGUACAUGCCAACUUAAUAGUGGAAAUCGUUUUCGGUUUUCAAAGGAUGGAUGGACAUCGUCAAGACUAGACUAGGUCUAAGUGCCAUAUGGUGAAGAAGGGCACUUAGAGUAGCUUAGGACUUUGUUUUCCUUUGACCGUACUAUUAAGAGGGGCUUUGAUCUAGUAGCUUGACUUAGGCAAGGCUUUAGGUUUAGGUGUGGUGCACACUUGGUAAAUCUAGCACUAGGCAGCUCAGAGAUAGUCCUUAAAUCGAGAGGAACCAACUUCAUUUUGGAGCUAUCGCGUUUCGACGAAGUUAGGGUGCCCAAAGGGGCACCGGACGCUGCACCGGACGCUCUGUGAGUGCGUCCGAUGAGGUCCUUAGCCGUUGGAACAGUGUGGUGCUUAGGGUUAGGCACCGGACGCUAGCACCGGACGCAUCGGGCAGCGUCCGGUCCCAUACCCAGGGAGGUUGCAAGCCUUCCUGGAGCACCGGACGCAUCGGGUAGCGUCCGGUCCCUUGCGCAGGAAGCUUGUAAAGUUCCCCGAGCACCGGACGGUGCACCGGAUGCUGGGAGUUAGCGUCCGGUGACCUGUCAGAGAGAAGUACAGGUAGCCGUUAUGAAGCACCGGACGCUCGGUGCAGUGCGUCCGGUGCAACAUAAUGUGCGUCCGGUGACCCCGUUUUCAGUGGAAAACGGUUGGCCGACCUUUGGACUUCGUGGAUAGUAUUUAUACUCCUCCACCUCGUCCAUGAGAGCUCUCUUGCCCAUUUGAACAUCAGAGAAACUUGUUGUGGAGCAAGAGAGUUGCAAGAGCCUAGAGAGGAUUGAAGUUUGAGUGAUUUCUUGAGAGAAUCCUUCUCUAGUGAGUUCCAAGAGUCAAGUGUGCAUCCACCACUCUCUAGAGCCUUGUUUGGAUCAAGUGAGAUUUCUUUGCUUGUUACUCUUGGUGAUCGCCAUCACCUAGACGGUUCGGUGGUGAUUGGAGGCACGAAGACCGCCCGGAGUUCUUGUGGGUGGCUAGUGUCAAGCUUGUGAGCGGUUUUGGGCGAUUCACCGCGACGGAGUGUCGAAGAAUCAGCCCGUAGAGAGCACUUGGUCCUUGCGCGGACCAAGGGGGAGCAAGACCCUUGCGCGGGUGCUCCAACAAGGACUAGUGGAGAGUGGCGACUCUCCGAUACCUCGGCAAAACAUCACCGAGCACUUUCUUCCACUACUCCUUUACUUUCUAGCAUUUACUUUGUGCUUUUACAUUCUUAGAAUUGCCAUGCUAGAAUAGGAUUGGAACUAGGUUGCAAAACUUUUAUCCGGUAGCUCUCUAAGUCACACUAGGCACAAGGGGUUGAAUUGGAGCUUAUAGGUUGCUUAAAUUUUUAGAGAAGCCCAAUUCACCCCCCCUCUUAGGCAUCUUGAUCCUUUCAAUUGGUAUCAGAGCCUAGUGCUCAUUAUUUAGGCUUCACCGCCUAGAGAAAGAUGUCUAACGGGGAUGGACCGCCACCCAUGUUCGAUGGGGAUGACUUCCCGUAUUGGAAAAUACGGAUGGAGUCAUACCUUGAGGCAUGCGAUGUAAAGUGCCUAAAAGCCGCGACCGAAGGGUUUGCCCCUCCGGAAAGAGCCACCGCUCUUACUCCACAAGAGCAAGAAAACGAGAAGUGGAAUGCGAAGGCCAAAAACCACAUCUUUAGAGGCCUUUGCAAGGAGGUGUUCAACCGCGUUCGGAGCCACAAAACCGCCAAUGCUCUUUGGAAGGAACUUUGUGCGCUCCAUGAGGGAUCAAAGAGUGAACGCGAGGAACGCUAUCACUUAGUGAUGAACAAGCUUAAUACAUUUGAAAUGCUUCCCAAAGAAAAUGCUAAUGAAAUGUAUUCUCACUUGAAUGUCAUUGUAGAGGAGCUAAAUGGACUUGGACUCACUCAAAUGAGUGCGGCGGAUGUAGCAAGGAAAAUACUAUGUGUGCUUCCCAUUGAAAAAUAUGGGCACAUAGUAACGGUGCUUCAUCAAGGAGAUCUUUCCACCGCUACACCAACCGCCAUAUUAGGAAAGAUCAAUGCUCAUGAGAUGUACAUGCACAUGAACCCCCAAGAUGGCUCCUCAUCGGCCAAGAAAGAGAAGAAGCACUUGGCUCUCAAGGCUUCUCACAAGGGCAAGGCUAAGAAGAAUGAAGUUGAGUCAUCAACUUCAAGUGAUGAUGAUGCAUCUAUUGCCCUCAUGGUGAGAAGAACCACAAAGAUGUUGAAGAAGCUCAACAAGAAUGGAGUCAACUUUGACUCCAAGAAGAAGAAGUUCUUCACAAGUAGCAAGAGGAAGCCCAUCUCCGAGAUGGAUUGCUACAAUUGUGGUGAGCUUGGUCAUCUUGCACAUCAAUGUCCAAAGCCCAAGAAGGACAAGUAUAAAAAGAAGAACAAAGAGCAAGAUGACUCAAGUGAUGAUGACAAGAAUGAGAAGAAGCAAUACAAGAAGAAAGGUGGCAAGAAGAAGGAGCACUACAAGAAGAAGAAUGGCAAGGCCUACAUUGUUGGUGAUUGGCUCACCGACAUUGAAAGCUCAAGUGGUGACUCCUCCGGCAAUGAAAGUGAUGAUGAGAAGGUUGCCGCCAUUGCCAUCGAUGCUCCAUCACCAUCAUCUUCACCACCAUCUACAUCCUCUACACACCUAUGUCUUAUGGCUAAGGGUGACCGGAAGGUACAAAGUGAGGAUGAGAGUAGUAAAAGUGAUAGUGAAUAUGAAUCACCUUCUUAUGAUGAACUUGUAAAAUUGCUAAACAAGUACACAAAAGUCAUAAGAAAAACUAGAAGUGAAAAUGAAAAGCUUGAACUUGAAAAUGACACUCUUCUAGCAAAGCUCAAAUCUAGUGAUGAGCUUAGAGACCAAAAUGAGAUCAUGACCACCAAGCUCAAGGAGCUCAAACUCUCUCUAAAAGAGCUCAAAGAAAAACAUGAUAAACUUGAGAGUGUUCAUGAUGAGCUUAUCACUAGAUAUAGAGCAAUGAAAGAAGAGCUAACAACUCUAAAAGCAAACUAUGACAACCUUGAGAUUGCUUAUGAACUUGCAAUUGAUGAAACACAUGUUGCUACUAACAAUGUUGCUAAGCUUGAUGUAGCCACAUCUUGUGAUGACUUACUUGUGGAGAGCACAAGCAAAUGUAUUGAUUGCAAGGGCAAGAAAGUGGUAGUGGCCGAGAGCUAUGAGGACACUAUCAAGCUCAAGGAUGAAAUUGUCAUGCUCAAGAAAGAGUUGCAAGAACAAGUCAAGCACAAGACCAUUGUGAUUGAGUCACUUGACCAAGAUAAGAAGCUUGCAUAUGAGAACAAGUUGCUCAAGGAAGAAAAUCAAUAUCUCAAGCUUGGUUUGAUGUAUGACAAGCAAGAAGAAGAUGAAACAUUCAUCUUGGAUGAGUUAGCUAGCAACAAUGACCCAAUCAUCAAGAAGCUAACUCAAGAGAACAACAAGCUCAAGAAAGAGAAGGAACAUUUAACCAUGGGGUUAGCAAAGUUCACCAAAGGGAAAGACCUUCAAAGUGAGCUUUUCAUGAACACCGUCAUGAAGAUGGACAAGAGUGGGAUUGGCUAUAAAGCUCAUCAAACAAAGCUCAUCAAGUCUCUAGCCACUCAUGAUCAACCAAGCAAGCCAAAGCCAAAGAGAUGCUUUGAGUGUGGUCAAGAAGGACACUUUGCUCAUGAGUGUAAGGCACCACUACCACCACCCUUGCCCAAGCAUGCAAGACCAUUUGCCUUCAAUGCUCAUUACAUUGUAAGAAAAGACAAGUGUGGCAAGGUCAAGGUUAGCUUCAUGGGGCCGCCCAACAAGCAAAGGCCAAAGAAGAUUUGGGUGCCAAAGCAACUAGUAGAGAAGGUCAAGGGCCCUAAGCAAAUGUGGGUCCCUAAAUCUCAAGCUUGAUCUCUUGUGUGUAGGUGAACUACAAGACCGAUGGAUCACAUUGGGUAAUUGAUAGUGGUUGCACUCAACAUAUGACCGGAGAUCCCCGGAUGUUCACCUCUCUCGAUGAAGAUGUUGACAACCAAGAGAAGAUCACAUUUGGUGACAAUUCAAAAGGCAAGGUCAAGGGAUUAGGAAAGGUUGCUAUAUCAAAUGACAACUCCAUCACCAAUGUGCUCUAUGUGCAAUCAUUGAGUUUCAACUUGCUCUCAGUUGGACAACUUUGUGAUCUUGGAUUUGAAUACCUAUUCAAGAAGAAGGAAGUAAUUGUGACCAAGGAAGAUGACAAUGAAGUGAUAUUCAAAGGCUUCUGGCACAACAACUUAUAUGUAGUUGAUUUCUCAUCCGAUGAAGUUGAUGUCAAGACUUGCUUAUUCACCAAGACUUCACUUGGGUGGUUGUGGCAUAGAAGGUUAGCACAUGUUGGAAUGGGCACACUCAAGAAGUUGAUGAAGAAAGAAUUGAUUAGAGGCUUGAAGGAUAUGACAUUUGAAAAAGACAAGCUUUGUAGUGCAUGUCAAGCGGGCAAACAAGUUGCAAAUACACAUCCAACCAAAGCCUAUCUCUCUACUUCAAGAGUGCUUGACCUACUUCACAUGGAUUUAUUUGGACCAACCACAUAUGCUAGUCUUGGAGGCAACAAAUAUUGCUUGGUCAUAGUUGAUGAUUUCUCCCGGUACACUUGGACAUUCUUCUUGCAAGAUAAAGCCGAAGUUGCAUCAAUAUUCAAGAAGUUUGCAAAGAUUGCCCAAAAUCAAUUUGAUGUGAAGAUCAAGAAAAUUAGAAGUGACAAUGGCAAAGAGUUUGACAACACCAACAUUGAAGAGUAUUGUGAUGAAGAUCAAGCAUGAGUUCUCCUCAACAUACACACCACAACAAAAUGGGGUUGUAGAAAGAAAGAACCGGACAUUGAUCACCUUGGUAAGAACAAUGCUAGAUGAGUACAACACUUCGGAGAAGAUGUGGGCCGAGGCAAUCAACACCGCAUGCUAUGCUUCAAACCGGCUCUUUCCUCACAAGUUCCUAGAGAAGACACCAUAUGAAUUGCUCAAUGGGAAGAAGCCCGAUGUCUCAUUCUUUAGAGUGUUUGGAUGCAAAUGCUACAUCUACAAGAAGCGCCAACACUUAGAAAAAUUCCAAAGAAGAUGUGACAUUGGCUAUUUGGUUGGCUAUUCAUCAAAGUCCAAGGCAUAUAGAGUCUUUAACCAUGCCACAAACAUGGUUGAAGAAACUUUUGAUGUUGAAUUUGAUGAAACUAAUGGCUCCCAAGGAGCAAGUGAUAAUCUUGAUGAUGUUGGUGGUGAACCAUUGAGGGAUGCGAUGAAGAACAUGCCCGUGGGAGACAUCAAGCCUAAAGAAGAUGAUGAUGAUGUACAAGUCAUUGAGCCACCAUCCACCUCACAAGGUCCACAAAAUGAAGACAAGGAUGUGAGAGAUGCUCAUGAAGACACACAAGUCACUCAUGAGCAAGCGGUGGCACAAGCACAAGAUGUUGAUGCUCCCCAACCAACCCCUCAAGUGGCACCAAGAAGAACAUCACAUCUCCUCCAAGAUCACUCUCAAUAUCUCAUCAUCGGGAGUCCAUCACAUGGUGUAACUACUCGUUCUAGACAUGCUUUAUUUAUUGAACAUCACGCUUUUGUGUCUCUUGAAGAUGAACCAAAAACUAUAGAGGAAGCUCUUCGUGAUGCGGAUUGGAUCAUGGCCAUGCAAGAGGAGUUGAACAACUUCUCGCGCAAUCAAGUAUGGACACUUGAAGAGCGACCAAAAGAUGCAAGAGUGAUUGGAACAAAGUGGGUCUUCCGGAACAAGAAGGAUGAUCAAGGCAAAGUGGUGCGCAACAAGGCAAGACUUGUGGCAAAAGGCUUUUCACAAGUGGAAGGUCUUGACUUCGGUGAAACCUUUGCACCGGUGGCAAGACUUGAAGCAAUCCGUAUCCUACUUGCAUAUGCAUCUAGUCAUGAUAUCAAGUUAUUUCAAAUGGAUGUGAAAAGGGCCUUUUUAAAUGAAUAUAUUAAUGAGCUUGUCUAUGUUGAGCAACCCCCCGGUUUUGAAGACCCUAGGUACCCCAAGCAUGUCUACCGGUUGUCCAAGGCUCUCUAUGGUCUCAAGCAAGCUCCUAAAGCUUGGUAUGAGAGGCUUAGGGACUUCCUCAUUGAGAAGGGCUUCAAGAUUGGGAAAGUUGACACAACACUCUUCACCAAGAAAAUGAAUGGGGAAAUCUUCAUUUGCCAAGUUUAUGUUGAUGAUAUUAUUUUUGGCUCUACUAAUGAAGAUUUUUGCAAGGAAUUUGGUGAUUUGAUGUCCAAGGAGUUUGAGAUGUCCAUGAUUGGCGAGCUAUCCUUCUUCCUAGGAUUUUAAGUUAAGCAAAUGAAGGAAGGGGUCUUCAUCUCUCAAGAGAAGUACACUCAAGAUCUUCUCAAGAGGUUCAAGAUGAUGGAUUGCAAGCCAAUCAAGACUCCCAUGGCAUCAAAUGGGCAUCUCGACUUGGAUGAGGGAGGUAACCCUAUUGACAAGACUCUCUAUCGCUCCAUGAUAGGAAGUCUACUCUACCUCACCGCAUCUAGGCCCGAUAUCAUGUUUAGUGUGUGUAUGUGUGCAAGAUAUCAAGCAAUGCCUAUGGAAUCUCACUUGAUUGCGGUCAAGAGAAUUCUUAGGUACCUAAAAUACACACCUUGCCUAGGCUUGUGGUAUCCCAAAGGUGCAAGAUUCCAACUUGUAGGCUAUUCCGAUUCGGAUUAUGCCGGGUGCCGAAUUGAUAGAAAAAGCACAUCCGGAGGGUGCCAUUUCCUAGGUAGAUCACUUGUCUCUUGGAUGUCAAAGAAACAAAAUAGUGUUGCUUUGUCAACGGCCGAGGCGGAAUACAUUGCCGCCGGUGCUUGUUGUGCACAAAUACUCUACAUGAAACAAACUUUGCUAGACUAUGAAGUAGUACUAGACAAAGUACCUUUGUUGUGUGACAACGAAAGUGCCGUAAAACUUGCAAAUAACCCGGUUCAACACACCAGCACAAAACAUAUUGACAUCCGCCACCACUUCCUUAGGGAUCACGUUGCUAAAGGUGACAUAUCUCUAGAGAAUGUGGGAACGGAAAAUCAAUUGGCGGAUAUCUUCACAAAACCCCUAGAUGAAGCUAGGUUUUGUAUGUUGAGAAAUGAACUUAAUGUGCUUGACCUAUCCAACUUCACUAAAAGAUAAAAGUUGUGUGUUGAAUCUUGUAAAUAACUUUUGCUUUGCAUAUCAUGCUUACUAAAACUAAAAAAUACAACUUGCAUGUAGGGCUUGUCUAACAUGGUUAAGAUAACCCCCUUGUGUGUGUGAAAAAGCUUAACCUUGGAUCAAACUUGACAAGCAUUAGUUUACUUUCAAGUAUUGCAUUACAACUCAUAUCAUAUGCAUGCUUGUUAGUUGACCGUUUCUUUUCGGUUAUUCGUUGAGCAUCCGCUGUGUUCGUCCAUAGAUAGGGGGAGCAUUCAAAGCUCAUUGUGAUUCAAACCCCUAGCUUUAUGGCCAUACGAUGCUCCUUGGUGUUUUUCUCGAAUUAUUUUCAUAAAAACUACUAAGCCUAUGGCUAAAUAUUUGUGAAAAUUUGAGGGUUUGAGAGAAGUCACUCAUACCAGUUCCAUUUAGUGUUUAUCUGUGUGUUAUUGAAGAUGGAACUUGGUUGGGUCAAAAUCGGACGAGGUGCUAAGUUGAAAAAGGGCUCAGAGGAGCACCGGACGAUGCACCGGACGAUGCCUCUGUGCGUCCGGUGCGGUGAGUGUGCCAGACUGCACUCACCGGACGCAGGAACAGUGUCCCUGCUGCGUCCGGUGCGGUGCGUCCGGUGCUCACCUAGCGUGACCUGAAGCACCGGACGCUAAAGCCAGCGUCCGGUGCCUAUCGUCCGGUGUGAUGCAGUUUUGCAUAUCUCUCUGCGCAUGAGUCCGGUGGUCACCGGACGCGUCCGGUGCCACAUUAAGAGCGUCCGGUGAUCCCGCGGCGGCCGCUUAAAGCCCGCGCCCAGGGGCAUCUCGCGGCGUUUUUCUCCCUCUUUCCUCCAUCGCCCGAGUGUUGACAGUCCUUAAUGCUCACAUUUAACCAUCAACUAAUCAUAGAAAAGGAUCCAAAUGCAACCAACACCUAGACUUAGGGUUUUAUCUGACAGAAUUCCACAAGUUUUGGUGUUUGUCUAUUUCUGCAGGGGGUUAUCAGGAAAUACGGAAGAAAGGCCCACACGUCGGGUUUACAUAGAGAUAUUAACGUGCCGCGUAAUUUUCUAUCAUCUAGAAGACUCCAGAAGCCACGGGACCGAAGCGGAAGCCGAGAGGCCUCAGGGACAGGGCGCCCGCCCUAGUCCUGAGGGCGCCCGCCCUCCCCCCUGGACCAAUCAGGGUGAAGUUCGGGGAUCGUGCUCCACCGACCUAAGGGACCAAGGAAAACCGUGUGAUUAAUGUCGGUUUGAUCCGACGGCCCAGAUUCAUCUGAAAAGACUAUAUAAGCAAGGCCCCCUGGCCCCUUGAGAGCAUACCUCUUCUACAGAAUCAAAGUUAGGGUUUCAAUUCUUCAUCCAAGUAGAGAGGAUCCCUCUAGUUCUUCUAGUUCUACCUCUAGUUCAUCUAGAUCUAGUUCUAGUUCAUCUAGUUCUAGUUCUAGUUCUUCUAGUUCUAGUUCUAGUUAGUUCUAGUUGUAAUCUAGAAAAUAGGGAGAGAGAAGAGGAGAGUGGAGGAGGAGCCGGAUCUGUCGGAUCUUCCUCAACAUUAUACUUUUGCAGCAUCUGGUUCGUUCUUCAUCGUUCUCCAGGUUCUUCAAUUCAUAAUCCUGAGUUCUUUAAUUACUUUUAUUUACAUUCAAGUUAUUUAUUGGAUUCCCGCUUGCAUCAAGUGCUCUAGUCUUUAUAACGCUAGAGUAGUAAUUAAUAGAUUAGACGUGGUGUUUAGUCUUGCGAUUACCUGGAAUUGCACCCAAUCCUACGGAUUGUUGUGGUAGCCCUAGGGUAGUGACAGCCCUAACGGUCGACGUAUUCCACCACGUUCGGAUCGGUGUUUGUAGGACCGUAGUUAGAACUUCCUAGCCCCCUUCUCAUCUCUUUCCGUGGUUAGUGCUCUGAUGUCCCGAUAUAGAUAAUCUUGAAGUAAUUCUUGAUUCUUAGAUCAACUAGAGAACUCUCAGGAAACUUCCUCUCUUCCCACCAAAAAUAAUGAUAUAGUUAUCCUUGGGCGAUCUUGGAUCUUAAUUAGUACACUCACGUUCCCUGUGGAAAAUCGAUACUCUGGAAUACUCCCGGGUGAAAGCUACAUCGGUAUCCGUGCGCUUGCGGAUUUUUCUGUUUGCGUUUAAAAUACCCAACAAGCUUUCUGGCGCCGUUGCCGGGGAACGGUAGCUGUGCUAGUUUCGAACCAAGUCGUCCGUGUAUCCUUUUUCUUUUCCUUUUUUACCACACUCACCUUACCGUUUUCAUCACACCACAUGGAUUUCACUCUAAGCAUUAAUGAGCAUGGAAUUUAUUUCAUAGCCACUUCACUUACUCCAUGCUCACAUGCAACAUCUUCACAAUCCAUUGGUCUCUCCAACAUCACCACAUUCGAGAUCUCCAACCCCCACUUCCUUUCUAUUUAUAAAAACUUUAAAAGGGCGGUUGUCGAUGCAUAUGUCUAUAAGAAAUAUUGCAGAUCUCGUUGAGUUGAUCUUGAUAUAGGUCAGCGUUGGAGGGGAAACCACUUCGCCAACAUUAAUUGAUGGUUUCCCAAGGACAAGCUUAGUGUCCUGAAACAAGCACUGAUCAGAUUGUAACAUGAGCUUUUAAUUAUUUACAACAUUACCUUGUGUAUUGAGCAUAUAAGGAUAAUUGUAAAAAAAUUCCUUCGGGUAUUCUUGUCACUAACCUUUCCAGGAUUGGAGCAAGAAGAUCGGAUGAAUGACAAGCACAAGGUAUGUACAACCAAUCAUCAUACAACAUUGAAUUAAAUUCAUCCAAACUUGAAUUUUGCAAAAUUCAAGCUUGGGGGAGUACUUUACAUAAAAUCAUCCUUUGCCAUGUUGCUAUGUUGGUUGUCCCUACCUUUGAGACAUGCUCAAUUUGUUAAAUACUAAUCACACUACUUCAUCUCCACUUGAGUAGAUCUCUAUAAAUGCUCUCAUGCUACCUUUAUUUGCUUUAGUAUAUGUCUAGGUUUGGAGUAGUUUCAUUUAUCUCUUACUUAAGCAUGGUGCUUAGUUUAGGGCUGAUGAUCUUACUUCCAAGGGAGUUUAAAUUAAGCAUGAAGCUUAGGUUAAAAUGCCCUCCUAAAUCAAAUUAGACAUGGUGUCUGGGUUGAUCUUUGAGCCAAUAGUAUGCUAUAGUAGAUACUGGAUAUUUUGUUGGACUAACCCUUGCAGGAAUACUUUCAAUAUCAACCUGGGAAGUCCUGAGAUAAACUCACAUUAGAGACAAAGAGAGACACACAUGAAGUUGAACAAUUUACACAAGGAAGGCAUAGCUCACAAGAGAUGAUCCAUGGAGGUGCCACAAACACAAUGCACAACCGCUAAGAAAGGAAAGCUUCCACAAGGUGAUACUGUACCAUCACUCUUCAAGUAAGGUAACAUCUUAAGGUACUUGACUAUCACUUCUAUAAGCUUCUCCUUGGUUCUGGCAUUCACAUGAAUAAAAGAGACAAACAUGUAAGAUUUACAACUCUAGAUUAACCAACCCAAUCGAUUCAAUAUGUUUAGUCCUUCCACCGUUGUGAUCCCACACUCCUAAUCUUAUGAACUAAAAUGUUGCACACUCAAUCUUUGGAAGAUAUAUUUUAUAAAAAAAAACAACAUAAAUAUAGAUAGAUUAUCUUUCCAUUAGGUUGAGCGAUUUGAUCUGACAAAUGUUUUAAAUGUUAUACUCAUGAUCUUAUUAUCCAUCAACUUUCUCUUGCUCACUAUGCUUAAGGUUAGAGAAGAACAAAUACACUUUUGGUUCUGUUGGUGUUUUCCACCAACAGGGCCCAUGCACUUGAUCUCUGCCUUGUCUCUAUGAGCAGGUACACUUCGAGCAAGAUAUGAGGGACUUUUACAACUCCCAGACUCCACCAAGUGAAGAACCCAGAUCUACGAGCCCAACACACUGGAAAUACUGGACACUCAGGCAAUCACUACCCUAGGAUGCUUGAGGACGUAACUACGAGAGUAACCCCAUUGUGGAAGUAAUUACUGACCUUCUGCUGGUUAAGAGAGGCGAUCCAGGACGCACCGUCAUCCCGAUCUCCAUCGGCAUGGUGGACUUCCCAGAAGCACUCUACAACUUUGGCUCCAGCGUUAACAUUAUGCCCAAGGGAAUAUUGAAGAACCUCUACGUCCGAGUUGGUACCUUGGAGGCCAUUCCUAAACACUUCGGGAGCUGUCAUCUACGCUAGUGCUGCCAAGAUCAGUUUCUACAUCAAAGGGAGAAAUGAGACGUUUUCCUUCAAGAACAAGACUACAUAAAUCUCAGAGCAUUCCCGACAUGAACCAAGGAAGAGGACCAACAGGAGGAAUAGGAACAAGCAAAUGUGGACUGAGUCAGCUAAGAUGGUCACUACAGCUCAAGGAGGUCAAGAUCGUCAACUCAAGUCACCUUUCUUGAUCAAGAAGGACGACCCUGGUGUCCCAAGCAUCGAGUGCACAAUCAACGGAUAUUCUUUUCAGAAGACACUCUACGACAUCGGGUCAGGCAUCAACAUAAUGGCCGCAGGCACCUAUCAACUCCUGUUCGGAACCAUACCCCUAAAACCGACAUACAUUUAGCUCUAGAUGGAAGAUCAGACAUUCCGAAAGGUUUAAGGUUAUUGACAUGGGAGAAGACGAGUAUGAUCCACCCAUCAUCCUUGGAAGACCGUUCCUCAGCACUGUUAAAGCAAUCAUCUACAUUGAAACCGGAGAAGUCCACAUGCACUUCACCUCUGAGAAGGUAUGCCGCUGUUUUACUGACCCUAACUAUAUAGUUGAAGACUCUAAGCAGGUCAGGACAAGAAGAAGACGACGCAACCGCAACCAGAGGAGGCAAAUCAUCAAGGACGGAUGGGCAGACUAUGAAGGAGAAGUUGUAAGGUCUGAAGACAUACAGCUUGAACAGAACUGUCCUGAGGAGACCGUAGCACCGAGUCAGGUGUGUAGAGAGAAGAUAGUUAUACAUGAAGAGCAGGCACUGCCGGAACCACCGACUACGCCAUCCAGCAAAUCCCAGGACAACUGAGAAAAUAGAGAGUCCCGUUCGGAGGACUUAAAAACGCCAAACGCCUUGGUAAGAGUUAAACUUGGUAGUUAUCCUUUUUCCCUUUCAAUUAUUUAAAAUAGUUUGCUUAGUUAAUCAGGUUCAUAUCAUCUUAAAAAGAAAAUAAAAAUGUUAAAAAUAGUAAGCCCCAUGUGAGUAUGCUCAUGGCAUAAAACCCAUAAGUACAUUCACUGUGGUGGCAUAAAAAUAAAAUAAAUAUAUUCCUGUCCUAUAAAAAUAAAAUUAUAAAAAUAAAUUUAUGAUCCUACUAAACAGAGUAAUAUUUAUUGAGGAGGCUCAACAUGAUAAAGGCUAGAUAUUUAUGCUAACACUUAACUAGUUCCACAAAGCUUUGCUGUCUAUUUGAGCUCCACAGAAUUUAAGGAUCAAAGAAGACUAGCAGACGGAGGACAUCCUAAUCGCUGUCAGAGCCGACAUUCAAAUACAUCUCCGCCACCUGCUAGCUACAUCAAAAGGAAUUAUGUCAAAAUCCAGCUUGGGGGAGAGCACCCCCAUUUAUCCAGCUAAGUAUUCUACUCACGUUUAUACUUUACUCUAAUAAUAAAAAGAUGCAUAAUCAUAUAAACCCAAAUAAAGAUUUUGUGCUUAUAUAUAUAUUUGCUUAGUUUGCUAAAUAAAAAUUUGCUAUGAACCCUCAUGAUAAGCUCUCACAUGGAAAGAUGAAUAGUUGCUCUGCCAUGACUAGUUCUCAAAAUUGAAAUCUCUCUCAAGUUUAGGCAUCACUAUUAUUAAUUAAGAUUUGCUCUAAACCUGAACUUGUGGGAAGAGUACUUGAUCUGAAGUCUAAGUCGUUAACGGAUAUGAUAUGGGAAGGUUGAGCUGCUGUUUAUCUAUUCCUAGAGAUGCUAGAAUUUUGGAGAAUUUUAUCUUUGAAAAUCUUUAAAAUAUCACAUGAUGAGUUCCUGUAUGAUGAGAGUUUAAAUUCCUACCACAGCCAUAUAUACAUGCUUUCUAGACUUUGAGCCACACAUUUACUUUUUACUGCUUAUGAGCAUUGAGUGUGGUCAAGCUGUGUAGACCCUUAGGAGCUUGUCAUGUGGUUAAGUCAAGAUUCACUUGCACGUUCACUCAUACAUGCUACUUCUACUCUGGAAGUACCAUCCACAUAUACCCAUUUCCAUCUCCAGAACCACCCAAAAAUAUUCUACUCCUAAUCCGGGAGAGAAUAGCCAAAAAUAUUCCUGUUUUUCCCCUGUGAAAUAAAUGCUCAAGUUAUCUUGUUACUACCACUUGCUAUAUUAUCUCAUGAGAUGAGUGCUCUAAAAAAAAGAAAAAAGAAAGAAAAAAAUAUAUACGAGGAAAUAAAAAGGGGCAAGUGCCCGGAACCUCGAAAGAAAAGAAAAAGUGAGACGAGAGGUAAAAAUGGACAAGUGUCCGACAGUAGAAUUAGGGGUACAAGAUACCCACCUGAGAGAAAAGAAAAAGAAAAUAUAGAGCAUCUCAUUCUCCUCAAAAAGUUUCAAAAGAGCAAGAAAGGUAUGUAUCCCCUCAAAAGAGCAUAAGUAGAAUUAGACUUUCACCAUUGUUAUCACCAUCAUCACCAUACACCAUUCAUUCGCCACACAUGCACAUCUUGAUUUGACUUAUUGACUUGUUCUUUUGGAUCCAUGGUUUGACUAUGCAGUAAAUGUCUUGUAAGUAUGUAUUAGCUGUCUCCUACCUAUGAGCUCCAGAUAUCAAAAGCCUUAUUAGAGUAGGGUGAGAGAGAAGGCAAUGUCACUAUGCCUUAUACCACAAAUACCACAUACUUUGAGAGAAGGCAUAUACCAUUACUGCCUUGGUAAGGAUCCAGAAAUACCACAAAUGAGAGACUAGAGAGAGUCAUACAAGGAAUCUCUGAGUUUUAUUUGAAAAUCUGCAAAAACCUCAGAGCUAUAGCUGAUCAAGAAUAAGAGACAUGGCACUUGACUAGACUGUUCUAUCUUUUAACUACUCAAGACAGAAGUGACGGUUGCAAGCCCCAUGGUGAAGGUAAAAUGAGUAAGUUUAAUUCUUAACAGUUUACCCUAACUCAGAGAUGAGAUCUUGUUUGAACUCAUGUGUACCUUUAAGGCAUGAAACCACUGCAGAAACUCUUGAGUUCAUCUUUGCUCAGGGACGAGCAAAGGUUAAGCUUGGGGGAGCUUGUUGACGGUCCUUAAUGCUCACAUUUAACCAUCAACUAAUCAUAGAAAAGGAUCCAAAUGCAACCAACACCUAGACUUAGGGUUUUAUCUGACAGAAUUCCACAAGUUUUGGUGUUUGUCUAUUUCUGCAGGGGGUUAUCAGGAAAUACGGAAGAAAGGCCCACACGUCGGGUUUACAUAGAGAUAUUAACGUGUCGCGUAAUUUUCUAUCAUCUAGAAGACUCCAAAAGCCACGGGACCGAAGCGGAAGCCGAGAGGCCUCAGGGACAGGGCGCCCGCCCUAGUCCUGAGGGCGCCCGCCCUCCCCCCUGGACCAAUCAGGGUGAAGUUCGGGAAUCGUGCUCCACCGACCUAAGGGACCAAGGAAAACCGUGCGAUUAAUGUCGGUUUGAUCCGACGGCCCAGAUUCAUCUGAAAAUACUAUAUAAGCAAGGCCCCCUGGCCCCUUGAGAGCAUACCUCUUCUACAGAAUCAAAGUUAGGGUUUCAAUUCUUCAUCCAAGUAGAGAGGAUCCCUCUAGUUCUUCUAGUUCUACCUCUAGUUCAUCUAGAUCUAGUUCUAGUUCAUCUAGUUCUAGUUCUAGUUCUUCUAGUUCUAGUUCUAGUUAGUUCUAGUUGUAAUCUAGAAAAUAGGGAGAGAGAAGAGGAGAGCGGAGGAGGAGCCGGAUCUGUCGGAUCUUCCUCAACAUUAUACUUUUGCAGCAUCUGGUUCGUUCUUCAUCGUUCUCCAGGUUCUUCAAUUCAUAAUCCUGAGUUCUUUAAUUACUUUUAUUUACAUUCAAGUUAUUUAUUGGAUUCCCGCUUGCAUCAAGUGCUCUAGUCUUUAUAACGCUAGAGUAGUAAUUAAUAGAUUAGACGUGGUGUUUAGUCUUGCGAUUACCUGGAAUUGCACCCAAUCCUACGGAUUGUUGUGGUAGCCCUAGGGUAGUGACAGCCCUAACGGUCGACGUAUUCCACCACGUUCGGAUCGGUGUUUGUAGGACCGUAGUCAGACCUUCCUAGCCCCCUUCUCAUCUCUUUCCGUGGUUAGUGCUCUGAUGUCCCGAUAUAGAUAAUCUUGAAGUAAUUCUUGAUUCUUAGAUCAACUAGAGAACUCUCAGGAAACUUCCUCUCUUCCCACCAAAAAUAAUGAUAUAGUUAUCCUUGGGCGAUCUUGGAUCUUAAUUAGUACACUCACGUUCCCUGUGGAAAAUCGAUACUCUCGAAUACUCCCGGGUGAAAGCUACAUCGGUAUCCGUGCGCUUGCGGAUUUUUCUGUUUGCGUUUAAAAUACCCAACACCGAGUCGCGCAACUCCCUCUCCUUGCCCUAGCGCCGCCGCCCCCGUUCGCUCGACAAUCUCCGGCGAUCUCGUUCUUCCCCCUGCGGCCAGAUCUCGCCCCCGGUUUCCUUUCUUCUCUCCUCUCGGUUGAGAUCCAAUCUCGCGGGGAUUUAGGGUUUCUGGGAGAGUUGCUUAAGUUCUGCCCCCAAGGUGAGGAGUCAAUUGAGGAUUUGAUCUUGAUUUCGAUUGUCUCACUCGUGCAGCACUUUGAGGAUUUGAUUAGUGUUCUCCAGAGGUUUCCGAUCGUGAUAUUUCAUCCGGAACGUGUCUCGUCCGUGGAUCGUAAGCCGUUCGCGCCCAUAUCUUAUCUAUUCUUGCGAUCUAUAGGAUUGUCUCAUCUCUAGUCGAUAUGAUUGCUUAUGUAUAUAUCCUAUCUUGUCUAUUCUCUGCAGCGCAUUAAUCUCCGUUGUCAGUUGGUUGUUUGUCGGACAUUUGAUCAGUCAUUAGUUCUUGCAAUGGCACGUUGCAAGAAUGUCAGCGGUCCGGCAGCCGGCACUGGAGGUUCCUCAGGUGGUGAUGGUGGAGGUGAUCCUCCCCGUCGCCUAUCAGCGGCAGAAAAAGGCAAGGGCAAGAAGCUGGCUACCAAGAAGCGCAAGGCCAGUGACAGAGAUGCAGAGGUGGCAGAGGCAGUUGCAGCAGCGGCCGAGGCAGCUGAGAGAGGUGGACGUUCUGGUGCUUUGAGGAUUGGGGAUGACCUCACGCCACGGCAGCGGCGUGCAGUUCUUGAGACAGAGGCAUUCCAUGGAUCCCCUCCAGGCACCGUGACGGUUGGAGGACAGAGGAUUAGGCUCGUGGUUACGGAUCCGGCUCAGGAGGAUCCAGACACUGAGACAGAGACCCAGGCAGAGGGUCCAGCACAGGAGCAGGAGCAGGAGCAGCCCCUCCGGAGGUCGACUCGCGCUCGUACCCAGGCCACUCCUCGGACUGGUACGCAGGGUCAGUCCACCUCUAGUGCUCGUGCUACACCAGCUAGAGGCACUCUAGCUUCUCGACCAAGGCCAGUCAGGAUCCACAGGGAUCUCACUCUUGUGUCAGCCAGAGAGAUCCAGCAGCUGAGGUUCGUUCCGUUUCCCACCUGGUUUCCAACUGCCAGGGAUCCCAGAGCCGGUGCCAGGUUCUACACAGUCAUCCAGGAGGACAUCCACGAGGCACUGGUUCGCUCUCAGGCACAGUUCAGGGAGCACAGAGUGAUAGACCUAGAGAUUCUGGGGAACGUGGUUGGAGCAGACAUUCGUCAGUAUUUCACCUACCUCCACGGACUCCCAGAGCUGCUAGCACUCCCUGGUACUUAUUGUGAGCAGUGGGUCAGAGAGUUUUACGCGUCAGUAUGGGUGUCUCCAGACCACAGCUACAUACACUACGCUCUGGCAGGCACAGACUACAGAGUUACAGCUCAGAGGGCCAGAGAGGUGCUUGGGCUGCGAGCCUCUCCCACCAGGAUUCAUCGGUUGUGCUACGGGAACGUCGAGCCCCCUCGUCGUCCUCACGGUGGUGAGAUACCACCGGUUGACUUCGUGGCUCCCUGUUUCUGUCCACCUUUUGGGGAGGGCUCCAGCAGGACAGUGGGAGAUUUGACUCGACCAGCUAGGAUCCUCGACUUUGUGUUGAGGAAGACUCUUCUCCCUAGGACAGGCUACAGAGACGGAUUCACUCGUAUUCAGCAGUGGCUCGUUGCUCACCUCAUCAGUCAGACACAGUUUGACCUAUGGGAUCUGAUUGUCUCAGAGAUAGAUGACACCAUCUCAGAGAGCUUCAGGGACCGGCGUCAGUUGCCCUACGCACAUUGGAUCACCUUGCUUAUACUUCGUGCUAGGCCACUGCCCUUGCCAGCUCACUUGCAGAGGGAGUUGACAGAGUCAGACACCGUCUUCCCCCACUACGACCCCAGGCAGAUGUUGAGAGCGCACCACGACCUCCGAGCUGCUCCUCCUCCUCGUGCACCACGCGGACCGGUGCCCCCACCUUCUCCUAGGGGUACCCGCAGUACAGCAGCAGUUCCAGAGACAGAGGAGCAGCAGGAUAUAGCCAUUGGGGCUUUCACAGAUGCAGAGGCAGAGGGAGAGUUUGACUUCGCCUCAGACAGCUCGGAUGAUGACUAUCAGCCGCCAGUGACAGAUCUCCCUCCCAGAGCACACGACCAUGAGGCAGGCGGUUCUUCGAGUGCUUCAGACCCUGCCCUGCUUGCUAUCUUAGAGGGGAUGAGAGCAGAUCAGCGCCGUGCAGCUGAGGAGCAGGCGAGGCGAGAUAGGGAUCAGGCUGCCAUCAAUGCAGCCAUGCAGGCUAGGCAGGAUGAGCUCCAGCGUCAGCUUCUCACCUUUCAGGAGCAGCAGCUUGCUUUCCAGGCCCAGCAGACAGCGAUGAUGGCCGCUCUCAUGGCCGCCUCAGGGAUCCAGCUACCGCAGAUUCAGCUCCCAGGCACCUCGACUGUCAGGCCACCUACUCCGGCGCCCCAGACUCAGAGUCCGUCUCAGCAGCUUCUCCCGCUACCAGCUCAAAGUCAGCCGUUUUCGACGCUGCAGCACCAGGUGUCUCAGGGUGCUAUCUCUUCAGGCUUUGAGCAGGUACCUCAGUUUACUCCUCUCCGCUCAGGCUUCACUCCUUAGUCAGCGUCAGCGUCACAGCUUGUGUGGGACUCGCAGACAGAUCCGCACCUCAGCUUCACCUACAGUGCUCUGACUUGUGACCCUACGCCUCCUCCUCUGCAGGCCCCUGCAGUCUUUACGGCGCCAGUUACCACUACAGAGCUUCUGUCGUCGUCUGUAGCGUCGUCCGAGCAGCUUGCACCGUCUUCUACCGUGCCAGAGACGACAGCUACCGCGACCGAGCCCGUGCCUGCUUCGUCAGCCAGACUCGAGCAGCCAGCACAGCCUGUGACAGCUCCAGAGCAGACCCGGACCGCUUCACCAGCUCCUGCAGCUUCAGAGGGUCACUCCACCUCCUCUGCCUCGACGGUCGAUAGUUCAGAUGAUGCAGCUUGCUUCGUGGCCGUGCCGAGGGACUCCACUGCUCCGCCUCCUCCACCGGCUACUUAGGUUUUUGGCGCUUGAUGCCAAAGGGGGAGAGAGUGCGUAGAGUUAGGAGUUAGGAGUUAGGGGGAGCUAGAGAGAGUGUUUAGGAGUUUUAUUCUUGUGGGAUACUUGUUAUGUGUGCUACUUUAUCAUGCAUCACGUUUACUUUCAUGCAUUGCACUUGUGUGAGUUGCUUUGGUUGUGAGACAUGACUUGUGCUUAAUGUGAUAUCUUAAUGUCAUGUGUUUUGGCUCAUAUUACCUUUGCUUCCGCGUUUUACUCCGAUGUACUUAUGAGCCUUAUGUUAAUAUCCUAUCGUAUAUCUCUCACAUAUUUGGGUGCAGGAUAUUGGACUUGGUUGAUACAAGCAUGACUAAUCCCGUUGUUCUUAUUGUAUCAUGCUUAUUGAAACCGAGUCACUUCAAAAAAAACCUCAACUCUUUUCAUACUCGAGGUUGUCAUCAAUCACCAAAAAGGGGGAGAUUGAAAGAGCAUCUAGGCCCCUAGUGAUUUCGGUGAUUAAUGACAUUAUUGAUUACUAUGACUAACGUGUGUUUUGCAGAGGCAAAGUCAUAGGUAAGGUCAUGGUAAAUAGGUACUCGAUGGACAGGGACGUACAUGCCAACUUAAUAGUGGAAAUCGUUUUCGGUUUUCAAAGGAUGGAUAGACAUCGUCAAGACUAGACUAGGUCUAAGUGCCAUAUGGUGAAGAAGGGCACUUAGAGUAGUUUAGGACUUUAUUUUCCUUUGACCGUACUAUUAAGAGGGGCUUUGAUCUAGUAGCUUGACUUAGGCAAGGCUUUAGGUUUAGGUGUGGUGCACACUUGGUAAACCUACAACUAGGCAGCUCAGAGAUAGUCCUUAAAUCGAGAGGAACCAACUUCGUUUUGGAGCGAUCGCGUUUCGAUGAAGUUUGGGUGCCCAAAGGGGCACCGGACGCUGCACCGGACGCUCUGUGAGUGCGUCCGGUGAGGUCCUUAGCCGUUGGAACAGUGUGGUGCUUAGGGUUAGGCACCGGACGCUAGCACCGGACGCACCGAGCAGCGUCCGGUCCCAUACCCAGGGAGGUUGCAAGCCUUCCCUGAGCACCGGACGCUAGCACCGGACGCAUCGGGUAGCGUCCGGUCCCUUGCGCAGGGAGCUUGUAAAGUUCCCCCGAGCACCGGACGGUGCACCGGACGCUGGGAGUUAGCGUCCGGUGACCUGUCAGAGAGAAGUACAGGUAGCCGUUAUGAAGCACCGGACGCUCGGUGCAGUGCGUCCGGUGCAACAUAAUGUGCGUCCGGUGACCCCGUUUUCAGUGGAAAAUGGUUGGCCGACCUUUGGACUUCGUGGAUAGUAUUUAUACUCCUCCACCUCGUCCAUGAGAGCUCUCUUGCCCAUUUGAACAUCAGAGAAACUUGUUGUGGAGCAAGAGAGUUGCAAGAGCCUAGAGAGGAUUGAAGUUUGAGUGAUUUCUUGAGAGAAUCCUUCUCUAGUGAGUUCCAAGAGUCAAGUGUGCAUCCACCACUCUCUAGAGCCUUGUUUGGAUCAAGUGAGUGUUCUUUGCUUGUUACUCUUGGUGAUCGCCAUCACCUAGACGGUUCGGUGGUGAUUGGAGGCACGAAGACCGCCCGGAGUUCUUGUGGGUGGCUAGUGUCAAGCUUGUGAGCGGUUUUGGGCGAUUCACCGCGAGGGAGUGUCGAAGAAUCAGCCCGUAGAGAGCACUUGGUCCUUGCGCGGACCAAGGGGGAGCAAGACCCUUGCGCAGGUGCUCCAACGAGGACUAGUGGAGAGUGGCGACUCUCCGAUACCUCGGCAAAACAUCGCCGAGCACUUUCUUCCACUACUCCUUUACUUUCUAGCAUUUACUUUGUGCUUUUACAUUCUUAGAAUUGCCAUGCUAGAAUAGGAUUGGAACUAGGUUGCAAAACUUUUAUCCGGUAGCUCUCUAAGUCACACUAGGCACAAGGGGUUGAAUUGGAGCUUAUAGGUUGCUUAAAUUUUUAGAGAAGCCCAAUUCACCCCCCCUCUUGGGCAUCUUGAUCCUUUUAAUGUGGACGAUUAUGAAUGUUUUUUUCCUUGUUAUUGAAUUAGAUAUCUCUGCAAUCUGACAUGAGGAGUGGGAUUUCUUAAACUGCCAUUUUCCAAGCAGGUAGCAACAGUACUAAACUAAAUCAUAUGUAAUGAAGCCUUUACCAUUCUAGUCUUUCAUCAAUUGCCUCUAUAAAUUGCAUGGCCUGGUUGCCUCCUUUCUCCAACUCGCACACCCUCCCUUUCAUUCCAACAGCAGAAACAGGCGUUACUGUUCGGUGGCAUUGCAAUGUCUUUCUUGUGGACUCUUCCUGUGGCUCACAUCUAUCACUUGACCUGGAAAAGAUGAAUUCAUUCGCCAAACUAAACAGACUGAAGUUUACACAAAUUGGCACUACAAAUUAUAUUCGUCUAUAAAAUAUGGACAACGAAUAUUUUUUGACACAAUCGGCAGGGAAGUCCCCUACCUAUUUUUUUCAUUUUAUCAAUGUUUUAAAUAGCGGGCUAACACGUUUAGCAGUUCAUGUCUAAAGCAGCUAAUAGCGGAGCUAAAUCGGGCUAUAGCGGAAUAUAGCGGCUAAAUUGUACAUGAACAUAAAUAGUGGUACUCUGCCUUAAAAGUCUAUAGCGGCAGCUAUAGCGGGAUAUUUAAAACUAUGCAUUUUAUUGAUUUAUGUACAAAGAAUAAAGAAUACAAAGGCCUUCAAGGCCCAAAGCGAAAAAUACAGUGGAAACUAGAGUCUAUUCUCACACCAAAGUUUCAAUGGGUCAGCAAUCCUCUGUUUGGCCUUGAUGAGCCUAUCUCCUCCUUUAGCAGGAUUUUCCAUUCAGUAAGAGAGACUGCUUUAUUGUCAAAAAUGGCACCAUUUCUGACUUUCCAAAUUGUCCACGCUGCUGUGAUGAAGAUUUCUCUGAAGAUGUGGCUUCCAAAAUUUAUUCUGGCUUUUGUCAGCAUCUCGUGGGGAGGGAGGUCAAGAUCCCAGUCAAUUUGCAGCCAGUUCCAGCAAGAUUGGCUGAAGGCACAUGUGAAGAACAAAUGCAAACAUGUCUCCUCUGGACUAAGAUUACAGAGAGCACAAGCAUAGUUGUCCAGAUGCAUUUUUUCCUCUUGAGGAGGUUUCUUGUACACAAACGGUCCCUAACCAGUAGCCAUGCAAAGAAUUUAUGUUUUCCAAGGUUUCCCCCUUUCCAAAUCCAUUUGAAGAUCGGUGAAGCAUUAACUUGGCCUUGGAGAUGGUUGUAUGCUUUUCUGGGAGAGAAGGUGUUUCCCCAGUUGUAUUCCCAAGAAUCAAGACUUUCUGAGCUUACAAGAUUUUGAGUUAGGAUUGCAUCUAGAUCAUACAGUUGGUCAGCAGCUUGCUCUGAGAGGGACAGGAAGAGGGUAGCUUCUGGGUCCUUUUCUACAAAAUACUUGAGUGACCAGUGUUCUUUCUACAGAACGAAAAUAGUUGUGGAAACUGCCCUUCCAACAGUUGUCGUGACCAAUUGUCAAACCAAAGAGUGGUGGUGUUACCUUUCCUAGGAUUACACCUUGCAAAACUUCUGAAUUUCGGGAAGAGCUUUAAAAUAUCUUUCCACCAGAAGGAGCCACAUGGGUUUUUUUCAUGUGGUGGUAUGUUCUCAUUACGGUAUAGCUUGGACCAUGUCAAUUGAACCCAAGGGACUGCAACAUGGUUAUAGAAUUUGUCGAGGAACUUCAUAAGGAGGGCACUGUUUUGGUUUUCUAAGUUGAUGAUGUUUAGUCCUCCUUCAGCUUUGGUUCUGCACAGUUCUUUCCAGGCUACCAGACAUGUGCCCUUUCUAUUGAUAUCUCCUUUGCUCCAGAUGCAAUGUUUUCUGAAUCUAUCAAUCUGCUCAAGGACCUGAAUUGGGAUGGACAAAGUGCACAUAUAGUAGGUGGGGAGAGCAGAAAGGACCGAGUUGACCAGUAUCAAUCUUCCAUGAUAAGAGAGAAAUCUGUUAAAUCCCGAGAGUCUUCUUUCCAUUCUAGAGAGUAAAGGUGUGAAGUCCUGAACUAUAGGUCUUGUGGUUCCGAGAGGAAGUCCAAGAUAUGUAAAGGGCAUGCUUCCAGCCCUGCAGCCAAAGGUGGCUGCUAAGUGGGACAACUUAGCUUCAGAGACAUUGAUGGGAAGGAGACAACUUUUGCUGAAGUUCACAUUAAGUCCUGUUGAAUCAGAGAAACCUCUGAGCAGUCCUUUUAGAAUGAAAAGUUGUUUAGCUUCUGCUGGGAGAAUGAGUAAUGUGUCAUCAGCAUAUUGCACAAUGGGAAAGUAGUCCUCAAAGUUGUUUGAGAGAGGGUGGUUUAAAAUGCCAUCAUGCCAUGCUUUGUUGAUAAUACUCUAAAGCAGAUCAACUGCAAGCAAAAAGAGGAGUGGGGAGAGUGGGUCUCCUUGUCUUACACCUCUCUUGCAUUGAAAAGGUUUCCCAGGGAUCCCAUUCAAGAGAACUAAGGAGUUACCAGAGUCCAGGAUUGCUUUGAUCCAACUUAGCCAGUGAUUAUUGAAACCUUUGUAUUUCAUCACUUCUAGAAUAGUUUGAUGCUCAAUUUUGUCAAAAGCUUUCUCAAAAUCUAGCUUCAAAAUUACCACUUCUUUCUUGGAGUGGUGACAAAGGUGUACGAAUUGAAAGGCCUAGGCUAGGCAGUCUUGAAUGCUUCUGCCUUUGAUGAAACCAUAUUGGUUAGGGUGGAUGAGUUUUGUGAUUACCGUCUGUAAUCUGAUAGAUAGGAGUUUUGUGAUGCACUUAACUGAGCAAUUGAGCAGUGAAAUAGGCCUGUAAUCAUCUACUGACUCUGGGUGAUCUUUUUUGGGAAUAAGGGCAAUGUAAGGGCUAUUGAUACUUGUAAGAUAAAUGCUGUUGUUGAAGAAAUCUUUGAAUAAUCUUUGAAAAUCAUUUUUGAUAAUGUGCCAGCAGUGUCUUAUGAACUUCCCAUUGAAACCAUCAGGACCCGGAGCAUGAUCAAGUGGGAUACUUUUAACGACAGCCUCAAAAUCCGUGUCAUCAAAGGUUCCUUCAAUUUGCCUAAGGUCAUGUCUGUCUAACAAGUUGUUUAAAUCAUAAGUGAUGUUUGAGAACUCAGAUACACCCAUUCUGUUUUUGAAGUUAGCCCAGAGCAGUCCUGCCUUUUGUUCGUGAUUUGUUACUUGGAUGUCUCCCCCUGGUACUGUCAGACUGGCAAUGCUGUUCUUUCUGUGUGAGAUGGAAGCCAUGGCUUGAAAAACCUUGCUAUUUUCAUCCCCAAGCUUAACCCAUCUGAUGGUGUUUCUCUGUUUCCAGUAUAUCCGUCUCGAUUCUAAUAGGUUGGCUAUGUGCCUUUUGACAAGGUCUCUUAGGGAUAUUUCUACCUCACAGAGAGGCCUUUGUUCCUCAAGACCAUCAAGUAGAAGAAGGACCCAUUCGCUGUUGUGUAGCAAUCGGUUGAAAUUUUGUAAGUUUUUUCUCCAUUUCUUGAGUCCAAUCCUAACUUGUUUAAAUUUUGCAUUGAGGGUUUUGGCAGCAUUGGCAAAAUAGGGGGUUGUAUUCUAGUGUAGUUCAACUGUUUUCAGAAAAUCUGCAUGCUCGAUCCAAAAAUUUUCAAAUCUGAAGAUAUUCGACCUGGGAAUGGAGCUGCCAAAAGAGAUGACAAAGGGGGUAUGAUCAGAGAUGGGCCUAUCCAGGGUUUGGACCUUAGUCAAGAGGUGUGCCCAGCUCUAGCUUUGAGAGCAGAAGACCCAAUCUAGUUUAACCAGCAGAGGAUCAGACUGCAUAUUACUCCAGGUGAAAGAUCUACCAUUAAAUGGGAGUUCAACCAAGUCAAGAGCAGAGAUGAGAUCAUUAAAUAGCUGCAUUUCGUUGACAUCUCCUCCUGGUUUGUUUCUGUCGUCUGUUGAUCUAUAGAGAUUGAAGUCACCUGCUAGGAUCCAGUCAUCUAGAUCAUCUGUGUCUAUAUUUAAUAACCAUGUUAGGAAACCCAUUUUUGCUUCAGCUUGAGAGGGGCCAUAAACAUUAGAGAGAUGGAAGGCAGUCUUAUCCAAUUUAUUCACAAAUUUCAUUGUGACACAGUAGCCAUUCGAAUGAACUACUGUUCCAUCAAAGAGCUUACCAUUCCAGAUGGUGAAGAUUCCUCCCGAGGCACCAGCUGACGGUGAGAAAGCAAAGCAAUUUAAAUGUUUUGGGCAGAAUUUUUUGAGAUAAAGGUUGUUAAAUAGUUCUCUUUUGGUUUCUUGCAGGCAAAGAACUUGGCAAGAACUUUCGGCUAUUUUAACUCUGAUUGCGUCCCAUUUGGCCUGGGAGUUUAUUCCUCUUAUGUUCCAAACUGGGAUGUUAAACUGCCUGGUGUUACUCAUAGAUAAACAUGGGUAGAAGAGAGUGAAGACUAACCCCCCAGAGGAGUUAGUAAGACCACUAGUAGAAAGAAGCCGAUGAAGCUGAUUGAAAGAACUAGUUUAUCUAUCUCAAGGCAGUUGGAUUGAUUGCAACCCAAGGCCAAAACAAAGUGAUUGAGAGGGACAUAAAACUCAGCUAGAUACCAUAAAGCAGAUCUCUCAUAGUCAUUCCAUACCAGCACACAGCAAACGUGUUCAAAAGCAAACUGCUGAACAUAAACAACCACAGGAAUAAAAGGUAACCAGCAUGCAAGCUGGGAAGGACAAGAGUGUUUGUUGCUAGGGAACAGAAAACUAGAAUUAAACAAAAGGUGCACUCUUCUCGUAGAGUGCAGAGACCAAGAGCUAAGUUCUUCAGAUUCCAUCAACAUCAACAUCCUUUUUGAAAAUGGCAGCAGAUGCAUCACUAGGGUGGAUCUGCAGGAAGCCGGUGGCAAUUCCUUGGGCUACUUCCAUCGGCAGGUAUGGAGCUGGUUCUGGAGCUGACGCCUUUGGGGAGGCGGGGACCAUGGCCAAGGGAACUGGAUGAAGCACAUCCUUUUUGAAUCCACCUUGUUUGAUGGCACUCCUCUUGCUGCGCCUGAGGUGACGGUCAUACACUUGUUGUUUAGUCUUGGAGAUCCUCCUCUUUUUCUGGGUGAACUGGUUGCUUACGAUAUCCAUCAACUCCUCUUCACUGAUCUUCAUUAGUUCAGCUCUAGUGGGUGCCACGUCCAAGUCCUGGUCACGGAUGAGGAAGGCCAACCAGGCCAGGGUCAGAAAGUCACAAAAGUAUGAAGGGAUGGGAAGAUCAGGGUUAAUAUCCAAAUGAUUUAGGAAGUUAAAAACACUAGGAGCAGGAGAUUUUGAGAUGUAAUUGAGUACCUUGUUUAUGUGCAAGUUCAGAUUCAACUUUACUGGUGGAACAUUGGAAUGCUCCUCCAAGAUUGUUCCAACCACCACUGAUUUGAGCCUGGGACUGUCUCUGUUAAACCCUGGAGGAAUUGAUUGGUACCUGUCUUCAAAAACAGGUGCAUCUGCCACGAAUCCAGGCUCUCCAAGCUCUGCUUCUAGACCCUGCUUCAUUCCCUGACCUUCAGCCUUACCUAUUGGGGUGUUUGAGCCACCAGCAGCAGAAAUAACAGGACUGGCACUCGGAUUAGCCGGCGGCACCGGAACUUCCCAGUGAGGAGCAGGAGUUGGGAAGGGGUGCAGUGGACCAAUAGUGACGAAGCCUUCCUCAUCUGGCAGUAAAGUGACAUUGUUUCUCUUCAGGAUGUAGCAAGGUGAAGUCCAGGAUUUCCCAUUGGGGGGCAGACCAGUGAUCAACUUGAUGGAGGAUGGGAUCUUGGCGUCAUCAUUGAGGUAGACUUUGGCUGUGACACAUCCUGGCUGGGUGUCAUCCCAACCAAUCAGGAUGCCAAACUGUGAAACUGCCCUUGCGACAUGCUACGUGUACCUCAGAUCCUCGGGGUAGACCAGAAUCAGAAUCAUGGCUUCACGAUCGAUGGGGAAGGCUCUGGCAUUUUCCGCCUCAUCAUGUCGGACGAAGUGCAAGAAGUAAUUACCAAACACAAAAUUCAGUCCCAAGAAUCUAUCACGCUCAAAAGGAUUGCUGAAUUUGACAAAGGCAUCACCAAUAGGGCAGGGUGAGAUCUCGGUACCGUACCUGGUGCACGUCGCGGAAGAAGGCCUUGAGCUCUCUGGCCAGCAGACAGAAGUCGUCCUUGUGCACGGGUGGGGUGAGCUUUGCAAUCGCCAGGUCCUCAUUGGUCUUGUUGUAGCACCCAGUGACGUAAACUUCAUGACGCAGCAGCGGGGAUGCUUGGACGUCAUCCAGCACGAAGCCCUUGGGGACGAAGGGCCUGGGGUCCGCGGCAAAGUUCGCCAUCGGAGAGCUCGAGGGGGGUUCUGGAACUAUUGAUUGGGGGAGCAGAAAGGCGGAGUUCGAAGGAGAUGUAUCCGUGAGACUCGAGGACGGAGAAUAUAUAUCCCUUGGUCGAGACCCUUCGACUUCCUUAACAGUAACAGGCCGAAACUUCUGGGACUUGGAUUUGGAAAGGUAGGAUUUUUGGGAGUGCCCAUACCGGAAGCAGAUCUCGCAGCGGAGUCUGUCGUUGCAUGAAAUACGGUCAUGGCCUAGGCCCAGGCAACGGGGGCAACGAUUCAAAGGUCCAUAACUGGGUUUGGCAAGAUCCAACCGAGCCGAGAUUUCUUGGGGAGACUCCUGAAAAUCAGCUCGGGAGAUGGGCUUCCAAACAGGGAGAGGCCGAGAUUGGCGGGAUCGCAUCAACGCAUUUGAAUUUGAAUUUUGACGAGAUCUGCUGUUCUCAGAACUGAAGGGAUCAAGCUUAUGAUUGUUUCCCAGGAAAGCAUCAGCAUAGUUCUUCGGAUAAUGAAGGCGCUUAAACACUGAUGUUCUAAUAGAAGGAGAGGAUUUGACUAUAUCAGCGUAGCUUUUCAGAGCAGAUUGACUUUUAGGAAUAACGAAGGACCUGCCUGGUCUACGAGAAACCGUGGUCCAUUCAGCAUUUUGUUCAUCAAUCCAGAGGUUGAAUUCUCUAACCCAAUUUGGGCCACCGUUGCCCCAAAGAAAAAAGAAAAUUGCAAACAAUCGGCAGGAGAAAGUUCUCAGACUUUUGAUCAUGAAACCCACCUUCUUGCAGGAAACAUGAAAGCUAAACAUCCAACCGGACAAAUGUUUGACAUGGAAAUCCUUACUACAACCCCCAGGCAGGAUUGCAGUAGGAGACUGACCGUAUCCUCAUUGAGACGGAGGGCUGAGCGGCCAAAACUUGCGACCAACUUGAAGGAGGGGGAAAGUUGGGAGGGGGUCGGACUCACCGAGCAGCCAAAGCGCAGCGAGAUCUGGUUGCCAAACUUGAGCCUAGGGUCGAAGGAGAUGUCCGAGAGCCCAACCAUGGCCGACUUCAGAGGGGGAGGACGCCAUGAGACGGGGAUGGGGAGGGGAGCUGGGAGGUGGUGGGGGGAGGAGGAACCAUGUCGCCACUUGUUGUUUCUCUUGCUAGAUCAAUUGACAACGAACCAAAUUAGCACAUGAAUGGAUUUGCGAUUUUAUGAGAAUUUCUUAGAACCACCAACAGAGAAACCUUGAAUCCUGGUUUAGAACCACAAACAGAGAAACCUUGAAUCCUGGUUGUCAGAUGGUAACAAAUAAAGCAAAUCCAUCUAAAAUCCAACAAACUUUUUUGAAGUAGUGUUCCAGCACAAUAUAUCCCCACGCAGAUAAGAAAUUUUCUCGGUGGACAGAAACAUCCUCUCGGUUGUAGCUCAUCCUGCAAUGGUUGCAGGAAAUUCUCGUGUGCAGUAGAUUUGCUUUCCAGAGGCACUGCGGGGCAGUAUUAACUUGACCAGUGUCCUCUUGAAUCUUGAAAUAAGUCUAUAUAAUAACAAUAAUAAUGAAUGCUCGAAAAUCUGAGAUGGCAAAUAGUGCAGAAAGAAUGCCAUUUGCGACUUCGAUAUACGCUACAGGGGGAAGUUGACAGCCGUAUUAUUCAACGUCAAUAACGUAACCUAGAACUUUAGGAACAAAAGUCCAUUUUUUUUCUGUGACGGAAACUACUACUCUCUAAUAAAUAGCAUUUGGGCCUGGGACAUAUAAGCCCACCCAGAAAAAGAACAAGGAACAGGCCUAAUGGGCUACCUAGCCUGUUCUGUUUCAGCAUGCAGAAACCUACCCAGUAGGGCCAAAGCCCAACUGUACCAGCAUGGAGUACCUUGCAUGCAAAAUCGUACAGCCAAGCAAAUUAAUUAUCUUUCAAACAACGAUUCAGACAGAAGCGUCCUAAAAAAUAAUUCAAACAAACAUGGACUAUUAACAUUGUUAGGAACUAAAAUCAGUAAACGAAAGGACUUGCCAUUCCAUACAAGUCCAGCUUUUUUAACAGAACAUCUAAACAGAGUAAACCCUUAAUAAUCCUGGUUGACCCUACUAUGUUCUGGGCUCUGCUUCUAUUACAUCGCCACUCCCAACAGGAAUCACGUUACAAGGUGUGUACUUCUCCAGGUCAAUCUUGAUUGAGUCUAUAGCUUCUUCCUCUGAAGGCACCAGUCCCGGUGUUGCCGUUAGCUUGCGGCCUGACAGGAGCGUUGGCUUGCACCCCUAUUCUGUAUCGAGCAACAAUCUUAUGGCUGUGCAAGUGCAGCAGGUUAAGGAGACAAGGAGAAGAUAUUUAAAAAUAAAGUAGCAAUAGCGCAGAAAUUGAUCUUAGUUGUAUAUGCAAACUGAAAGAGAAUGCUUUGGCCAUGACCGUGUAAAAGGAUACACCCAUUUCGGAGUCUUGAGGUAGUUCUUUCCGGUGGCAAGAGGGUGCAACACUGCAAAGAAGUAGUAUAGAUGUCCAACCAUGAUACCCAGAAGGCCACCCAUUAAUGGUGACCCAAAUAUCACAUCCAAUAAGAGCAUAACCCAUGGAAGAUAAAAUGCCUGCAAAAGAGAGUACAUCAACAGCUAAUGUAUUAUUCGCAAAGCUUAAUUCGCCUGUUCACCAAUUGAGCAACACAAAGAUGGGAAUUGCAAUCAAUGGUAGUGAAAUUACAUACCCUCAAUUGGACAAGACCAUAUAUAUUUAUCUGAGCAUUCGGAUUCUCUCGGCUCCAGACAUAAACAAGCAUGUUGACCAUAGGUACUCCCAAUGUAUAAGUAUUUAAUAGGGGAAUAACAGACACCACCUGAUUCAAGCAAUACAGAGUUAUACGCAAGUUUAGUAGAAGUUCAAGAAUGUCUCUUGGUUUGGUCUAAAUUGAAAUUCUGAAUGCAGAAAGAACUAUCACUGACCAAUAGUGAGAUGGCACCAAAUAUCAUCAUCCACAAGAAAUCUGCAGUGCGUCUAUCAAAUGCUCCCUUUUCCAGCAUGACACCAUACCUUGCUCUAUGUAAGUCAAUUUCAAACAACCAAAGAUAAUUUAAAAUUAUAGAUACUGUGGAAGUAACAAUAUUUUAUCAUUGGUGUUCAGCAAAAGUGCACAACUUUCACUUACAUCAUCAGAAGGCGAAUACCGAAGUUUAUGGAAAAUGGUCCCAGAAAGAUGAAACUUGUAAAUAGCCUCCAUACCUGCAGGGUCCAUUUUUCUAAUAUAUAAAAAAUGAACAUAUGGAGCAGGACUGCAGAACAUGUAAUUUACAAGUUCCAAGCUAAGUACAUGAUAGACUGCAGAAUAUAUUAAAUCAAAACAAAAAGUGUUCUGAUCUAUUCAUAGAAAAUCAAAUAUAGCAGGGUUGAAUGCAAUACAUAUAUUUCAAAACAAACUCAAGCAAAGUAACUUCCCCUUAAUUGUCAGGCAAGGUAAUCCAGCAUGUUACAAUGUCCUACCUAAUAGAAGCUUACAAUGUUUUGCAGUCAAAACUAAGUGAUACUAAUGUUAAGCUGUAUAGAUGUGGUAAGGGGAAGAGAAAACAGAAACAGAAUCUAACCUGAAACUUCUUAAACACCCAAGGGUAAUAUAAUACAAGAAAACCCCCAUCCACGAUAUGGAGCCGAACUAGCACGGUGGUAAGGAAACACAAUGUCCCAUAUGCCUUGCUUAUAGGUGGAAGUGAUUUGUAGUACCUGAAGAAGGCAAGUGAGCACACAUUCCAAAGCAGCUUCAAAGCAAAAGGACUUUGUACUUGUUUCUUAGUAAAAAGUCUCCAGAAAUUAGUACUCCAUCCGUUCCAGAUUAUACCUUGGCUUUUCUAGAUACAUAGCAAAAUAAGCAAUGUACCUAGACAUAGUGUAUAUCUAAGUGCAUAGCAAAAGUCAUGUAUCUAGAGAAUCCAAAACGUCUUAUAAUUUGAAACAGAGGGGGUAAUAAUUUACAACUAAUGCAUGAGCAGAAAUAAGAGCAGUAGUAGUAAACCAAUGGACAAUACCUUGCUCUAUUAGUUUAGGUAAUAUACAAUCAAGAUACGAAAUUUGCAAUUAGAAGCAUAAGCACAAUGGCAAGGCUAAAGUUACUGGCAUAAGCUACUCCCUCUCAAUUGCAUUAUAGAUUUGUGGUUGAUUCUGCAUAUAUCACUCUGAUGUUUUGUCUCUUCUCUUUUGCUUGUUGCAUUUGAAUGCAUGUGCCAACAGCCAACAUUUUAUAACUUUGGCCACUAAUUUUCAUUUAUUCAUAUUUUUCACAUACAAAUGAUUUUAGUUGAUGCUUCACAGAAUAGUUUAAUUAUUUUGGCCAGCAUAUAAUUAGAACAGGUAAGGAUCAAAGGGUGCACAAUGGAGACUGCUAAUAGUCAAAUUGGCAAUUGAAGCGGAAUGGAGGUGAUUGCCUGCUCAAUUGAUGUGUUUGGUGAAUGGACAGUGGACACUAUAGAGGAUAGAAGAUGAGUACAAAAAUCAUGAGUUCAUAAACUGGCUCAAAAACCCAUAUCAGAACCUCAUGCCUCAAUUAACAAAUUCAAAUAGGAAUAAUUUAGCAGAGCUAAAGGUCACAGGGUCAGAAAAACAGGCCAAACUGGUUCGAUCAUUUCAGCUGGUACAAAAAUGGUGACAGUUUCAGAUGACCAGAUCUACGGAUUUUAACAACCGACAAAAACAUCUUCAAUCAAAUUAUUUUGUUGAUUGGCAGAGUAAUCACCAGUAUCAAGGGCCCUAUAAUCAAAGAACAUCAAAGGGGUGUCUUCAUGAUAUAUUGUACUGUCAAUGAUGCCCCAGCAAAAGCAAAAGAGGAAAGAAAAAAACGAGUGGCGUUUGUAGAUUUCGACAACAGCAAAGUGGCAUAAUAUUAUUAGUAAUUUAUAGAAUACCUCUAUGCAUCAGGUGAUGCACACUCCAGUUCUUCCUUUUGAAAUAAACUAAUCGUGAAUAAUGCUUCAAAUACCCUUGUUAAGGAACCAGGAAUCAUUUUUCGCCAAAGACACUAAGUAUGCAGCACAAACAAUCAUGGAACUAAAUGAUAUAAAAAUCAUCUGUAAGAACUACAUAUUAACAUUGUCAUCACUGACACGUCCAGAUAACCUUCCAGCCCAAGAUCACAAAGUCUGAAGUGCAUGGAAAAUAUAUUGUUAAUUCAAACUUGAAUGAAAAUGGAGCCUGUAAACAACCAAUUCAGGUGCUAGAAUUUUCACAGGAAUAAAGGCAAGUGGUGAAUCAACUUCGCCUCUAAGUUGAAAGACUAUUUAUCAUGAGUGAUAACUACCCUUCAUCUUGUGACAGUCCAAACUCGCAGUACAAAUCCGGAUGAUAUGUAUAUAAGGCUGUACCAGUCCAGCAACAUACAGAUAAUAUCACUAUAGCACCGAUGAACAUGAACCUAUCAGCUAAAAAUCCGCAACCAAUUUCGAAGCCGAACCCUAAGGUACCAAAGAGGCGCCACGAAUCCGCAACCACAGCCCUCUACUGUCGCAACCACAGGAUAAGCCCACACUAUUCUGAUUUAAAAAAAUGAGAGAAUCCAUCGAUUACUGGGAACAGUUCAGCUCGGAUUCCUCUAGAGCAAUCCCCAACCCGAAUCACGGGACGGAGCCUACCAUACGACAUCUACGCGUCGGAAUCUGAGAUCGAAGCUCGGAAUCAGAUGAAACCGCUGUAAGAGUCGAGGGGACUCACUCGGCGGGCGAAGACAUCUUCACGCGUCGAUGGAUCCGAUCCGAGGCCUCUUCGACGUUCCCCUGGUCUAGUCUUCUCCUCUCGCGUCCGCUUCCUUGUUCUCGUCGUCGCGUUCGAAGCUUGGGACGAGGAGGAGGGGGGGAAGAAGAGCUGGGGUUGAAACCGAGGUCGGCCGCGCCUGCGGGAACCUUCCGGAGGAGAGAAGCAAACGCACCGUUGAUCUGCGAUCGGAGGGACGAAGAUGGCUGGACACGUAGGUGUGCGCGCUCCGGCGCAGGCGAUUGGUCGUGCUACGCGGCUGGAUGCUGAGGUGGCCUUGGUCGUGCUACGUCGAACUGAGACGGAGUUUGGAUUAGAACGUUGCAGAGCCUGAUCUACAAUAGUUAGCCCUUGUUUAAAUGCACCCAAAAAUCCAAAACUUUACAAGAUUUUCCAUCACAUCGAAUCUUACGACACAUGAAUAGAAGAUUAAAUAUAAAUAAAAAAGAUAAUUAAUUACACAGUUUAUCUGUAAAUCACGAUACAAAUCUUUUAAGCCUAGUUACUCCAUGAUUAGACAAUGUUUGUCAAAUAAAAACGAAAGUGCUACAGUGUCAAAAUCCAAAAUGUUUUUUGAUCUAAACAAGGCCUUACUUCCUCAACGUAUUAAUCAAUUUGCCUUUUCACAGCUGCAUCGAGCAUACCUAAGUUAGAAUCGUUUUUUGGAUUCUCAACAACAAUAACGAGUUGUUUGGUUAUAGAAACGAAAAUGAAAUAGAAUUAAGGUGAAAACUCUUCUUUCAGGCGACGUACUGUUCAUCUUCCUUCAAUUCUCUCGCCAUGGCGUCCGUACCAACUCGCUCCUUGCCUCUGCUGCUGCCCACCGCCCUACCAAGGCGUAGUACCAUGGAGCUUUGAUGAGCCCCUACUUCGCUCGUGAUGGUCUCCCUCUUCCUCUACCCCCCCCCCCCUCUCUAGGCACCGUUUUCUUCUCUAAUUCUGGCGAACCACCAUGACGCCCCAUCCAACCUGGCCUGAGCGCCUCCACUAUCAGCCACCAGAUCCCCUAAACCGUCCUCCCCAUCACACUGUCUGGUUGACCCUCCUCCCCCAAACUUUCCUUUAUAAGCCCACUAGAGUUGUGAAAGAUGAGAGGAAGAGCUCAUCGAAACCCUAACUCUUAGAUCCACGAAGAGCAGGAGGAGGACAUACCUCGUUGGAUCCACCAUGGCCGCUGCCGGAUCCGCUCACCGGAGUUGGGGAGGUCGCCGAAUUCCUUGAUGGGACGUGGGGAGGAGGUCGCUGGGUGUCGAGGGGGAGAGAGAGAGAGAGAGAGGUGCGAUCGCCAAGCGCCAGAGGGAGAGAGGGAGAGAGAGAGAGAGGUGUGUGGUUGCCAAGCGCCAGAGAGAGAGGUGCAGACAUGGAGUAACGCGGGUCGGGGCGUCGCCUGAAGGAUAUCCAUAUCUUAGGCAACUGAGAUACAAGAAACGUAUGGAAUUAAAGCUAUGGACGUUACUGCCAGCCAUAGCAUUUGAAGUACUUUUAUUCCAAUUUACGAUAUUGUAAUACAAACCAAACAACACGUAAACAACAUUUAGAAAAAAGGUUUUCUCUCGGUUGGUAGGCCGUCCCUAAUCAUACUACUAGAUGUCUAGAUAUAAUGCUAAUACAUACAUAUUAUUUAAAACACCAUUUUUUACAAACAUGUCUUCAAAAUAGCAUUUGACGUUUAUAGCAAUCCAUCGCUCUUGGGUACCUAUGCCUAGAGUCCGCAUGACCCAUCAAACUCUCCACUGAGAUGGUCUGACACCUAUCUUGUAGAUAGGGUUCGAUGUUCAUAGAAUCUUCUUCUCUUGCAUUUUCUUCGUGAUCCUUGCGUAUGGCUCGGUUCCAAACUUGUGGCUUGGACUUUGCUUGAGCUUCUAUGUCUUUAACAUGUCUUAUAAUGUCUUGCUUGAGGUAUUGAUCAUCUAGAUCACAACAUCGCCUAAAUCCAAGCCACCUUUGCACCCUAUUGAACUACAAAACAAACACUUAUAAGUUCAUUAGUCCUACUUGGUCAUGUUGAUCGUCAAACACCAAAAUCCAAAUUAAAUGGGCCAAGAGUUCAUUUUCCUUAGAGGCCUAAACCUAAGUUGCCUCAUGGUGGAUUCGAACUUUGUUGUACUAACUCGAGCAAUCCCCGAUCCAAGCCGUCCAUACUUUGCGCCUCCACGACUCUUGCUCGGUUUGACACUCUGUGGUGGUUGUUGUUGCCCUUGCUUUGUUCCACACGAAAUGUUCAUGUUUGCAUGGUUGCAUGGCUUUGCACACACUAGACAUACACUCAUGCUUAGCAGAUCCGCCCUACAUGGCCACCAAUGUGGAGAAGCCCCAUGGAGCAGGCAUGACUGUAGCAAGAAAUAAAAGGUGUACUCUCUCUAUCCCAUAAUAUUUGAUCUUCCAGCAUUCAAAAUUUAUCCCAAAAUUAGUUGUCAUACUCGCUUCACAAUACACCUUUAUCUUUUCCCAUUAUUUCACUAUCUGUAUCUUUCCCCUUCUUGUCUCCUAUGCACUAUACUUUCUUCACUCCUUAGUUCUAGGGCCCAAAGCUAAAAUCAUCUAUUAUGGGAUUUGGGGAGUAAGUCAUAAACCAAAAACAAACUCGUUUGCCUUUUUGUUUCGAGUGAGACAAAGUUAUCUUAAUAAAUAGAGUAUUCCUUAGAGCAUCUCCAAGAGUUUUGUAUUUGGACUUUGCAUUCUUGUAAUUUGCCAAAAAUCAUAAAAAGAGGUAUCCAAUGAUUUUGCAUUUGGAGUUUGCAUUUUGGGUAACUUGGCAAAUGAGAGAGCAAGCUUGGCAUAUAUGCCAAGCCGCGCACGGCUUGGCAAAAGACCGAUCGCGCGUGUCUCCCGGUCCCCCACGCGACCUGGACUUUCUUCGCGCCAUAUAUCGUGAUCGCGAGCAACACCAUCGUCGCCGUCCGCUACAGAACUCACGAGGGAUUCCAUCACGACAGUCGGGCUGGCACCGCGGCGGCACCUGCAACGAGUCUGAUACGAGUCGUCGCGGAGGCACCUGCAUCGAGCGGUGGGGAGCAGGAAGAACUGACGGCACGAACUGUGAGAAAAAUGCGAGAACCGCGGUGACUUUACGCGCGGGAAGACGAUCGCGAGCGCACGCGAAGGAAAAAAAUCACAGCCGGGUCCACUUUGGCUAAUUGUGAACUCAAUUAUGCAAAACCCUUGGAGAUGACCUAUUUUAAACUUUGCAUUUUGUUUUAGGAGUUUGCAAACAACAACAAAUGCUAACUCAAUUAUGCAAAACUCUUGGAGCUCUAUAGCAAACACUACUAAGGUUCCCUUUGAAUCCUGGUGGAUCCUAAAAAUUUAGAUUAAAAAUCUAGUGCAUUCAUUGGAUUUUGUAUGUACGUACUAAAAUUCAGUAGAAUCUAGCAUGUUUGGAUGAUUUUUUUUAAAAUCUAGAACAGAGCCUAAAAACAAGAAUAUCCGUCUUUCAAAUUAAACACCACCUUUAAAGUAGUGACUAGUGAAAUCCGCGCCAUCGCGCGGUCAGGUGAGUAAACACACUUAUGUUAUACACAUGCUGCUAAUGCCCAUAAUGAGACCAUGGUGAUGGAGAUAUACAUGUACACGAUGCGUAUAGUACAUGUGUAUAGGUAUAUGCAUACGGUACAAUGUGCAGGUAAAAAUUACAUAUACUGGUAGUUUACUACGUUAGGUGGAAGGACUUGGUCUAGUUCUUCUAUGCCUUCACAAACAUUUCGAUUCGUAGGGGUCAGCAAAUGAAUCAGUGAUCUGCCAACUGGACGAAUCUGUUCACAUAGCAUGAAGUUGUUAACAGCAUAUGAACCAAUCAAGAGGGGGGCAGAGAAGGGACAAAGAGAUCAAAAAUCAUUGAGUAACAUAAAAUCUGACAUCAUUUGGAGUCCUAUAUGAAAAAUUAGAAAUAUUCAUAAAACAAUGAAUAGGAAAAAAAACUAAGUAGUUCAGCCAAAACAAGGAUAACACAUUGAUCUGAUAGAACAGAGUUUUAGUCCCCUUGGUUUACAUGAUGGAUCUAUGUGAUUAUAACUAAGUUGAGCAUCAACAAAUGUUAUAAUUGAAAAAACUGAUACUUUGACAACCAAACUAAUAUUCUUGAAACAAAAUCAUAAAAGAACAGAUUGCAAAGAAGAAAUGAUAUUGUGCCACUGCAACAUGUACCAGGAGCGAAUAUGCAUAAUAGGCACAUUGUAAAAAAAGUUGCCUUUUUGAAUUGAAUUUGCUUUAAUUUCUAUUCUAUAGAUCUUAGUUGAUGACAAUUAAAUAUAAACCUCACCUAUGGAGAAGCAACAUCCUCAUUGUAGUGGAUCUUGUAAACAGAAAAUCACACCUCUAGACCAAAUUGUGGCCAAUGCAGCAAGCUACAGAACACAAAGUAUGCAUACUGAGGGAAUGGAUGAAGCAACAAACUAUACACCAAAUCGCACAAAAUCACCGGCCUUAUUGAAUGUGCACUAACAACAUGCUCAUCGGGCAAUCAAAGCACAGAUGGAAGCUCCCAUAUUGUUUGCAGGUACCUCACAUUGAUGGCAGACUAGAGAAGCACCGGGAAUUUAGCAUCUUGUAUGGCAAGGGGAAUAGCUUAUCUGCAGUGUCAAAUCAACUAUAUUAGUAAGAGAGGAAAGAAAUAGAGACCCAAAUUCUUGCAGCCUAAGUCAUCUGUUAGAACCAACACAAUGAAAAGGAGGAGAGAGCACGUGGGGACUGACCAAGCAGGAACAGAAAGAGCAACGCAAAUACAUCUGAAGAAAAACAGAUAGAUCUAAAAUAUUCGAGAUAGAAGAAGAAGACGAAGCUACUGCAUGAAAAAAUGAGGACAACAGCCAUUGGGACAUUCAUUUUUUUACCUAUUAUGAAGUAUCCUUAUUAUUGUUAAUCAUCUAGCAACUAUAUGUAUCUUUGUUCAAUAAACAUGGAUAGACAAAUCUUCGCCAUAAAUUAGUAACAAAGAGAUUCCAUGUGCAGAUUGGGAGGACACCUGUUGUUUCUUUGGUUUGCUGAAUUUGAGCAUCAGGCAGCAAUUAACAAUGCUCUUCAAUUUCUCACCAUGAAGGUCAUUUAAAUUGCAGAAAAUAGGAAUCUUGGAUAUCUCGAUGCAAACAACAAGAUCAGCAACACCACCCCUAUCUCCAGCAGUCAUACUGUCAACCUCAUCCAUGAUUAGCAGAGCAUCAGGUUUUUUGACCUUUGUGGCCACUUAAUAUAUAAUAAUCAUCAAAAUACAAAGUCAAAAAAAACAUUCCUCAUGCUGCUACACCAACAGAUUGUGACUAUAAUUCAGAGUUGUGUUGCUAAUAAGGUCCUAGCUGAAGAAAAUGAAAUAUAAAUAACAUAUUAACAUGAGAAAUACAAAAUUAGAAACAAAAAAAAUGACAGUGACCUGAUUCUCCAGAGUAUGGGAGCAUAAUAGCAGGACGAAGCCAACAUCCAUAAUAUGGACAGAACAGUCAUGUCUCAGAUAAUCAGAUCCAAUUAACUAUGAGCAUGAAAAAAUUAUGUAUUAAGUUAUGUUAAGCAGGAUUCCAUGACAUGGCACCCAACUAUAGAAUCAUUAGGAGUCAGAAGUUCCAGUCCACCUCGUUUUUCAUCUUUAGCUGGAGUAUUGGUUGUCUGCUUGUACAGGAUCCUUUGCAAGCUUAAAUUUUUGGAUCAAAUCAAAUAAACCAUCUAUAGUGAAAAAAUGGGACAAUGCAAGUAAGUGCAAGUACGCAUGAAAAUCAAAUAAACCACAUAAUACACGGUGCAGCCAUAACCAAACUUUACUUUCCUUCCAUAACAACUGAAAAAACUACCUAACAGAGACAUGCACAUUGCCUAAUUUGACUUACACUGAAUAUUUUCGGUAUUGAAUUAGACGUUCUUAACAACUAAUUAUGUAGAGAUUUUUUUUAUUCCCCCCCGGCUACUUGAUGGCAACCGGAUUAAGGUGGACAGCCAUCUCCUAUUGGUCAUUUUGUGCAAAAAUAAUUCCAAUUAGGCCAUUGUACUAUCUAUUGCAUAAAUUUAUAUUUUCUAAGUAAAGUUGAAUCUCUAAAAUUCUCUGUAAUCGCAGUAAUUAAUGGAUCUCUAAAAUUGUCUGUAAUCAUAGUAAUGUACCUCAACCAAACUGUGGAAUCAGCCAUAGGAAAUAACAGGAAUUAUACACAUGUUGUCUUGAACAUGCGGAAACUCCCUUCCUUUGUACCUGAACAAUCAUAGACGAGGAAGGGAAGAAAACAAGCUGAAAUCAAUCCUGAAAAACAAUAACGAAACCAGAUCAGAGGAGGUAACAAGCAUGUAACCAAUUUGUAGCACGCGUAUAGGUAGCUAGGGUUUUGGCAACCAGAGGAGCGCCCGUUCCUCGGCAGGAGAAGGCAUUGAGGAUCCCACGCGAAUGAUGAGGGAGAGGGAGGUGGCCACCAGGCCCCAACCGCACUAGCGCUCUGCCCGCAGGGGCCGCCGUCUCGUCACGCCUGCCGCCGCCUCGCGCCUGCUGCCGCCUCGUGCGAGAAGGGUAGAUAGAGGAAGGGGAGGGAGAAACAGAGAUGAGAGGCAGCCGAGGGAGGGCGGCGGAGGAGGAGGGCCGACGCCGACGCCGACGCCGGCUUGUGCCGCGCCAUCGCCCUGCCCGCAUCGGAGAUGAGGAGAGCGAGAUAGAGCGAAGAGAGAGAGGAGGGGGUGAGAAGCUAGAUGGAGAAGCGGAAGUUGGGAUAUAUAUUUGCCUCUGUAGAUUCGGAAGAGAAGCAGAGGAAGCAGGGGGGAAACGGAAGAAUCCAACGAGAAUCAGCAGAAUUGGCUUCCGAUAGAAUCCGCUUCAAAAAAUCGUGGCCAUCCGAUGAGAGAUCUGAUGGCCAGGAGAAUUCCGGGCGACAUGGCCCCUGCUUCUCUAACUGGAAUCUGUCGGAGAAUUUAGGGGAGAAUUAUACAGUGAUGAGUAGGAUCAUAAUACUAGGUCCUUUUACGGAAAAGAGAAAAACAAGACUAUAGUAGAAAGCCCAACACGAGGGCUGCGCUGCUGUACUCCAUGCUUGUGUUAACUGAAAGAUUCGGUUAUCCGUUGUGUGCUAACGUGUUAUUGUAUAUUCAGGUAAUUAGUAUUUUACCUUUUUCAUGUUUUAUUGUUUUGAUUGAUUGAUUUUGUUACUCCAUUUGUCCAAGUAGUAUAAAACAUUACUAGUAUGGAGUAUUAUUUAUGAUAUUUAGGUAAUUAGCGUUUUUGUUCUUUUUAAGUGUUGGCUUCGUACCGCUUUUGUUUGGUUCGAUAAUGCAUUUGAGGAGAGGCUCGCCCUCGGUUCCUCCUGUUUUUCGGGGAAAAAAACGGAUAUCAUACAAGUUUGAUGAUAUUCGUUAUGAAAUGUACCUUUUACAUCUGAAACACAUAUAACUGCCAUUAUUUAAAUUAGAUGUAAGAUUACAUUUGUGUUUUUUUUUUGACAGAGAUAGAACACGUUUUCAAUUGAUUGAUUUGGAUUUUCUUGCUGAGCGUUUGCAGCUGAGGCUGUUGGUCAAAGAGAAUGGAUCUAGUACGUGUACAGUGCGCCACGGCAGGGUGGCUGACUGGCUGGUUGAUCGAUGGUGACUCACACGUGACGGGAGUGACGCGACCAAAUAUUUUCGGUUUUGAUUUGGCCGUCCUUGUUGUCCCAGCCCUUGCCUUUGCCAUGUGCCGGUGUCAUGCUGCCAUGCCGGCCGGUGCUUCUUGAUCUUAUCCCAACCGCGCGUGCCGUCCGGACCACGGCUGCCGCGGGCACCAGCAAAACUGGGCGGUCCUCCGAGAAAACCACGUCCCCGCGCGCAACACCAGCGGCCGUUCGCUGAUUCCGAUUCCGCCGCGCGGAGGGAGAGCGCCAGAGCGGCCCGUGCCCCGUGAGCCGGUCCGCGCCUCCUUCCCGUCUGCUAGACCGAACCCAACGAGAUGAUGCUAAAAGACGCCCAGAAGAUUUGUUGAACCGUGCAUCAAAGUCAAACUUAUCAUACCACGCUUUCAAGUACUCCAAUGAUUAGUAGUAGUAGUAGUACUACUGUAUUAGCCUUCGUAAGGCCCAAGUAAGGUGAUAGGGGGGCUCUGACCUGUGACUGUGUGUGCGACCACAAAAGGCCGACCUCCAGCGUCCGUAAGCCCCAAGUAACAUGGAAUCCCCUCCACUUCCUUUGAAUUCAACACAAGACUGCAAAAUGGAGAGAGAGAGAGAGAGAGAGAGAGAGAGAGAGAGAGAGAGAGAGAUUUGAUUUGAUCUCAUUCAUUUUGGCUACCCCUUUUUCAUUCGUAACCCAUUCAAGAAAAAAACAAAAGGUUGUGGGCACCUAGAUCUUGCUUAAAAUUCUCGCUUAAUGAAUUUCACUCAAGUUCCUUCUUCUAUUUGGAAACCGUAUGCGGUCUCGGUGCCUGCCGCCCUGCCCAAUGAGACAUGGAACAGCAUCGUACCGACUCACAGGCUACAAUAGAAAUAUUUUUUUUUUAUUUAGGCCUUGUUUGGAUCUUGGCCGCUAAAAAAUUUGUGUUUGCAAGCUAUUUAUAUUUAUUUUCGAGUCGUACUUUAGCACGUUUUUCAUUAAGCAAAAUAAAAGACUUUGCUACCGUUAGUGUGAAGUUAUGGUAAUCCAAGGAUUACCGAAAGUCACAUCCAACACCCACACCACACUCGCAUGUGGUUGUAAUUACACCAAAACUACUGAGCGACAGAGGUGUUGGUGGCGAGGGAUUAAUUAUCCUCAUCCAACCCGAUCAUAUCCAAGUUCAUGGGCGAUCGGGUCACUCCCCACCCAAAAGAAGCUGCAACGCCUCGUGUGUGGAGUCUGACAGCAGCGCCUUGAAGGUAGCUUUGUACUUGCGCACCGUUUCAGAGUCAACAUUGGAUGAUGGUGCCACUAUUCCCAAUUUCUCCAUGAGAACACACUGAGCCUGUUUGCAAGCCAUUUAUGUUGGGCGCAACACCAUUAAAACUCAGCAUGUAAGAUCGUUUGACAUUACAAUUAGCCUUUUUCUUCUCUUGUGAAGCUUGCUCUUCUCCUGUUUUUGGCUUGCAACAUCAAAUCAAAUCAAACUGAACCAUACCAAAGCAUCUAGUAAUCCAAGCACACCGUGACUGAUGAUACAAUGCUACUCCGGGCCAAAAUCAAAAGGCAAAAGAAGCAGCUCCUCCUAUCUCUUUUUCUCUGCGUACGUUGAUUCGAUGACCAAAAUAAAAGAUCAGCAAAUUUUAUCUUCUGCUACUGCGCGUUGCUGAGUGAGGUGGGUUUUAUCAGCACCAUCUUGACCGGGCAACAGCCCCCGGUCUUGUUUAGAUGCGAAAAAAUUUUGGAUUUCGCUAUCGUAGCACUUUCGUUUGUAUGUGGUAAAUAUUGUCCAAUUAUAGACUAACUAGGAUUAAAAGAUUCGUCUCGCAAUUUAUCGGUAAACUGUGCAAUUACUUUUUAUUUUUGUUUAUAUUUAAUGUUUUAUGCAUGUGCCUAAAAAUUGACGGAGAAUCUUAAAAACUUUUUAAUUUUUAAGAUGAGGAUAAAUCGAUCAUUUCCCUUCUCGCCUCCCUCCCUCGCUCCUGCUUUCUCCGUCUAUAAAUAAAGCCCUCCCAAAACCCGAUCCCAAAAACAAGCAGCGCUCCAUCCAGUUUCCAUUAGCAAUCGCAUUCAUCCUCUUUUCGCAGCAGCAGCAGCACCCAGCAAUCAACCAAACAAAGCGGCGAUGGACGGCGGCAAGAAGAGCCGGAACCCGCACAAGGUCCCCGCGGACUACCGCAGCGACCGCAAGUCGGCCUCCGGGAUGAGCGGCGACCCCAAGAAGGGCGGCCGCGGCGGCAAGUUCACCUGGGAGGGCGCCGACGGCUACGCCGACGAGGACGUCGGCCUCGUCUCCUCCAAGAACGCCAACACCAACCGCGCCACCAAGGGUGGAGGCGCCGCCGGCGCCAAGAAGGACGACGACGACGACGAGUAGGCCGGCCUCUCGCCGCCUCGGCCCGCCCUCCCCCCGUCGAUCGCCAGCAAGAACCAACAAGUCCUUCCUACCUAGUUUGAUUCCAGUCUCAGUUCGAUUCUCGUGUUGAAUAAAUCAUGAUCGUGUGGGUUUAGGUGUCGUGCUCGCGAGUAACACUGAGCACAGAGCCACUGGGCGAUCCACGGGCCGUGCAGGGUCUGUAGAUAUCAUCUCAUCUGUUCUUCGCUAGUACUUUGCUGAUUUGCUCAUGUUCAGGGGCCUGGCCUCGAUUCGGUUCUUGGAUGAACUGAUUUAUUAGUUUCCGGAAUCGAUGCUUUCAUUCAGUUAGCGUCUCCUGCUCUCCACUGCUCAGUCCCUGCUCUGGACUGCGAAAAUUGAGGACAGAUUUCUCUUAUGCUUUCAGAUGAGGUGCAAUUACGAAAGCAAAAUUAGCAUUUCGCAACUAACUCGCAGAUCCGUAACUGAAGAAGACAGCAAGGAAGGAAUUGGGAGGAUUGCAAUGUUUUUGUUGGUUUCUUUGUUUGUCAGGGAUUCCAAUGUUUAUCUUUGUAGGCGAUAACGCUGACUCAGCAAGUUCCCCAGCCAUCUUUCUUGAUGGCAAGACUAUUGUCUGUUGUCACCCGUGCCAUGCCUACAUGUUCCUAGCAACCAGUGUGCAGACAUUUCGCUGUAGCGGUACUGAUCAAAUGGAGCAAACGACGCAUCUACUGAAUUAUUUUAACAAAAACAGAGUCUGCUUAAUCUCUGUCGCAGUUCCAUGAUAUACCAAAGCGAAAGGGUUGGUUCCAUUGUACUCUGAGCAGUUUAGUGACCAUGCCGUUCUCUGCAUUUGGUCAUGCACAGUUGCAGAGUCGCUCUCGCGAUCGUUGUCCACCACUAGGGUAAGAAAGUCAUUCAUCCUCACUAUUUUUUAACCUUUUUUGACACAGGAGAUGGCUCCCCAUUGAAAUUGAAAUAUAUCUAAAGGUGACCUGUCGUAUGCCUCUAUCCAGUAUCCACAAUACAGCAGUUCUAAUCAUGUUGUAUGGAUAACCUGGGAAAAAAAAUCCGGUAUGGUAUGGCCUCAGAUGACUCUGGCUCCUUGCUAUUUUUCUUGAUGGAGCUGGUUGCGUGAUAGAGCUGGAGCAAAACCGAAUGGGUUUGUUUGGCAGGACUCCAACGUUUUUAUGGUGAAACCAUUUUUAAGUAAAAAGUAGAGAAACUAGAGUCGUUUUGGCAAAGUCACAAAUUAUAGCUUCUCCAAAACGGCUCUGGCUCGUCUAGAAGAUCCUCUCGUGAUGAGCCAUACCAAACACCACUUAAGUUUCUUUUGGUUCAACGAAUCAUGAACAACUAAAAUGUACCAAUACAGUUUAAGGCAAGCACGCAGCAUGAAAACUACAUGAAACAAAGGUCAUACUAAGAACUUUAACUAUCUUUAUAGCUGUAUAUGUUUAUGUUCGUACCUACUUUCUGGAUACAAAGAGAUUUGCGGUCUAGUGACGUUACUCUAAAAUAUUUACUCAUGGUGGGGUAACCUCUUCUAUUCUAGCUUAUACUUAGGGACUGUUUGUUUGGCUCAUACAUGCUCGACUUUGGCUCCUUCUUCCUUGUUACUCCCUAUGCAGUCCUAUAGCAAUGAAGAUAAAAGCUUCAGCUCCGGCAUAGCCUAGAAGAGAGCCAGGAUACCUGCGGUUUGGAGGCUUCUCCCGGCUCCGCUACGAUAGCGGAGCUGGAGCCACACCAAACACAACCUUACUUUGGCUAUACUCUCUCGAUGUGUGUGUGUGUGUGUGUGAGAGAGAGAGAGAGCGCGCGUGGUUGUGAUGGGUUGGGGGGAGCUUAAAAAAACUAUGAAUGAUCUUUUACAUGCAUAUGCGUAACUCCACAUGAUUUUUUAGUUGCGCUUAUAUUCAUCACUAUAUAACUUGGGUUAAACUCUCCAUUGUGUCUUUCCAUUAAUGGACUCAUAAGUUUUAGAAUGGAAUGUGAUUUUGAAAAAUUCCUAUCUCUAUGUGAGAUAUUUAGGUUUUGUGUAAACUCCAUAGACAUACAUAAGAGAAAUGCUAUCCCCACUGUGACUAAGACAAGACUUCUGUCAAAAGUUUAUUGCGAUCUUUUUGUCCAAAUAACAAUUAAGGUGAAGCGGAUCUUUAUGAUAAAUAUAUCUAUUUUGCAAGCUCAUUAUUUCAGGUAGUCCCUACAAAAAAUCAAAUUAAUGACUUAUACAAUGUUUGAAUUAUCAAUGUAAACACUGCAUAGUUAGUUCUCAUCUUUUAGAGACUAAGUGUAAUAGGAGCAUCCAUUAGCAAAUGGAUCACCAUGAGAUGAUCAUCUAAUGGCAUAAUCAAAUCAUAUGGUUCUAUUUCUCAACCAUUAUGACUUGCUCUUAAAGAACCAAGAUCGAAAGAACUGAAAAAGUAGGUCAUUCACAACCACUAACCAAGGAUUCCUGAAAAAGUUGAUGAUUGGUAGUUCUUUCUUGAAAUAUAUUUUGAAAAAAGAACAAAUCCAGUCUUAUACAUAUGCGAGGUAGGUAAUAAAAAAAUAUGAUUUUUCUUUCUUUUAUUAGUUAGGAGACGUGUAAGAAGAAAGUCCCAUGUACAUUUUUGCAUAAGGGAAAUAAAAGAAGGGUCCUCUUUUCGACUCUAACUCCUUUGGUCUAGUGGUUGCUUUUCAUUUUGUUACUUUAAAAAUAGUUACUUUUCAACUCUGUCUUUAAUAAAGGAAUGUAUAAGUCAAGGGGAUAACCUCGAUACACACCAACACAGAAUGAACUUCCCCUUCCACAUGUAAAUUUGCAAAUAUGUAGAUCAUUGCAAUAGAACAUACAUCUUGUUGUGAGAUUAUCUACAUGACUUGUGACUCAUAUAUUUGUGCAACAAUCGUGUCAUCUGUGUUCAAAACUUCUAAUACGUCUUGAAACUAGGCUACAUAGCAUGAUUAGACGUGCAUUGUUUGAAACAUGGUGUCAUGUGUUGAUUUGGAUUUUGUUGGCUUUGGAUGUGGAUGACAAGAUGGAGAUGCAGGUGGGAGAGUGGUGUGGUAGGAUGGACCAUCACUACUACGCGUUUCAUUUUGCGUUGCGUUUCACAUAUGGGCUCUGAGGCGGGGGUUACUUUUGUCCGCUACGGUUAUUUAGGGACGGCUCAAGCCGGCUAGCCCACAGGACAACCGCUAUGGUUACUAGUUAACCGUGGCGGGAAAUGUUAACUAACCACCACGAUUAAUAUCUAUUAACAUACAUGAAUGAUGUGAAUGAUGUGUGUUUAUGAAACAAUGAUGUGAUCACUAAUAUUGGUUCGUUUAACAUGCAUGAAUGUAUAUAUAUAUAUGUUUGUCAUCUAUUUGCUGCUAUAUCUAUAUUUCCAUUAGCAAAAUUUAAAUUCAAAUUUGAAAAAAGAUUUUUUAAAUGUAAAACAUUAACAAAGGCGGGCAAUUAAAAACAACCGCCUCCAUUAAAACUUUAAUCAAAGUGGGCUACAAUAACAACCGUCUUGUUUAAUCAUUUAACCGUGGCGGACUACUUAAGACAACUGCUACAGUUAAUAUGUAUUUACCGUGAUGGUUGCCUUAUGUUGUCCACCACGGUUAAAGGAUUAACCCAGGCGGUUCCAAGAACCACCUUGGUUAAGCCACAACGAUUAACCGUGACAUUAUGACCAUGGCGGUUGUAAAAACUGCCACGGUUAAGUUUUUCUGUAGUAGUGCAUCCCAUAGAAAAGGCAGGGAUAGAAUUUUUCUCCUUUGAAUAUAAAAGUAUAGAUAUAUCUGUCUCACUCUCUCCCUAACUCUCACAUAUCUUCUUCUGUCCCUCAAUCUGUCUCCCUCACUCACACUCACAGAUCGAUCUGUCUCCCUCACUCACACUCACAGAUGGCAAACACUAGGGCCGGUAGAUUGCAUUCUACUUUAGAGUUUGGAGCUGCAAAAUCUUCAUUGGUGCCGAGAGUUUGAGCCCUGGUAGAUUGUAUUAUCUUCCAACAUGACGUCGCUUAUAGUUUGGAGAUUCAUAACCUUCACAGGUACUACACCGCUCAUGUUGUGGCGUAGCCACCUGAGCCCAUGUUGUGCGAUCGUUUGGCUUGCCUUCAUCUUUCUUAACCUCACAAUAAGUGCACACAAUAUAGCCACCAAUUUAAUAAACUCAAUAUCCAAUCAAUUUUCUAAAGGGAGCAUUUACUGCACCUAGCAUCUAUUUUGAGCCUGAUAAUUUAUUUAAAUUACUCCCUCUGUCCUGAAAUAUAGUGUAUUGUGAUUUCUAAAAUUUGUAUUGAAAUAUAGUGCAUUCUAUAUGUAUCAAUGCCUAGAUUGGUAAAGUUUAUUAAAAAGAAAACUGUAAUUUAAGGAGAAACACCUUAAUUGGUAUUAAUCUAUGGGUACAUAUGUCACUUAAGGAUCCUCUCGAAUUAUCUUAAAAUAUUUAGAAUGCACUGUAUCACAGGACGAAUGGAGUAUGAAAUAGUUGAAAUAAGGUUAGGCCAAGUCUAGUUAAAUCUAAUAAAGAUACCUAUCUCAUCAUCAUUGUAUGAAGUGUUCUAAGCGAUUGCACAACAAAUUGUAUGUCAUGUUGUAUGACACGGCUAUGUGUUUGUAUGUAGCCAUGGGUAAAUUUAAUUAACGAAUGAUCUGCUUUUUUCGUUGCCUAGUUGGAGUGAGUGAAGUUGGGCCAGGCUUUUAUAAUACUGAGGUGAGCUAUCAGAACGUCAGUGGCAGAGCUGGCCAGGCGUGGCAUCUUGGCCCAAUACAUGGGGGCCUGCUAGCGUGAAUAGUCCGAUGGCACUUCCCGCUCAAUUGAUUCUCGCGCGUUGGUUAGGCCCGCUCGCCCAAUUGAUCCCGUAUAGUAGCGCGCAGGGGCAGAUAGCAGGCGUUUGGUGCAAUCUGCCCACCUGCAGGGUCCACCUCAUUCAUGUUGUUUUCUACUUUCAUUAAUAAACUUUUAAAAGUUAUAACUCUUAAACCAAAUAUUUAAGUUAAAAUUCGAUUACACCAUUAGAUUUCUUGUAAUAAAUCCUUCAAAACAAGAUCUCACAUAAUCAUAACUCUUAAAUUAACCAUUCAAAUUGAAAUCCGAUUACACCAUCAGGUUUCUUGUAAUAAAAUCAUUCAAAACAGGAUCUCACAUAGAUAUAUUUGGAUAAAAUUUAUUAACACCCAUUUAUUUUAUAAACAUAGAAUAUUUCUUUUAUUGAGUAGAGACAAUAUUCAAGGUUCAUAGAACAAUGUUCUAUUUUUGUAAGAAAAAUAUUCUCAGUUUAGAACAAUAGUGUUCCAAUUUUAGGUUCAUAAAAUUUAUAUUAUAAUACAUAUGAAAACAAAUAAAUACAUAACAUAAACAGAAAAUAAUAUAAUCUAGAGCAAAACAUAAAGAAAAAAAAUAAAACACGUAAUAAAAAAUUAAAAGAACAUCAAGGAAUAUUUUUGAAACGUCCUAAAAUAUACUAUAGAAUAUGUACUAAGUAAAUGUUGGCGUAUCGUAGCAUCACUAAGAAUAAGUAAGACCCAAUCAUCAGUGGCUAGGUUGUCACCCCAGUUUGACACUUGAAAUGCACGGGUGGUAAUGAAUAUGCAAUGCUCUCUUGAAAUAAAUAUAGAAUAAAGUAUCCGUAAACGCACAUAUGUAACACCAUUGUAGCAUUUCACCAAGACACCAGGUAUUGUUAUUUAUAAUUUUACCUAUGGGAAGGAUAGCCAAGGAAUUAAAUAUCACUUGCAUGUAUUCUCAAGAGAUAAACCAUAUCUUUAUCUAUCUAUCUAUCUCAUGUAGGGAUGAGACAUAUGAUAAAGAUAUAUAUAAUGAAUAAUAAUGAUAAACCAUACAUAAAAUGAUAAAUGUAUCUCUAUAGUACUCCACUCUAUAGCACUAGCAUGAAGUACGAAGAUCUACGAGGAUAAUUCCUAUGUAAUUCUAAACUAUAUAAUCAAAGCAUAUCAUGAUUAGUGCAAUUAUACUAGGCAAUCAUAGUAAGACAAGGUUAUAUCUACAUAAGGACAUUACUAAAGAAAAUUAGGAACAGAGUAAUCAUUUCCUUGUAACCAGGGUCUACAGGAAGAACUACAUUCGGGAGGUGGACUACAAAGGACCCAAUAGGUUUGUCGUACCUACGAUCUACCACACGGCCCGAAAUAUUGGGUGCAAACGUAGGCAAACACGGUGUAGGCACCACACCUACACAAUGUCGACCACCCACCAAGGAUAUCAAUGAGCGAGCGCUAUACGAACAUAUGUUUGAAUAUAAAUCUAAUCUUUAGCUAACCAAGCAUAUAAUCAUAAUAGACUAAGAACAAUAUAAUUGAGAAUAUAGGCAAAUAGAGCAAAGUCAUAUCCAACAUAAUAGAAUAGAGCAAGCAUAUAAUGAGAUAAAUAAUGUAUACAAUGAUGAACUAGAAUAAAGAGAAAGAUUACAACCAAGUAUCUCUUUGAUGGAUCCAGAAACCAACCAAGGUUUGCCUCCUACUAGAUCUAUCCUAAGUAGCUAUGCUUCUAAACUAUGGAUCUCUAGAGAGACGUUGGCUUGAUUGUAUGGAAUGACUCCUUCUCUUCUAAUGAAUGAGAAUGAUCUGAAACCCUGGGGUCUGGCCCUCCUUAUAUAGCCUGGUGGAAUGAUUUAUAGCCAUUAGAUCAAACCGACUUAAUUGGACGAAGAUUAUUAAUCCUUAGAGGCGGUUUAGUCCAUGAUCCACGCCCUCAGCCCUAAUUGGCUAAGGAGGGGUGGGCGCCUUGGGCCCCUAGGGAGGGCGCCCUGGCCCUAUGCCAGGUGGGCAGGCUCAUCUCAUAGGUUGGGGUAGGUUGUGCGACGGUCAGGGGUCCAUAGCCCAAGGGGCCCAUGAGUGUACCCAUCUAUAGUACAUGUAUUCAGGUUCAUACGGUCCAUUUGAUUAUCCUGCAACUAGUCCGCUUAGCCAACGCUUCGUAUUCACGCGUGAUGUAUCCCAUGGAGUCGCGACUUCCUUGCCCUGGACGCAGUGAUGGCGUGCUGCUGUGCCGCUGCAGGCUUGCAGCCAUUCAGGCAUUCCCUAGGCCUGGAGUUCCCCUAUCGAUCAAUCUCCAAACCGUCAACCGUAAGACUAUGAUCACAUAUUGAGUUCCCCGUUCAGUAGUCUUGACCUUGACACAACGGAUGUCAGACUGAAGAAGAUAACUUGGUUAGGGCCUAACUGUUUGCACUAAUUUCUGUUCAGUUAGGGCCUAACUGCUUGCACUAAUUUUCUAAAUUUCUAAUUCAAUAUAUUUUUUGAACAUCUUAGAUGUUGUCUAAGAAACAUGUUAAAAACAAAAUUUAGAUGCAUAUUGCUAAUGAUGUCCGAAGGCGGUUUAUAGGUUUAUUUGUGGUAAUCAUAAUAUUUAUUUUACCAUUCUUUUAGCUUCUUUGGUGUACUGCAUUAUUUUUUAUGAACUAAUUACAUGUUGCAAGGAAACCCAUAUAAAUAGUAUUAUAUAUUUCAAUCGUCAUACUAAAACAUUAGAUUGUUGGGUCUAAAAAUGUUGAGACAACUCUAUAGGUGGGUGUCCCCUUGGCUAGGGGUCUUCCCGACUCUUCUAGACUCUUCUUCUUCGUAUGUGGCGUUGAUAUAUCGUUUCUCUCUAUGUAAUCAUGACAUGUGGCCAUGUGGCCUCUCUUGGUCAUUUCCUGAUCACCCCCUACAAAAAUAGAUAUUCAUCAAAACCUGUGAAAUUCUGAUAGAUAAAACCUUAUUCUAUUGUUGGUGAUUGUUUUAUGCCUUUCUUCAUUCUCUUGUUGAUAUAAAAAAGAUACUUAUCUACCGUCAAUAGUAAACAUAACUAAAUACACCAACAUCACAAAACACAUUAUAGAAUAUCGUAUAUAUUACAUGAACAUCACUAAAAACAUCAUAGAACACCAUAUGUGUACUAGGUGAAUAUCAUAAAAUACACUAUAGAACAUCACUAACUACAUUAUAAAAUAUCACAUACAUAUUACGUGGACAUCACUAAAUACAUCAUAAAAUAUUACUAAAUAUAUUAUAGAACAUCAUAUAUAUGUUACACAAACAUCACUAAAUACGUCAUAGAACAUCACAUGUAUACUGAGUGAACAUCGCAAAAAACAUCGCAUAUAUAUUAGAUGAACAUAACUAAAUAUAUCAUAAAACAUCACAUGUAUACUGUGUGAACAUCACAAAAAGCACUAUAAAACAUCUCAUUUAUAUUACGCGGACAUCACAAAAAUAUAUCAUAGAACAUUACAUGUAUACACGUCAACAUAAAAAAUAUCUCAUAUAUAGCACAUGAAUAAAAAAAAUACAUAGAACAUUACCAUAUGAAUAUCACAAAAAACAACAUAAAAACAUCGUAAAAAAUAAAUAUGAAAAAAAUAAAAGUAAGUUAAAAAGUAUAAGAAUAUAUAAACAUAAAAUAAUAAUAAACACUUAAAACAUAAAAAUUUAAAAAAUGAUGAAAAAAAGGAAAAAGAAAAAAGAACACUUAAAACACAAAAAAUAGAUGCACAAAAAGGAAAAUGAAAAGAAAAUAUAAAAGAAAGAAAAAUAAAAAAUUAAAGAAAGAUAAUAAUAAGAAAAAUAGAAGUAAAAGGAAUAAAAAGAAAAGAAACAUAAAAAUUUAAAAUAUUAAAUAUACAUAAAACAUAGAAAUAAAAUUAAAAUAGAAAAUGAAGCACAAAAAGAAGAAAGAAAAGAAAAAAGAAAAGAAAAGAAAAAGAAGUGAAGAGAUAAUAAUAACUUACUUGCUUCCAUACUUCUGUACGUGUUGUAUUGUGCGGCUUCCUUCAGGAGCACGCGCCUCGUUUCCUGCAUGUAGAAACCGUGUGCUGUUCAACUGAUGCUUUUGUUGAGAUUAAUUAGGAUUGUUAAUUAAUGAUCAAUUAAUGUAAAUCUCAUAAUUAGCAUGUGCUAAUUACAGAACUAUAGGACCAACAGGCACCAUAUCCUUUGAGUCGCUGACAAAGGAAACUACCUCGUGUAUAUAUACAAGAUUUGUUCAUCAAUACAGGAUAUUCGUCAUUUGCAUGGUUAAUCAAUCCACUUUCACACAACACGUUAUCACGCACUUGGCUCUGCCAACGCCGACGCUAGUAGGCCAGAAAGAGGCGAGGAAAGGAAGUUUGCCGGGAAACUUGUUGGAACUUUGUCGGAGUCGCUGCUUACCACCAAAGGUAGAAGAUGUCAACCCCUGCCCUUUCCAUGAACUCGAUGGUCGGCACCAUCAAAGACGGUCUGACGCUGUUGAAGCCACCAUCAUCGGUGGCAGCGAGCACCCUAGAGGCAUUCGUCGUUUUAGCCUCCAAGGUGUUGUCCGUUGUGCCCUCCACGACAUUUUCACGACCACCGCACUCCCCUCCGUCGCCACAAUGGAGUGCGUCAUGGUCGUGGACGUCCAUUGUGGCCACGCCUGGUGCCUCGCUCAUCGGGGCUGCAGUUUGCCCCCGGCGUGUGCCCGUCGCACGGCUCUGCCAUGUUCAUCCGCCCCGUAACAUUGUCGAUGCCGCUGGUGUCACCGAGGCCGCCGAUGGAGUUCUUGCCGCCCCCACCACCACUGCCAUCGACCGGGCUCAAGGUGCCAUGGAACGAGGGUGGUGACUCUAUAUGGCUGGACAGUGUGGCACCCCCUUCUUGACCAACCGCAGCAACAACACAGGGGCAUGGCCUCCUGGCUUCGCCUAUGACCUUGACACCGUCCUCCCGUCGGUGCUUCGCACCACCUUUGAAUCGCGGCUGCUCCUACGCCGAUGUCGUAGCUGCCCGCCCCGUCUAGCGCCAGGGUGCCCUCCCGAACAGAGACGCCCUCGAAGUCGGGUUUGCCUCUUCCUCGAACGAGGGAGAGGCGGCUCCCCGCCUCUAAGCAGCCUCAUAUGGGUAGGUGGGGGUAGCCCUAUCAUUCUUGGCUCGCAGCAACGACCCUUGCGACCAGAGCUUGCCAGGGAUGGGUGGUGCCCACCCUGCUCGCUGUUGGGUAUUCUUAACAUCAUUACCAAAAGUAGACUUAGUUUUCUAAUUCUGUUAACGGUGCCAAAAAUGCCAAACCUAUCUCUCAUGCCACUUAAGCCAAGUUGUCAUCCCCAGCAUGACAUGAGAGACGCGGUAUUGAAAUAUGCAAUUGCUCAUCUAAAUAAAUAAUGAAUGGGAUCUGCAAGCGCACAGAUUAAUACCGAUGUAGCAUUUUAACCGGGAAGUAUUCCAGGUAUCGUUAUUUAUAUUUUUACCACUGGAAACGGAUUAGUAAUCAUCAAUGUUGAUUAUAGAAUGGAAUAUGAGUUUGAGUAUCUAUCAUUGCAUGUAUAAUUGAGAACAGUUAUCUAACUCUUUCAUAUAGGGAUAAGUGUCACAUAAAAGAUAUAUGAAGUAAUGAAUAGUGACAAAGAUAAUUAAUAUGAUCAGCAUAACUUAGCCACAUAAUAAAUAUGAUAAGCACCUCAAUUAGAUACUCUAGCAAGUCAUUAGCAUGGAAUUAGAACGAACUAUAAGAAUAUUUCCUAAGUUAUUUUUAAUUAUAUAGUCUAGCAUUAUCAUAGUUAGUGCAAUUAUACUUAGCAAUCAUUGUGAGACAAUGAUUACGCCCAUGCAUAGUGAUAUUAUCAAGGAAUAUGAGAAACAUAGCAAUCACUCCCCUGUAAUAAUAUUGCUCUGCCAGCCCAAUACACGAGAGGGAGACUAUAUAAGAAAUCAAUGAAGCUGUCACUAUCACGAACUACCCCACGAUCUGGCAUAUUGGGUACAAUCGCAGAUAAAUACGGUAUAAGCACCACGCCUACACAAUACCUAUCAUUUACCCAUGGAUCCGAUAGAUAAAAGCUAUAUGAUCCUAAACAUGUAUAUAAUUCCAAUCUAACUAAGCCAAGUAUAUAACUAUGAUAAACUAAGAACAAUAUAAUCUUGAAUAUAAACAAGUAGAAUAAAGUCAUAAGCAAUAUAUUAAAGUAGAACAAAGUCAUAUUCAUAAUAUUGAAGAACAAAGAUGAACAAUUAAAGAAUUACAAAGAAUCCUCUUGACAGAUCCGGAAACCAAUCGAAGAUUGACUCUUUCUAGUUCGAAUCCUAUGUAGCUAUGCUAAUCUAGAUGUCUAAUUGAUGUGGUGGCUCUAGGCUUGAUCAGAGGUUUCUUCUCCCUUGAUGAAUAAUGAAUUAGGGUUGAGAGCUCUCUCCCUCCAGGGGCCAGGGGGUCUGGUUUUAUAGUCCCUCCAAGUGAAUAUGGGCCGUCGGAUCAAACCGACAUUGAUUGAACGGUUAUCCUUGAUCCUUUAGGUCGGUGGAGCGUAAUCCCGAAAGAGUGUCCUGAUUGGACUCCAAGAGGGGGCGGGCGCCCUGGUCUCCUGGGCGGGCGCCCUGGGCCAGGCCCCGUUUCGCCUCCGCUUCGUUCCCGUGGCUUCUGGAGUCUUCUAGAUGUAAGAUAAUUGUACGUCACGUUAAUAUCUCUAUGUAAUCCCGACGUGUGGGCCUUUCUUCCGUAUUUCUUGAUAACCCCCUGCAGAAAUAGACAAACACCAAAACUCGUAGAAUUCUGUCAGAUAAAACCCUAAGUCUAGAUGUUGAUUUUAUUUGGAUCCUUUUCUUUAUUUAUUUGAUAAUUAAAUUUGAUACUUAAGGACCGUCAACAAACUCCCCCAAGCUUACCUCUUGCUCGUCCCUGAGCAAGGAUAAUCUCAGCGAUGGAUUAUAAGUUGUUGAAAUGCCUUUAAAAAUUGACGGUACACAUGCUUUUAAAUAAGAUCUCAUCUCUGAGUUAGAGUAAACUGUCAAGACUUAAAACUUACUUACUUUACCUUUCACCAUGGGACUUGUAACCGUCACUUCUGUCUUGAGUAGUUAAAAGAUAGAACGGUCUAGUCAAGUGCCAUGUUUCUUAUUCUUGAUCAGCUAUAGCUCUGGAGUUUUUGUAGAUUUUCAAAUAAAACUCAGAGAUUCCUUGUAUGAUUCUCUCAGAUCUCUCUUUUGUGGUAUUUCUAGAUCCUUACCAAGGCAGUGAUGGUAUAUGCCUUCUCUCAAAGUAUGUAGUAUUUGUGGUAUAAGGCAUAGUGACAUUGCCUUCUCUCUCACCCUACUCUAAUAAGGCUUUAAUAUCUGGAGCUCAUAGGUGGGAGAUAAAGUAUACAUACUUACAAAACAUUUAUUGCAUAGUGAAACCAUGGAUCCAAAGAAACAAAUCAUAAGUCAAAUCAAGAUGUGCAUGUGUGGCGAAUGAAUGGUGUAUGGUGAUGAUGGUGAUAACAAUGGUGAAAGUCUAAUUCUACUUUUGCUCUUUUGAGAGGAUACAUACCUUUCUUGCUCUUUUGAAACUUUUUGAGGAGAAUGAGAUGCUCUGUACUUUCUUUUUCUUUCCUCUGAGGUGGGUAUUUUGUACGCCUAAUUCUACUGUCGGACACUUGUCCAUUUUUACCUCUUGUCUCACUUUUUCUUUUUCUUUCGAGGUUCCGGGCACUUGUCCCUUUUUAUUUCCUCGUAUUUUAUUAUAUUUUUUUAGAGCACUCAUCUCAUGAAAUAAUAUAGCAAGUGGUAGUAACCAAGAUAACUUGAGCAUUUAUUUCACAGGGGAAAAAUAGAAAUAUUUUUGGUUAUUCCCUCCCGGAUUAGGAGUAGAAUAUUUUUGGGUGAUUCUAGAGAUGGAAAUGGGUGGAUAUAUGUGGAUGCGUACUUCCGGAGUAGAAAUAGCAUGUGUGAGUGAACGUGCAAGUGAAUCUUGAUUUAACCACAUGACAAGCUUGUAAGGGUCUACACAGCUUGACCACACUAAAUACUUAUAAGCAGUAAAUAGUAAAUGUGUGGCUCAAAGUCUAGCAAGCAUGUAUAUAUGGCUGUGGUAGGAAUUUAAACUCUCAUCAUACAGGAACUCAUCAUGCAAUAUUUUAAAGAUUUUAAAAGAUAAAAUUCUCCAGAAUUCUAGCAUCUCUAGGAACAGAUAAACAGCAACUCAACCUUCCCAUAUCAUAUCCGUUAACAACUUAGACUUCAGAUCAAGUUUUCUUUCCACAAGUUUAGGUUUAGAGCAAGCUUUAAAUUAUAACAGUUAUGUCUAAACUUGAGAGAGAACUCAAAUUUGAAAAUUAGGCAGAGCAACUAUUCAUCAUAUCCAUGCUAGAGUUUUAUUUAGAUUCAGUUUAGCAUAGCCACUUUAUUUAUUUAUUAAGCACACUAAGCAAAAGACAUAUAUUUAUAUAUAAGUACAAAAUCUUUAUUUGGUUUUUCAUAGUUAUGUAUAUUUAUAUAUUAAUAUAGUAUAAGUAUAAAGAUAGAUAGAUAAAAAUACUUAUCGGGAUAAAUGGGGGUGCUCUCCCCCAAGCUGAAUUUUGACGUAAUUUCUUCUGAUGUAGCUAGCAGGUGGCAGAGGUGUAUUUGAAAGUCGUCAGUAUCUUGACAGCGAUUAGAAUGUCCUCCGUCUACUAGUCUUCUUAAUCCUUGAAUUCUGUGGAGCUCAAAUAGACAACAAAGCUUGUGGACUUGAUUAGGUGUUAGCAUAAACAUCUAGCCUUUAUCAUGUUGAGCCUCCUCAAUAAAUAUUACUCCCUAUUUUUAUAUUUUUAUUUUAUAAUGAAGAAAAGAAAUAUUUAUUUUAUUUUUAUGCCACCACAGUUAAUGUACUUAUGGGUUUUAUAUCACUCGUAUACUCACAUGGGGCUUACUGUUUUUUAACAUUUUUAUUUUCUUUUUAGGAUAGUAUGAACAUGAUUAACUAAGCAAACUAUUUCAAAUAUUUGAAAAGAAAAAGAUAACUACCAAGUUUACCUCUUGGCAAGGCGUUCGGUGUUUUUAAGUCCUCCGAACGGGACUCUCCGUCUUCUCAGUUGUCCUGGGAUUCGUUGAGUGGCGCAGUCGUUGCUUCCAGUGGCGCCUCUUCUUCGUGUAUAGUUAUCUUCUCUCUCUACACCUGACUCGGUGCUACGGUCUCCUCAGGAUAAUCUUGUUCAAGCUGUAUGUCUUCAGAUCUUAUUACUUCUCCUUCAUAGUCUGUCGAUCCGUCCUUGAUGAUUUCCCUCCUCUGGUUGCGGUUGUAUAGUCUUCUUCUGACUUGCUUAGAGUCUUCAACGAUAUAGUUAGGGUCAAUAAAAUAGCGGCGUACCUUCUCUGAGGGGAAGUGCAUGUGGACUUCUCCAGUUCCAAUAUAGAUGAUUGCUUUAACGGUGCUGAGGAACGGUCUUCCAAGGAUGAUGGAUGGAUCGUAUUCGUCUUCUCCCAUGUCAAUAACCUGAAAGUCUGUGUAGACAAAAUGAUCGUCUAUUUUGACAGGAACAUCAGUUACUAUACCUUUAACCUCUCGAAAUGUCUGAUCUGCCAUCUGGAGUUGAAUGUAUGUUGGUUUUAGGGGCAUGGUUCCGAACAAGAGCCGAUAGGUGACUGCGGCCAUUAUGUUGACGCCCGAUCCGGUGUCGCAAAACAUCUUGUAGAAGCUGUAUCCAUUUAUGGAGCAGUAGAUGCUUGGCAUUCCUGGAUCGUCCUUCUUGGUUAGAAACGGUGACUUUAGUCGAUGAUCUUGACCUCCUUGAACUGCAGUGACCAUCUUAGCUGACCCGGUCCACACUUGCUUGUUCCUCUUCCUCCUGUUGGUCCUUUUCCUUGGUUCAUGUUGGGAUUGCUCUGGGAUUUGUGUAGUCUUGUUCUUGAAGGAAAAUGUCUGCUUUUCCCUUUGAUGUAGAAACUGAUCUUGGCAGCACUAGCGUAGAUGACAGCUCCCGAAGUGUUUAAGAAUGGCCUCCCUAAGAUGAUGGGUGCCCUCUCAUCAUUUUCGGUCUCUAUUACCAUGAAGUCUGCUGGGGCGUACAAGGUACCAACUCGGACACAUAGGUUCUUCAAUAUUCCCUUGGGGAAACUUAACGCCUGAUCUGCAAACUGCAAACACAUGGUUGUUUCUAAUAAAGGAUAUGUAAAGAAUUUUUCAUAGAGUACCCUGGGCAUAAUGUUGACACUAGAGCCAAAGUCACAGAGUGCUUCUAGGAAGUCCACCAUGUCGAUGGAGAUCGAGAUGACGGGGCGUCCUGGAUCGCCUUUCUUGACCGGCAGAAGGUCAGUAUUAACUUCAGUGACGGGGUUACUCCAAUAGUUACCUGCAUCAAACAUGUCUACAAGAUUUGCAGAUUCUAAUCCUUCCGGUUGUGAUGGUAUACCGGGGUUAGUAGCAGGAACAGCAGCAGCUAUUUGAUUUAACUGAGAUUCAAUCAUUUUAUUAAAGCUAAUUUGAUUCUUGAUGGCAGUAGAGAAAUUAUCCAUUCUAUUAUUUAUAUUUUCUAGCAUUUUAUCAUUAGAUGUCAAUUUCUUAGAUAGAUUAUCCAUUAGCUUUCCUUGAUUAGACACUAACUCUCUUAGAGGUGGAAAAUUAUUAUUAUUGUUAUAAGAAUUGUUACCUUGAUAAUUACCUGAGUAGUUAGGCCUCUGUUGAUUCCAACCUUGAUUUUGCUGAGGACGGUUAUAAUAGUAGUUGUUGUUGUUGAUGUAGUUUACAUCCUCAAGCAUCUCAGGGCAGUGAUUGCUUGAGUGUCCAGUAUCUCCACACUCCUCACAAGUCAUGUGAGAGUCGUAGAUGUGCAUAACUUCUUUCUUAUCUCCAGCUCUAUCAUCGAGCUUCUUCAUGAGCAGGUCUAGCUUUGCAGACAGCAUGUCUACCUCCUUGAGCUGAUGUAUACCUCCACCUCUCUUGCGUGUCUGGGUCCUCUCUUUAUUCCAGCUUUGAUUGGACGCCAUCUUCUCCACAAGAGCUGUGGCUUGUGAUAUGGUAAGUGAUAGGAAUGCUCCUCCAGCUGCAGCAUCCAUGGUUUCUCGGGCACUGUUGCCGAGCCCAUGAUAAAACGUCUGCAUCAGUAGCCAGCUCUCCAUUCCAUGAUGGGGACUUUCUAGGAUAUAGUCUUGGAAGCGCUCCCAUGCUUCUAGAACGGAUUCAUCAUGUUGUUGCUGAAAACUUGUAAUCUUCCCACGGAGAGCAUUGGUCUUGCCCAUGGAAAAGAACUUAGCCAGAAAGUUCGUGGAGCAGAGUACCCACGUAGUAUUCUUCUCCUUUGUUGCGUAAAACCACUGUUUCGCUCUCCCUAUCAGUGAGAAUGGGAAGAGACGAAGUAGUAUAGCAUCUCUGGGGACUCCUGAUAUGGUGAAUGUGCUGCAAAUCUCCAGGAAGUGUUGGAGAUUGAGCACUAGCAUCUUCGUGUGCCUUUCCAUAGAACUGGUUGGAUUGCACCAUGUUGAUAAGUCCAGGCUUGAGCUCAAAGUUGCCAUCGAUCUCUGUAGCAGGUCCAGUGCGGAUGUUGUCCGUAGUGGGAGCUGAGAACUCACGGAUCGAUUUGUUCGCCAUGGCUACGAAUUCUGAAGACAAGUUCCGGUGAUCUUCUUGACUGGAUGAAGCUUCUUGCUGAAGUGUUGAUGAUCUCUUCUUGAGCUUGGUUCUAGUUUUUCUGAAUAAUGCUUCGGGAUUGUCAACAAAGUUUCCUGGAAGAUGUCUUCUAUUCAUACAUCGCCCUACAUAAGAUAAAAUAGAAAAAUAUCGGGGUAAAACUGUAUGAAAGAAUUGAUAAGCUCAAUCAUAUUAGUGAUGCGAAUGAUGACUCAAAAUUCUAUAUCCAUUCCUGAUUAGUAAUCAACCUUCCCCGGCAACGGCGCCAAAAAUGCUUGUUGGGUAUUCUUAACAUCAUUACCAAAAGUAGACUUAGUUUUCUAAUUCUCAUAACGGUGCCAAAAAUGCUAAACCUAUCUCUCAUACCACUUAAGCCAAGUUGUCAUCCCCAGCAUGACAUGAGAGACGCGGUAUUGAAAUAUGCAAUUGCUCAUCUAAAUAAAUAAUGAAUGGGAUCUGCAAGCGCACAGAUUAAUACCGAUGUAGCAUUUUAACCGGGAAGUAUUCCAGGUAUCGUUAUUUAUAUUUUUACCACUGGGAAGGGAUUAGUAAUCAUCAAUGUUGAUUAUAGAAUGGAAUAUGAGAUUGAGUAUCUAUCAUUGCAUGUAUAAUUGAGAACAGUUAUCUAACUCUUUCAUAUAGGGAUAAGUGUCACAUAAAAGAUAUAUGAAGUAAUGAAUAGUGACAAAGAUAAUUAAUAUGAUCAGCAUAACUUAGCCACAUAAUAAAUAUGAUAAGCACCUCAAUUAGAUACUCUAGCAAGUCAUUAGAAUGGAAUUAGAACGAACUACAAGAAUAUUUCCUAAGUUAUUCUUAAUUAUACAGUCUAGCAUUAUCAUAGUUAGUGCAAUUAUACUUAGCAAUCAUUGUGAGACAAUGAUUACGCCCAUGCAUAGUGAUAUUAUCAAGGAAUAUAAGAAACAUAGCAAUCACUUCCCUGUAAUAAUGUUGCUCUGCCAGCCCAAUACACGAGAGGGGGACUAUAUAAGAAUCAAUGAAGCUGUCACUAUCACGAACUACCCCACGAUCUGGUAUAUUGGGUACAAUCGUAGAUAAAUACGGUAUAAGCAAGUAGAGCAAAGUCAUAAGCAAUAUAUUGAAGUAGAACAAAGUCAUAUUCAUAAUAUUGAAGAACAAAGAUGAACAAUUAGAAGAACAAUUAGAGAAUUACCAAGAAUCCUCUUGACAGAUCCGGAAACCAAUCGAAGAUUGACUCCUUCUAGUUCUAAUCCUAUGUAGCUAUGCUAAUCUAGAUAUCUAAUUGAUGUGGUGGCUCUAGGCUUGAUCAGAGACUUCUUCUCCCUUGAUAAAUAAUGAAUUAGGGUUGAGAGCUCUCUCCCUCUAGGAGCCAGGGGAGCUCUCAACCCUCUAGGGGCCAGGGGGUCUGGUUUUAUAGUCCCUCCAAGUGAAUAUGGGCCGUCAGAUCAAACCGACAUUGAUUGAACGGUUAUCCUUGAUCCUUUAGGUCGGUGGAGCGUAAUCCCAAAAGAGUGUCCUGAUUGGACUCCAAGAGGGGACAGGCGCCCUGGUCUCCUGGGCGGGCGCCUUGGGCCAGGCUCCGUUUCUCCUCCGCUUCGUUCCCGUGGCUUCUGGAGUCUUCUAGAUGUAAGAUAAUUACGCGGCACGUUAAUAUCUCUAUAUAAUCCUGACGUGUGGGCCUUUCUUCCGUAUUUCCUGAUAACCCCCUGUAGAAAUAGACAAACACCAAAACUCGUGGAAUUCUGUCAGAUAAAACCCUAAGUCUAGAUGUUGAUUUCAUUUGGAUCCUUUUCUUUAUUUAUUUGAUAAUUAACUUUGAUACUUAAGGACCGUCAACACUCGCUGGCCUCUAUGGAUAGAGAAACAGUCACGACCCUGAUCCACCAUGAGAGGAAGAUGGGGAGGAGGGCAAUGCACACGACUCUGACCAUCACCUUCGGGGGCUCGACGACGGCGGCACGAGCAAGGCGGCGGCGGCUAAUGCGGUUUCUAACCCUAACUGCCAUGCUUAUAUAGACCGCGACGGUGCUAGACCUGGCCGCUUGGCUGGGCCGUGUGCCUAGCCAGCUCGAUGGGCCGUGGGCCUAGCCAACUGGCUAGGCCGCGUGCCGGGCUGGCUGGCUUGGUCGCACGCCUGACCUGUCGAGCUGUUUGCUCAACUGAGCCUCUUUUUUCUUUUUUGUUUUCCCUAGAAUUUAACUACUUAGUUAUUUUUCCUAUCAACAGUAGUAUAGAUUGAUUAGCAUAUGAUUUGCUAGUUUAAUUUCUACAAGAACAUUAGUUAUUUGUCUUGAUUAUUGUUGCUCUGUACUGCUAGAUCCUGACAUUGUAAAUAUAAUUGUGGUUUGUUUAUAUUAUUAUUAUUAUUAUUAUUAUUAUUAUUAUUAUUAUUAUUAUUAUUAUUAUUAUUAUUAUUAUUAUUAUUAUUAUUAUUAUUAUUAUUAUUAUUAUUAUUAUUAUUAUUAUUAUUAUUAUUAUUAUUAUUAUUAUUAUUAUUAUUAUUAUUAUUAUUAUUAUUAUUAUUAUUAUUAUUAUUAUUAUUAUGCAACAUUGUAUUUCUAUCAUAUUUUUGGAGUAUGUGGUGCACCAAAACAUCCUUUGCACCACAUACAUAUUACAUUUGUGACUUGAUAAUUUUGUUUUGGGCUAUGUUGAUACACCCCCCCCCCUAUUUUGUAUCAACAUAUUAGUUACAUUUAUAAUUUUAUGAUAGAAUUGGGCAUGUUGGUGCCCCAAACUACAACUUUUGCACCACAUACAAGUUAAAUUUGCUAGUAGACUUAGUUGCAAUUUAAAUAUACCAUCUAUAGAAUUAGAAACUUUUAAUUACUAUAGAUUUAAAGUUGCAAUAUACAUAUCUUACUUAUUUUGGUUAAAUAACACAAGGUAAUGGAGUCUAUGGCAUUGGUGCGCUUAAUUCCUUGUGAAUUAAUCAAAUCACCCAUUACUGAGAGGUUUACAUCACGCGAUUCAAGAUAAAUUUAUGAGGAAGUCUUAUCUCUUUAGGAUCAACCCCAGUAUCGAGAAAUGUUUCUAUGAAACUUGAUGAUUACCCACACCGUGGUUUUACCCAAAAUAAAGGUUUUAGAUUGCACAAGAUAGUAGAGUCCUCAAAGGCUGCAUUUAAUUCACUUGUGAAUUAUCUUGCCUAGUGACCGUGCUUAGACAACAAUAUAUUUGCCUACUAUUAAGAUCUUCUCUUUGUCUUAUGAGUUAGAGACUAUCUGUCUUGUGUUUAUCAAAAUUUAUGAUAAUUUGGUUGUAUGGUCUACAUAAUUUUGUAAAAUACUGCAAAUAAUUUGCCAGCAUUAGGGGGAUAAUUGUACCAAAAAGAAUACGAGAAAAUAGAUCGGAAUGCAGCAGACAUUUCAUUCUUUGAUCCACGUACUACAUAAACUAAACUACAAGUCUAAAGAAUUAUCGAUUUGCAAAAUACUGCAAAUAAUCUGCCAGACUUUUUUUGAUUAUAAAGGUGUCACAAAGUCUCUCCAUCCUGCAAGGAAUGUGCCUGAAUGAGUGGAGGUACCUUAUAAAACCACUUAACCCCCUAUUGGCAAAAGGAGGGGGAGGAACAGUUCCAAGAGGCAAGAUGUGAUUGUUGGCAAGCAAAAGAAGACUACAAAUGCAACUCAAGCUUUGGUUGAAAGACACCUACAUUGUCCUAUGGAUAGAAGUAUUCCAUAAUCUAGCUCAGUUAUGUGCAUAAACACCAAGGCUGGAACAUCGAAAGAUCCUCCAUCGUUUUAGGAAGUCAUGAUGAAUCUUUAACUGUAGAUGGAAUUUCUAUAAAUUUUGCUGAGACUGGAGAGUCUUAUAGUCAUAAGUCCAUAAUAGUCAACAUUUAUUUCUCUGAACAAAUUGCAAAUAUCCUUCAGACCGAUUCAGAUCCUAAGUCUACGACAAAGUGCAAAAAGCGCUCGGACUGGGAUAAGUGGAAGGAAGCUAUUGAAACAGAGAUUGCCUCGCUUAAUAAAAGAAAGGUAUUUUUGGCCAUAAUUCCAAUACCUCCUAGUAUCUUUCAUUUGGGAUACAGAUAGGUUUUUGUCUGUAAAAGGAAUGAAAACAAAGAAUUGGUGAGAUAUAAAGCAAGGCUAGUGGCAUAAGGUUUUACGCAAAGACCUGGCGUUGAUUUCAAUGAAACUUACCCUUCGGUAAUGAGCAGAAUAACUUUAUGAUACUUGAUAUCACUGACAAUACAAAAUUGUCUAUCUAUGCAGUUAAUGGACAUAGUGACCGCAUACUUGUAUGGGUCAUUAGAUUCUGAGAUAUACAUGAAAGUUUCUGAUAGAAUCAGUAUACCAAAUCCUAAGGCUCAUAACAUGUAUUGCAUCAAGUUGCAGAAGUCAUUAUAUGGCUUAAAGUAGUCAAGCCGAAUAUGGUACAAUCGAUUAAGUAAAUUUCUUACACAAAAGGGAUAUAUAAAUAUUGGUGACUGCCCGUGUGUCUUCAUUAAGAAAUCAUCAACAAGAUUUUGUAUAAUAUUAGUAUACGCUGAUGAUCUUAAUAUCAUCGGCAAUGAAUCUGUUAUUAAUGAAGCAUGUCAUCAUUAAAAGAUAGAGUUUGAAAUGAAGGAUUUGGGUCAAACCAAAUUUUGCUUGGGUUUACAAAUUGAGCACUUUCAUUUUGGUAUAUUCAUAUACCAAGCUGCCUAUGUCCAAAAUGUAUUGGAGAAAUUCAAUAUGGACAAGUCAUAUCCAACAAAAACCCCAAUAGUAGUGAGAUCUAUAGAUAUUAAAAAAGAUCCUUUUAGACCACGGGAAGAAGAAGAAAUAUUGGGACCACAAGUUCCAUAUCUUAGUGUCGUUAGAGCACUAAUGUAUCUUGCUAAUAGCACUUGACCGGAUAUUGUAUUUGUAGUAAAUUUGCUAGCAAGACAUAGUGCUAAACCUACUAAACGUCAUUGGAUAGGAGUCAAAACUGUUUUGAGAUAUCUCAAUGGCACUAGAGAUCUUGGACUAUUCUAUAGCAAAAAUCAAGAUCUAAUUUUGUUAGGAUAUAUAAAUGUUGGUUAUCUAUUUGAUUCCCAUAAUGGCAGAUCAUAGACAGACUUUGUUUUCUUGCAAGGUGGAACAACAAUAUCUUGGAAGUUUUCAAAGAAGACUUUAGUGUCCACUUCCACCAAUCAUUCUGAAAUAAUUGCUUUACACGAAGCAUCACGCGAAUACGUAUAGCUUCGCAGAAUGGUAAACCACAUAAUACAAUCAUGUGGUAUUGGAGACUUGAGACACCUACAAUUAUCUUUGGGGAUAAUUCAGCAUGUGUUACUCAAAUGGAAUCAUGUUAUAUUAAGAGUAAUAUGACUAAGCAUAUUAUUCCAAAAUUAUUCUACCCCUGUGAGCUCCAAAAGAACGGAGAAAUUGAAAUCUUGCAAACUAAGUCUUGUGAUAAUCUAGCAGAUUUAUUCACAAAAUCCCUACCAUACUCCGCAUUUUGUAAAUGUGUUGAGGGCAUUGGUAUGAGAAGGCUUAAAAUUUUGCAAGAAUCAAGGGGAGAAUCUAUUAAAUAGAACCUGUUUUCACUAUACAUUAUACUAUUUUCCUUUAUAUGAGUUUUACUCUUCUAGAGUUUUCUCACAUAAAGUUUUUAAUGAGGUAAUAGUAACACAUAGUAAAUGUCAUAUUAUCUAUUUUUCCUCAUAGUGGUCUUUCGAAAGUAAUAUAUGACAUAUAGAUCUUUGAUCAAAGUUGUUUUAGACUAUGUCUUUGGGAAUACCCAGAGGGUCUAAUAACAUUGGGACUAAUAUAUAUCAUGGUGUUUCUCUUUAUUUUUCCCACUGGGUUUUAAGGAGUUUUGUUUGGUAUAUCGAUAUACUUUGGAUUUUUCCCAUAGGGUUUUUCCAAAGCUUCAAGACAUUUACUGAUAAACAAGAUGCUUACACAAGAUCAUCAAGGGGGAGUGUUGAGAUUAAUUAGGAUUGUUAAUUAGUGAUCAAUUAUGGUAAAUCUCAUAAUUAGCAUGUGCUAAUUACAUAACUAGAAUAGGUAACCGUAGAGGCCCUUUGGGCACCAACAGGGUCACUGACAAAGAAAACUGUCUCUUGUAUAUAUACAAAAAUUGUUCAUCAAUACAAGAUAUCCGUCAUUUGCACGGUUAAUCAAUCCACUUUCACACAACAGUUUUCACUCCGGCGGUUCGGACCAGUAGAAUUCCACAGGACCUGGCUUGUUGGAGUGAUCGGUAUUAGUUAAUAAAGGAAAAAUAUAUACGGCCCACUGAGAGCAUAUAAAAAACAUAAUUGUUUGAGAACUAUCAGAUUGCCGUCUUUUGGAUUUUGGACUUGUGCUCCGUCCUAAGCGGCGCGAGCGGCAACAAUCGGAUUGCCACUGCCAAGAAUUAUUACGCAUAUAGAAACGUGGUUUCUAAAUAUCUUCCAAGAGAUUAUUGUUUAUGUUAUCUUCCACUUUUUUUAUGGUCCAGAUGUUGUUUAGAUUCGUGCUGUGUGCUCACCUUUUAAGUUUUGUGGUUGUCGUUUGUGACUCCAUUAUCCCGCUACUUUUUAUAUUAAAAAAAAGUUAUCCUACCGUUUCAUUUCAAUUUCGUGUUUUCUGGUGUUGUCGACGGUGUCCGUAGCCUUGUCGCCGGCGGUGACGGCGGUGCUUGUGGCCUUGCCCCAACGGUUACGGCUGUGACGGCGAUGGCGGCCGCGUUGUCGAUGGUGGACGCAGCGUUGUCUUCGGUGGCGGCAGAUUUGUCUAAGGAUGCAGCAGCAGCAACGGCGAUGUUGUUCGAGGCGGCGGUUGCGGAUUUGUCGGAGGAGGAGGCGGUGACCACAGUGUUGCUCGAGGCGGCAGCAGCUACGUACCCUGCAGUGCCACUCUGUUCUCCUAUAUUUUGAUUUGAUUUGUAUUGCAGUUGUGUCGGUAGCGGCGUUAGUUGCGGGCUUGGCCGGGGCAAACUCACCGGCAAGGAGCUCCACAACCUCCGUCCCUCCAAUGUUGAUCCCUGAUUUGGAUGUAGCGCUUGUCAGGAAGCCUUGCCCCUGCUCCUCCAAUUUGUGCCCUAUUUUGGCAUUACACAUCUGUGUAUUUUUUCAGUCAAAUGUGGGAUUGGUUUAUUUGUUAAUGUGUUUUUUGUCCAUUGCUUGCUAUUUAUAAUGAUUAGUCUUGUUUUGCUUCUGGAAUGUGUACGUAUUACCAAGCUUUGUUGCUGAUCACUACGGUUUGUGUGUAUGUGUGUGGAGGUUUGGAGGAGGCACAGGUUUGCCAGUUCACCAUAGUUUGCUUGAAGUUUGCUUGAGUCUGCUUUUAUUUUUCUUGAUUUUGUGUGUCAAUAGUUAAAGAUGGUAGGUUGUGCGUACAAAGCAUCUGCUCUACUGAUCCAUUCCAAGGAUCUUGUAAUUUGGUUUUACUUAGUGAGGUUGCUAUGACUGUGAGAGGAUGGUUAAAUAAAUAAAUUAAAGAGGAGACUAUUAGUCAUCCACGUUAGCAGCAUGAGCGGAUGAAUUUUGUUCAGGUUCAUAUUCUGUUCAGUUUAUAAUUUAAGUAUUAUGUAUUUCAGUUUCCUCCAUGCUAUCUACCCAAUUUCAGUCUUCAAUUGCAGUUAGCAAUUCAGUGUUUGAUUUCAUUUAUGUUUUCAUUUUCUAAUAAGUUUCACUAUAGGUUCGGGUUCAAUCUAAUUUAAUUACAGUUUUUAGUUUUAGUCAUGUUCAGGUUAUAGGUUUGGGUUCAAUCUUAUUUAAUUUCAGUUUCCAGUUUCAAUUAAUUUCAUACUUCAAUUGCAGAUAGCAAUUUAAGUUUUUUAUUUCAUUUUGUGUUUUCAUUGUCUAAUAAGUUUCAUUAUAGGUUUAGGUUCUUUCUAAUUUAGUUGCAGUUUUUAGUCUUAGUCAUCUUCAGGUCAUAGGUUCAGGCUGUCUUAUUUAAUUUCAGUAUUCAAUUUGGGAUUGUUGUGAGAUUGGUGGAGAAGUAGAGUGUGCUUGAUUCUUAUUUCUCUUUCCUUGGCUUCGAGCCCCAAAAGUCUUAGAUCAAAUUUGAGCUCCUUUUACAAUUUUCUUCUGGUUUAUCAUCACGUUUGAAUAGUCACUUGUUAAUUUGUACUCCUACAUCUUCAACUUUGAGAGCUCGGAUGACUCGAGGCAAUGGCGGAGCUCGAGUCAAAAUUAAGGGAGGUUAUACUGUAGCUUUGUUUGUUCACUCUCUACCUGCUGCAGCUAUAUUGUCAGUAGCACUGCUGCACUGAUUUGUAGAGGUGGCGAAUAGCAUGACACUAAGCUGUUGAGCUGUGCACUAAUAAAUCGUUAGUAGGUGUUGUCCAUUAGCUGAAUUGCUUACAGCAACAGCUUUGCACUAACACGUUCUACAUCUAGUGUCCUCAUAAAUUUGCACAGACCAAGGGGGGCCACUGCCCAGGUUAGCCUACACUCAGCGCCGCCAGUGACUCGGAGACAUUUAUGUUUUGUAGGAUAGGAUUUUAGAUGUUUUUCAUUUGUGUUUUUAGAUGUGGGCUUUCUGAAUCAGGAACUACGAUGCUUUGUGUCACAGCGAACCAACUAGUACUUGAUGUCCGUGUUACCCUUGACCUGUCAGGUUAAGUGUCAACUUGUCCUUUCAUGCAGUAGAUACCACUAAGGAGCACCAAGAUAUUCAUCUUUCACCUUUGGAUGAAACAUACUAUAGAAGCUGAUGAAUAGCAUCCUGGUUCAUAUCAUGUUCGUUCCCUUUCGAAGAAUAUCCAUCCAGUGAUUGUGUUUAUUGUACUCUGAUUUUAUUUAAAAUUGUUUUACAAGUUAUGAGAAAUAUUAUGAAUAUUAUGUAGGGAAGGAGAAAGCAAGAAAGUCCAACUACGCUGACCUUUCAAAGAGAUCUUUUGUUUCUUUUUUAUAAAUUUGAUGCCCCUUAUCCUUUUUGUACCGUAGCUUUUCAGAUAAACUGCAGAUGCUACAGCUAAAGAUUUGCUAGCUUGCAAUUGUGCUCUACCAGGAUAGAUGUUAUUCUAAAAAUAAUUGAAGUAUUGGCAGAACACAUCACUCUAAUAGAAUUUCUCUUUCUACAUAAAGAGAGAACUCCCAUGCAGAAAAAAAUAUAUUGUUGGCCUUCGAUAUUUCAGAAUGAAUAAGUUUUUUAGUGCCUACUCUUCCAUGGUACUUGAACUAUGCUGAUUGAAUGGAGAAUCCUUACUCGAAAGCAUAAGAUCAUGAGCAUUUUCUUAUACUGCAGCUUGGCUUGAAACAAGGAAUGAAGGCCAGUUCUCCAUCAAAUACUUGAGCUGAGAUUUGGCCACGUCACUUUUCAGGAAGUUGAAGAUAACUACCCUAAAAAUCUUCCAGACACGUGACGUACAGGUGCUUUUUUUGUUUCUGUGUUCUAUUGUACAAAAUGAUGUGGCAACAUAUGAUUUGUUGAAAAAGUGAAAGAAAACAAAUUGAAAAAUCUUCUAGAAGAUGUGUAGUCAGUCCCAAAAACUAUAAAAAAAGUGAUGGAAUUUGAAAAUGUUUCUUACUAUAAAUCAUUAUAUAAAUUUUACGUCUAACAAAUCUGGUUGGUUACUAUUUGUUCAUCUUACAUGUGGAUCUAUAUCUUUAUACGUGGAGAAACAUCGAUGUUUUGCAAAGAGCCGUAUGCCUCUGACCAAAUUUUUUCACCGUGUUUCUUACCCCAAACAAAACAAACUCUGACUACCCAACAUUUUUUUCUCACCAAAGGUUUUACUGACCUGCCCAUAUAGAUUUUUUUUGCAAAACCUCCCCAAAGAUGGCCAUGCAGCUCGCACUCCCAUAGUCUAGCCGGCAGCAUGAAUUUUUUUUCUCCCCAUACACGUCGGAUAACUUGGACACGGCCCGCUAAAAUACACCAGGCCCAACAAGACCCGCUAUUCAGUCAAAGAUUAUACAUACUUUGGGCUCUCUCGCUUCCUCAUAUUAUGAGGGUCCCGAUUUUUUUGUUUUAGGUAUUAUAGCAUUUUCGUUUUUAUUUGGCAAAUCUAUACCUAUCUAUAAAAAGGGAAAAUUUCAGUAUGCCAAUAUUUUUUCUGCCUGCCCUCUCCAUCUUCCGUUGCCCGGAAACCUCCGUCCGUGCCCUGUCCGUCUUCCGUUGCUAGGAAACCUCCAUCCGUUUAACGCUUGGUAAGAGAGGAAAGGAAAAUAGAAUGUUUUCUAGGGUUCCCAAUGCAAAAUCUUUUAUUACUGUCGUCGCCGGUCCCCAGAAGAAUCGCUAGGCGCCGCCGUCCGCUUGUAGAAAAUAAAAAAAAUAUUUUUUUUUCAAGGUUCCCAAUACAAAAUAUUCAAUAUCCUAUUAGUUUAAUUCGGCUGAAAAUUAAUAAAUACGUAAUAAUUUAUAAAAAAUGUAAAAAUUACAAAACAAAUUUUGUUCAGCUCCACAUAUGUAGAUCCAUGUAGUAAAUAAAAAAUAGAUGCAAAAUGUCUGUCCUAUUAAUUUGUUUUUCUUUUAUUCUUUAAUUCGGUUGAAAAUUGGUAAAUGCGUAAAAAUUCAUAGAAAUAUCUAAAAAUUACAAAACAAAUUUUGUUCACCUCCACAUAUGUAGAUCCAUAUAGUAAACAAAAAAUAUCACAAAUUUCAGUAUAUUUUUUGUUGGGGAUGCUUGCCUGUGCUUUUUAGUGUAAAAUUGAAAUUAUAGUUAUCUUGCUCCAAUUAUUAUAAAAAUUUUAUGGUAGCCUAUUUAAUGUGAUGCUUGAUUUGUGGUAAAAGUUUUAGCACAAUUCCUACAUAUCUCACUUAUUUACUAAUUUACCUAAAUUUAUGCUUGCUAAAUAGUUUACAAUCAAUUUAAGUAUGUAAAAAUAUAAAAAAGAUGUUUCCACUACCUUUGCACGAUGUGUUGUUACGUCAUAUGAACACUUCAUAAGCCUAUGUGUUCAUAAUAUACAUACAUUUAACUGAUAUAUCGUAUUUUAUAGGAAUCAUAAUCUAAAUAAAAAACUAAAGCUAGCAACAAACUUCUCAUGAUUUAUAUAAUACUGAAGUAUAUUAAGAGAUAAUACUAGAGUAGGAUAAGAUUUGCCUAAUUUCUAUAAUUAUUAUUAAAUAAAUAUGUCUCCAAGUUAUAUAUUAUUGUAAAUAUUAACUAUCUAAUACCAUAGAUGUCAUGGUUAUCAAUAAAAUAAAUUAUGGAAUUUAAAUUUUAUAAAAAGAAUAAAUAUAAAUAGAUAUGUAACAUUAUGUCAUCACUUUCUAUAGCUAUUUGAUGUUUCUCUCCCGUUGCAACGCACGGGCAUAUUUGCUAGUAUUAUUUAAUCAUGGACUAGUUCAAAAGAUUCAUCUCUCGAUUUACGCUAAAACUGUGCAAUUAGUUUUUAUUUUCGUAUAUAUUUAUGCUCCAUGUAUGUAUUAAAAAAUUUGAUUUGAUAGAGAAUCUUGAAAAAGUUUUUGGUUUUUGGAUGAACUAAACAAGGCCUUACAUAGAUUUACAUAGAUAGGAGAUCUCUUUUUUGAGAAAAGAUAUAUAGAAGAAGAUUUUUCUAGGGUUUUCGGCCCACCAAAUGUUCCAUGGCCCAUUACAGACUCAAAAGUAUUUCCUUUCCUCCGACCGUCCGACGCCAUUAUUACAAGGACAAGCCAGGAAGCCUGAUGAUGCCAUGAUUGGGACUAGAAUCAGUGUUUGGCUUUUCGCUACCUUCCAAAAGACUCGCUAGAAUUGAGGAGGCCCUGUACCAUGAUGCUCCACUCCAGCUCAGCUAUGCGCCAAGCAGGCCGGCACCCGGCAGUGGAGGUCCCGCGCUCGCUCAGCUCCAUUGUAGGCAUGCAUACCAUGGCAUCUUCAGCGAUAGACAGCGGCCGCAUGGCAAGGCGAUGCAGGCUCUGCAGCUGCACUACUGCUGCGUGCAGGGCUGCAGGCCCACAGGCCACAGGUCAACUGCAGAAGAUGGCGGGCGAUGGAUGGGUUGGCCUUGAGGCAGACUCACGCAGUCACAGAGUCAGGUGCUCGAGGGCCAACAAAUUAGAGAUAGUUCCCGAUUUUUUUUUUUUUUUUGGAUUUGACUAUGGUAGAUUUUCGUUUUAUUUUAUAAUUAGCGUUCAGUCAUAAAUUAAUUAGACUUAAAAAAUUCGCCUCGUAAUUACAAACUGUAUAAUUAGUUAUUUUUAAUUUAUAUUUAAUGCUUCGUCCAAAUAUUCGAUGUGAUGGAUAAAAAGAAAAUUUUUGGAAACUAAACAGUGAUCAAAUCAUAGUGUGCGGUAAAAUGUUGUAUCUGCAUGCAGUGGAACCGUGGAAGUCAAAAGACUGAAAGAAAACAUUCAUAAUUCAUGCAUGGAGCUGGCUUCGUAAAAACACACAUCUCUGUUAUGUUUUUAGAAUUCUCACACCUGUAUUUGUAUUGUCAAGCGGAUGAACGCCUCCAAUUUGGAUCUCAUCUCAUGCCAACGCUCGGAUGAUUUGGAUCUCAUCUCAUGCCAACGCUCGGAUGAUAGCUUUGUCGUGAUGACAACUAGAGACAAACUCCCUACAUUGUUGGAUUUAUUAUGGGUUAGACUCAUUUAUAUAUUGAAUAAUUCAAUAAACUCUGUGGUAUGUAAACCGUUUCAUACGGUGCGAGUUUUUGACUGAAUGAUUGAGGUAUGUGUCACGCACCGUGGUCGUGAUGUGGCGAAUGGAGGGACUUUUCAUUUUGUUAAUCAUGGUGAUUGAAUAUUGGGGUUACUUCUCACGGUGAUUGAAUAUGGGAGUUACUUCUCAUGGUGAUUGAAUAUGGGAGUUACUUCCAUUAUUCUAAUUGAUUAAAUGAAUUGUCAUUAUGUCCACUAAGGGAGUGGCGUGAGCAUCAUGGGCUCUUGGCUUUCUUGCAUGCGUGUGAGGCUUUUGGCCUCCAAGCCAUGAGGCUCCUUGCCUUUUGGCUUGCCCACCUCUUGCCUACAUAUAGCACAUACUACUACGUCAGUCAAGGGUGAAGAACAUAAUCCAGAGACACAAUUCCGCAGCAACGUAGACUUCUCUAUCUCCUCGAUCCGCGCGCACGGAGAAGGGAGAGGGCAGGUGCUUCCGAAGCCCUUGUCGUUCGUGAUCCUUGCACGGGGAGGACGACAAUUAGGUUUUUGGGGAGCGUCUACGCGACUGCCCAAUCCACCGCCGUUGUUCGUCUUCCUCAAGCUGGUUCGGACGGAUUUCUUCUUUCCGGUGGAAAGAUCGUCUUCAUCCUCUACAUCAUGGAAGUUGGUCAAGGAUCGGGAUCAUCGGAGCGCAUGGGAGGGUAUGAUCCAUUCAUCUUCCUGUUGUGUUUCGUCUUCCUGUUCAUACAUGUUGCAGUAGUGUGUUUGUUUUGUUGCGCUUACUAUCCUGGUUAUGUUUCAUAUGUUCUACCAUGUAUUUUCUGUUUUUAUUUUAUAUAUGUUUCUGGUAUAAGUUAUAUGUCAUGUUUGCUUGUUUCGCUGGUUAAGUUAAAACGUUUCAUAUGUUGUUGUCUCUAUGUUUCACUAGUGGUUCAGUCACGUCGUUUGAUAUACUGCUUCUCAUAUGUUUCAGUAGUUCUAUUUCAUCGUUUAACAUGCAGUCUCUUGUUUAUUGCUAUUUUAAGAUAUAUGUCUUGCCUUGUUAUUAUAUUUCAUAUAUUAUGCUUUUAUAUUUUUAAUAAUCACAUGUUCUACAUGUUCAUGGAUCACAUGUUCUAUAUUCCUAUGAACAUGUUUAAUAUCAUGAUUUCUAUAAUUAAUUAUAUUAUAUAUGUCAUCAUCAUAAUGUUGAUUUAUGGAAUUAAAAUGAUAUGGAAAUUGCCUAAAUAUCUAACAUUCCAAAAACCUAAUUAUAAUAGGCAUUUUUCUGUUAGAGUUUUUGCUGCUGCUAUGAAGCCUGAUUCUUUUGAUGGGAAAAACUUCUUGUUUUGGAAAGCUAAAAUGGAACUAUGGCUAACUGCAAUGUCAUGUUAUCAUGCUGCUGAGGGCAAACCUGCUAACUUACCUCCUGCGGAUGAGGCAAAGUUUAAGGUUGAUGACAACCUCUUUCGAGGUGCAGUAAUUAGCGCACUUGAUCCUAAGUUCUAGAAAAGCUAUAUUAUCCAUCCUACAGGGAAAGAGCUGUGGGAUGCAUUUGUGGGAAAGUUUGGAGUUACUGAUGCUGGUAGAGAGUUGUAUCUCAUGGAGCAGCUGUUUGACUACAAGAUGGUUGAGAACCGAUCUGUAGUGGAACAGGCUCAUGAGAUUCAGGCACUAGCUAAGGAAAUUGAACUGUUCUCUUGUCUUUUGCCCGACAAGUUUGUGGCUGGCGGUAUUAUCGCCAAGUUGCCACCUUCUUGGAAGGACUUUGACACCUCUCUCAAACACAAGAGGCAAGAGUUCAAUGUUGAGGAACUCAUUGGCACUCUAGAUGUUGAGGAGAGAGCUAGAGCAAAGGACAAUGGGAAAGGUGUUGAGACCUCAUCUGCCAAUGUGGUGCAGAAGAAAUCUUACAAGUGGAACAAGAAGAAGAUCUAGAAAAAGAAGGAGAACACUCCUAAACCCGUUCAAACCACACAGUUCAAGAAACAAAACAACAACAACAGGAAGAAAGGUGGCUGCUUUGUGUGUGGCAGUGAGGAUCAUUGGGCAAGUGAGUGCCCUGAUCCUAAGUUCAAACAGGAGAAGAAAGUUGUAAACAUGGUUACUACUGAAACUGGAGAUGGAACAUCUGGGUAUGGUAAUUCUUUACCUUUUGUUCUUUCAGUUUGUAAUUCACCUGAGUGGUGGAUGGACAGUGAUGCAAAUAUCCAUGUAUGUGCUGAUGUCUCUUUGUUUGCCACUUAUUAGGUCGGGAGGUCUGGCGCCUUGUUGAUGGGAAAUGGGUCGCGUGCUCAUGUUCUUGGUGUUGGUAUGGUCAUUCUGAAGUUUACUUUGGGAAAGACGGUGCCAUUGAAGAACGUACAACAUGUUCCCUCCAUCAAGAAAAAUCUUGUUAGUGCAUCUAUGCUAUGCCGAGAUGGCUAUAGAGUUGUUCUUGAAUCAAAUAAAUGUGUUGUGUCGAGAUAUGGUUCGUUUGUGGGUAAAGGAUAUGAUUGCGGAGGUUUGUUCCGCUUAUCGUUGCAUGAUGUUUGUAAUAAACUUGUGAAUUCUGUUGAUAUUUCUGAUGAGUCGGAUUUAUGGCAUUCACGGUUUUGUCAUGCAAGUUAUGGCUGUCUUAUGCGCUUAGCAAAUCUAAAUUUAAUUCCUAAAUUUAACUUGGUCAAAAAGUCUAAGUGCCAUGUAUGUGUUGAAUCAAAACAACCCCGCAAGCCUCACAAGGCUGCUGAGGCGAGGAGUUUGGCACCUCUUGAACUUGUUCAUUCUGAUCUGUGCGAAAUGAAUGGUAUUAUGACUAAAGGCGGUAAAAGAUACUUUAUCACAUUUAUAGAUGACUCUACUAGAUUUUGCUAUGUGUAUCUCUUAAAAACAAAGGAUGAAGCGCUCCAUUAUUUUAAGACCUAUAAAGCUGAAGUUGAAAAUCAACUAGAGAGGAAAAUAAAACAUUUAAGGUCUGAUAGAGGUGGAGAAUAUUUCUCAAAUGAUUUCGAUGAAUUUUGUGUGGAACAUGGUAUUAUUCAUGAGAGGACAUUGCCAUUCUCACCACAAUCCAAUGGGAUUGCUGAAAGGAAAAACCGCACUUUAACAGAGUUGGUGAAUGCCAUGUUAAAUACAGCGGGAUUAUCCAAGGAAUGGUUGGGUGAGGCAAUUUUGACCGCGUGUCAUGUCCUAAACAGAGUUCCUACUAAAAACAAAAAGAUCACACCAUUCGAGGAAUGGGAAAAGAAGAGAAUAAAUCUUUCAUAUUUACGCACUUGGGGUUGUUUGGCAAAGGUGAAUGUGCCAAUCAACAAGAAGCGUAAAUUAGGACCUAAAACUGUUGAUUGUAUUUUCCUUGGUUAUGCUUUCCACAGCGUUGGAUAUAGGUUCUUAAUUAUAAAAUCUGAUGUGCCUGAUAUGUAUGUUGAUACUAUCAUGGAAUCGAGAGACGCUACAUUUUUUGAGAAUGAGUUUCCCAUGAAAAAUACACCUAGUAAAAUAAGUCAUGAGACUAUAUACCCCAUGAGCAAGAAAUGUCUAUUCCUAUAGAUCAUGCUGAGGAGACUCACAUGCACAUCCAUGAGGAGGAUGACACUAUAGUCACUCGAAAGAGCAAGAGACAGAGGAUUGCAAAAUCCUUUGGUGAUGACUUUAUAGUGUACCUUGUGGAAGACACACCAACUACUAUUGUUGAGGCAUAUUCCUCUCCUGAUACCGACUUAUGGAAGGAGGUAGUAAGGAGUGAGAUGGAAUCUAUUAUGUCCAACAAAACAUGGGAGGUUGUUGACCGACCCUAUGGCUGUCAAUCUAUAGGCUGCAAAUGGAUCUUUAAGAAAAAGCUUAGGCCUGAUGGUACAAUUGAGAGGUACAAGGCAAGGCUGGUGGCCAAAGGAUAUACCCAGAAAGAGGGGGAAGAUUUCUUUGACACCUAUUUACCGGUCGCUCGAUUGACUACAAUUCGCACUUUGAUUGUCGUGGCAGCUUCAUACGGUCUUAUCAUUCAUCAGAUGGAUGUUAAGACGACUUUCCUUAAUGGAGAGUUAGAUGAGGAGAUCUAUAUGGAUCAGCCAGAAGGGUUCAUUGCAGAUGGUCAAGAAAGUAAGGUGUGUAGGCUGUUAAAGUCAUUAUAUGGCCUAAAGCAAGCAUCUAAGCAAUGACAUGAAAAGUUUGAUAGUACACUUAUAGCUGUUGGCUUUGUUGUGAAUGAAGCUGACACUUGUGUGAAUUAUCGAUAUGGUGGGGGUGAGGCUGUUAUGCUAUGCCUUUAUGUUGAUGACAUUUUGAUCUUUGGAUCUAAUCUCAAUGUGAUUGAGGAAGUAAAGAAACUUCUAUCGAGUAAUUUUGAUAUGAAAGAUUUGGGAGAAGCUGAUGUAAUUCUCAACAUCAAGCUUAUAAAGGAAGGUGAUGGUGGGGUAACUUUGUUAUAGUCCCACUAUGUGGAAAAUGUUCUAAGUCGCUUUGGGUUUAGUGACUGUGAUCCUGCACCUACUCCUUAUGACCCUAGUGUGCUAUUAAAGAAAAAUAAGAGAAUAGCAAGGGAUUAAUUGACAUACUCCCAGAUCAUUGGUUCACUAAUGUACCUUGCGAGUGCAACAAGGCCUGACAUCUCUUAUUGAAAGGAUCUAAUUGGCCUAGAGGGGGGUGAAUAGGCGUAUCUUAAAAACCUGAAACUCAAAAGCUCAAGUUGCGGAAGUUAAAUGCUUGCCGGUACUACCGACAGUUUGGGCCGGUACUACCGGUGUAAGACAUCCAGUACUACCGACACAACUGUUGGUACUACCGACACCCUAUGAGAUCUACGAAAUCAGAGUAGAUUGAGUUUUGAUUUCAGAUCUAAGAGUUACCCCACUCUCCAAGAUGUAGUAGAGGAUGAUGUUGAAGUUCCCUUGGCUCGGUUCUUCUCCAAAACAUAGAUCGGCCCUUGUUCACCUAUGAAAGGGAGUAGAGAGGAAGAACACGAAGAACACAAGAACAAGGGUAGUCGAUGCUACCACCACAGCAAGACAAGAUAUUUUUCCCGAGGUUCGGCAAUCCCCACGAUGGAGUUCCUACGUCUCCAUUGUUGAGGUGACCACGAAGGUCCGACCACUUAGGUCUCCUCCCUCAAGCAACCACACAGGUUAGCUCAAGAUUUCCACUAAGAAUCAAAGGGUUAUACAAACACUUCGGGGUGCCCUCACAAAUGAAUCAACACGGGCAACCACGAAGAACGCCUAGCCGGCUAGGGUUCCAAGAACCCAAGAGUAACAAAUGCAAACCAAACCAGCAAGACGAAGAAACCAAGUGCUCAAGUCACAAAUCGAAGCUCCCAACUCUCUAAUCUCACUUCUCUAGCUCGAAUCUCUCAAGGAGUGAAGUCUAGGAGCAAAGAGGGAGAGAGAGUGGGUGAGUCAAAGCUUGGAGACUAUUUUCUCAGAUCUAGAGUUGAAGGAAUGGGAGAGCUAACGGUCAGAAAUGAGGGAAGAGAUAUUAAUGCACAGGCCCAGAACAACUGCCGGUACUACCGGGGCAACCACCGGUACCACCGAUUACCUCAGAUCUAACGGUAAGAAGUCUCUAGGAUUUGCGAGAAAUAAGCCUACCGGUACCACCGGGCUUUUGUCGGUACUACCAACCAUUGCCGGUACCACCGGUGGAAGGCCGGUACCACCGGAAGUUCAAAUCUCUGCAACCAAAGUCAGCGCAGAUUUAGCCUGCCGGUACUACCGGCGUUUCACACCGGUACUACUGGUGCUGGCCGGUACCACCGACCCGAGCCCGGUACUACCGGUAGUUCAUUUUCUCGCAAAACUUAGGAGAAGGGCUGGCACUGCCGGUACCACCGGCCCUGAGGGUCGGUACUACCGGCUCACCCUAGCAAAGAAGAAAAAUUCCUAGUGGUUCGUGCGUGCAAGUGUGUCUCUCAAGCGCAAGAGCUAAGUUGACCUGAGCACUCUUAUCCUCAUCUUACCAACUCAAUUUGCAUCCCUCUUGAUAGUGCGGCAUUUCCUAUAACUCAAGCAAAGAAUAAAAACUUUGUAGCCACUUGAGUCGAAACACCGUUCAUCCAUUGGAAAUUUAGGGGUGCUAUAAUUCACCGAAUGUUUUCGUUCAAUUCCAUCAAUGGACUAACACGUGUAGAUUAUGCUUGAUAAACAUGUUAGUCCCUAAUUUGAUUGUCAUCAAUUAUCAAAACCCACAUCGGGGGCGAAUGCACUUACAAACUCUCCCUUUUUAGUAAUUGAUGAUAACCAACUUAGGCUUAUAAAGAUUGAAAGAAUAGAAGCUUUUGAAUUCCAAAAUUCAAGUUGAGCUCCCCCUCAAUGUAUGCAUUGGAUUCAAAAUUUCAAAUCUUGAUUAGAAUCAAGAUGGCAUACAUUAAGAACAAGCUCCCCCUAAAUUUUGCAAUCCGUGGGGUGCCUAAGUGUGUGUGAGAUAAUAAAGUGUGAUGCAUAUGACAAUAUAUAUCACAAAGAAUAAAAAGAAAGAACUUGAAUGGUUAUGCAAGAAAGAAAAGGACUUACAACUUAUCAUAACCAUUCAUAAACAACAUUGCAUCAGCACAAACCCAAAUUAGCUAACACAAGCAGGAUAUAAUAAUGAAGCAAAGGUGUUUAGCUUACAAUCAACCAUCACACACACAAAGUUUAAGUUUACCACAUGGUUCACAACACAAAAUAAUCCUAAUACCAAGCCUAAUACCACAUGAGAUAAGCCUAACACUCCCCCUUUGGCAUCAAAUGCCAAAAAGGGUAGGCUUCAUGAAGCUCCAAGGGGCAAAGGCAGUAGGUGAAACUACUCAACAUUAUCAUCAUCAUCAUCAUCAUCAAAGGCACCGGUUCACUGAAAACCCUGCUGCUGCUCAAACUCAGUGUCACACUACACCUCAUCAUCCUAUGCUGCACCAUUACCACUAGCAUCUGUUGCUAGCCCUUUUCCUUUUGCUUGGACUUAGCAUAUAUACAUCUGACAUUCUAGUCCAGGUGCUUGCUGUCUUGCUAGAAUGCAAAGCCAGUGACUUGCUCAAUGAUAUACAUGAGAUACGGAGCAUAGGGGAAGGACUAGUUGGAGGUCUAGGAACCCUCCUCAAUGUAAUGCCACAAGAGAUCUGUCACACUGAACCUCUUCUUAAGCCCAAAGCAAAUAGAGAUGGUUGGAGCAUGAUUCUGAACUGAAGUAGCAUCACCAACCUUUGGGUCAAUAGUAGCACGGAGCAAAUUGUUGAGCACAUAGAAAUAGGGCUUUAGACCUUCUGUCUUACCAUUUGCCUUUGUCGGAUCAACAUUGGGCUGCUUCAAUGAAAUCAGCCUUGCCCACACCAUUUGGAUAAUGACCAUAUAAGCUAGGAGCAUCACAAUCAUGGUGAUAAAACCCAAGAAGGUGGGAGAACUGGUGGUAAUCAUAGUGGUAGUGAAGGCCCUCAGUCAUCUAGUGAAGUAUCUUGUGCUCUACAUCAAUGUAAACUGUGUCCCAAAACUAACAAAUAACCUCUGUGUUCAUAAGUUGCAGUUGGUCAAAAACAAGCGAGCAGAAAUUCUAAAGGAGGUGAACCACAUAGUAUACUCAAACCAACUCAAAUUUGUCCAGAUUUCAUGAAGCCAUUACAUAACUAUGGACACAUUUGAGCUGUGAAAAAUAGAUUUUGAAAAGUUCACACAAUUUUUCACAAGAGUUUUUGCCUAUUCGAAUACACACAUGCACACACUAAGCAUAAUAUAAGCCCUAGAUGCACAAAGGUAAAGCAAAGAUCUAAUCAUGGAAUGAUAUACCUUUUGAUCAAUGGCCUUGUCGUCUUCAUCAAGAUCAAGAUGUCCGGUUGUUGGCAUUGGUGUCUUUAUGGGUUUGGCCUUGUCAAUGUCAAACUUUUUUAGCAUGUCGGUGGUGUACUUGGUUUGACUUAUGAACGUGCCGUCUUUGAGUUGCUUGAUUUGAAAUCCAAGAAAGUAUGUCAACUCCCCCAUCAUGGACAUCUCGAAUCUCUUGGUCAUGAUCCUACUAAAUUGCUCACUGAAAUCCGCAUUAGUACUACCAAAUAUAAUGUCAUCGACAUAUAUUUGGCAUAUAAAAAUAUCAUUAUUGACUUUGCGAGUAAAUAAAGUGGGAUCGGUUUUUCCAAUCUCAAACCCUUGUUUCAGUAGAAAAUCCUUGAGACAAUCAUACCAAGUUCUAGGGGCUUGCUUAAGCCCAUAGAGUGCCUUGUCAAGCUUGUAGACAUGAUCGGGAUGAUGUGGAUCUUCAAAACCCGGCGGUUGCUCCACAUACACGGUUUCGGAGAGGGGGGCAUCGAGGAAUGCACUUUUCAUGUCCAUUUGAAAUAACUUGAAAUCAUGGUGAGCAGCAAAGGCAAGUAAUAUAUGAAUAGAUUCAAGCCUAGCUACAGGUGCAUAGGUCUCCCCAAAAUCCAAACCUUUGAUUUGAGUGAAACCUUUGGCUACCAACCGUGCCUUGUUCCUUGUGACCAUGCCAUACUCAUCUACUUUGUUGCGGAAGACCCAUUUGGUACCUAACACAUUUUGCUUGGGUCUUUCCACCAAGGACUAGACUUUAUUCUUGGUGAAGUUGUUUAGCUCCUCUUGCAUGGCAAUCACCCCAUCUGGGUCCUUCAAAGCAUUCUUCACCCUGUUUGACAACAUCGAGGAGACAAAAGAGUAAUAUUCACAAAAACCAACUAAACGAGAGUGUGUUGUUACCCCUCGUUGUGUGUCUCCCAAAAUUCUAUCAAUGGGAAGAUCUCGUUGAAUGGAUUGAUGAACUCUUGGGUGAGGUACUGUUGUUCUUGUUUGAAUUGGACAGUCAUCUUCAUCUUCAUUAUCUUGGUUGAUUGGAGAAUCAAGAUCUUGAUUGUCUCGAUCACCACCUUGGUUGGGUCUUGAGCUUGUGGUGGAUCUUGACUAGCUUGUUCCCUUGAGUCAUGACCCCUUCUUGAGGUGGAAGCAUCAUCAUGGGCAUUGGUUGACCCAUGAUGCAAGUUUGGAUCAUGAGGAAUUUGCAUAUGUGCAUCAUCAUCUUCUUCAACGGGUUUCACUUCACCGGUAGCAAGCCUUUUUCAUCACUUGAUGAGAUGGUUCUUCUUCACCUAAAAUUUUAGCAUUGACUUCCUCCUUUUGAGAGCCGUCGCUUUCAUCAAAAGUCAUGUCUACCACUAUUUCAAUUUGACCGGUGGUCUCAUUGAAGACACGGUAGCCAUGUUCGUUAGUACCAUAACCAAGUAAGAAACCUUCAUCAACCUUUGGUGCAAACUUAGAGCUUUUGGAUUUAUUAUUAAGUAUGAAACACUUGCAUCCAAAAACUCUAAAGUAGUCCACCUUAGGCUUUUUACCGGUUAGAAGCUCGUAGGCUGUUUUCUUCCUCAACUUGUGGAGGUACAAGCGGUUGAUAGUUUGACAUGCCGUGUUGACGGCUUCCGCCCAAUAGUCUUCUUGUGAAAUCUAGUAUUCAUCCAACGUUGCUAUUAUGGCUUCAAUGAGUGUCAUGUUCUUCCUCUCCACAACACCAUUUUGUUGUGAAGUGUAUGGAACCGAGAAUUCAUGCUUGAUGCCUUCUUUAUCAAGGAAAGCUUCAAUGUUGGUGUUUCUAAACUCUCUCCUGUUGUCACUUCUCACUUUCUUGAUCUUCACUUCAAACUUACUUUGAGCUCUUCUUGCAAACUUCUUGAACAUCCCUUGGGUUUCACCUUUAUCUCUCAAAAAGAACACCCAAGUGAAGCGAGAAAAAUCAUCAACAAUUACAAAACCAUAUUUGUUACCUCCAAUACUUAUAUAAGCAUUGGGUCCGAAUAAGUCCAUGUGAAGUAACUCAAGUGGUAUUUGAUGUAGUCAUGAUGUUCUUAGUGGGAUGCUUGUCUCCAACUUGCUUUCUCGCUUGACAUGCACUGCAAAUUCUAUCUUUCUCAAAAGAAACAUUUGUUAGUCCUAGGAUGUAUCCACCUCUUUGAAGAUCGGCCAAGUUCCUCAUCCCAACAUGAGCUAGAUAUCGAUGCGAUAACCAGCCCAUGCUAGAUUUUGCCACUAAACAAGUCUUGGACCCCACUCUACUAGAUGAGAAAUCAACUAGAAAGAGCUUGCCCUUAAGUUGACCCGUAAAAGCAAUAGAGGAAUCCAAACUUCUAGAGACUUCCACACCCUUAUCCGUAAAGAGACAAUUGUAACCCUUCUCACAAAGUUGUGAGAUGGACAACAAAUUGUAUCCCAAUGAAUUCACAAGUAAUACAUUUGAAAUUGAAUUAUCAUUUGAGAUAGCAAUUUUACCCAAACCAAGGAUAUCUCCUUUACUAUUGUCACCAAAGACAAUCCUUUCACCUGCAACUUGAUUUGAUUGAAAGGAGGUGAACAUGUUCUUCUCUCCGGUCAUAUGAUUGGUGCAUCCAUUAUCAAGCACCCAUUUUGGUCCACCGGAGGAGUAUUCCUACAACACAAGAUUAAGCUUUUGUUUUAGGUCCCGAGAUGGGACCUAGGGGGUUAGAAAUAUAAGACUUGGGCACCCAAACACUCCUUAAGAUUUGUCUCUUCUUAAGGGCAUCCACAUACUUCACAACAAUCUUGCCAUCCUUGUCCCAACAACACAUGUAAUGACAAAUGUGAUUGCGUGAAAUAGGCACUUGUUGCUUGGACACCUCCACUUGCUUCUUCUUCAUGUUCUUGUUGUUUGCAAGUGGACUUGUAGGAGUAGCAACAUUGUUCACCUUAUCAAUAAGGUCAACAAGAGGCACACUCUUGUUGAACUUCACACAAGCCACCCCAUUUAUCAUGUUUCUUCCAUUGGCCUUAACAUUGUACCUAUUGUAACCGAGGCCAUCCUUGAUUAUGGGGAGCCUUGAUGCCUUGAACACAUUUGCCGGUUGCUUGUCCUUGCACUUGCAACCAAUCUUGACAAUUGUGUUUAAUCUUUGGAUCUCCUUGUCCUUCUUUGCUAGCUCAACAAGGUUAGUAACACAUGUGUUUAUAUCAACAUUUGAGCAUCUUUCACAACUUUUACUUGUUGAAGCUUUGGAAUCCUUGGAAAUGGUAGAAGUGCUAGUCCAAAGCUUGUCAUAGUUUAGUUCAAGCUCAUGAUAUUUAGUUGUCAAGCUUGUAAGGCUUUCUUGAGCCAAACUAUGAUCAUUCUUUAGGCUAGCCAAAGAGUCAUUGAGUGAAGAAUGUCUCUUAGAUAAAUGCUCAUUAGCAUCUUUGGCUAAAGACAAUUCUACACUCAACUUAUCAGCCCUCUCCUUUUCCUUGGAGAGACAUGCUUCAAGUCCUUGGUUCUUCUCCCUUUCCUCUAGGAGCAAUUCCCCUUGCGACUCAAUGCAUGACUCAAGCUUAUCUUUAGCAUAUAUUAGCUUUAGGAUUUUGGUUGCAGCAGCUUUACCAUAUUUCUUAAUGAGAUUUGAUGCAUAGUUUUCAUCAUCUUCAUCAUCACUAUCAUAUUUACUAGUGGUGUGAGUGGGAGAGUCAAAUUUUACCUUAUCUCCUCUUGCCAUAAGGCAUGUAGGAGUGUCAUGGUCGUCGUCGGAGAGGUUGGCAAAGAGUCUAGGUGAUGAAGAAGUGCGGGUGAAGAGAGAGGUCGAUGACGCAUUGUUGGUGAAGAUGUUUGUUGAGGAAGAUGCCUCUUGUAUGGCGGGGGCAACCAUACUCUUCUUCUUAUUGUCAUUGUCAUCAUCACUGUCACUGUCAGAUUGCCAUUCUUGACCUAGAUGUGCUUCACCUCUCUUCUUAUCCUUGUACUUCUUGUCACCUUGUUUGUUGUAUCUUGACCUCUCCUCUUUGUUAGGACAAUCGGCCGCAAGAUGGCCGGUGUCACCACACUCAUAGCAAAACCUCUUCUUGUAUGGCUUGUUUCCUCCAUAUCUCCUUAUAUUAUCUUUCUUCAUUCUCAAGUAAUUCUUGUAGUUUCCCACUAGCAUAGCUUGCUCUUUAUCAAGAUCAUCGUCAUCAUUAUGCUUAUGCUCACAACACCCUUUGUUGCAGUGACUUGACUCACUUCCAUGUGAUGCCGUGAGUGCAAUGCUCUUUCUUUGAUUGAUUGUCUCCUUAGCUUCAUCAUCCAAGACUUCAUGAUGCAUCAAUUUUGCAAGCAUCUCUUGAGGUGUGAUCGUGUGGUAAUUUUCUUUCUCCAUAAUGACGGAGGCAAGCAUAUUGUUCUUUUGUCUAUACACCCUACAUAUCUUUCUUGCUGCAGAGUUGUCAUCCCAUGUUGUUGCUCCAAGUGCUCUAAUUUGGUUGAUCAAGGACAUGAAUCUAUCGAACAUGGCCUUUGUUGUUUCUCCCUCAAUCAUGCAAAAAUUCUCAAUCUUACUUUGUAAGAGUUCAAUGUUUCCAACUCUUACACUUUUAUCUCCUUCAAAUGACACCUUCAAAGUGUCCCAGAUUUGCUUUGCAUUCACCAUACCAUUUACUUUGUUGUUGUCCUCCGGAGUGAGGCAUUGCAAGAUCAAGGUGGCUGCCAUUGCAUUUAGGUGAAAGUCUCUCUCAUCUUCAAGUGUCCACUCAUUUGGAUCUUGUGGCGGAUUUACUCCAAUGUCCACCACUUCCCAACAUCUUCCGGCUAUGAGAUGUAGCUUCAUUCUAUGAGCCCAAUCGGUGUACCUUACACCAUCAAAUGGAGGUGGUUUUCUAGGGUUGAUCAUUGACAAGGUUGGAUUCUUGCUUGAACCACCACAGUCAAAGAUAGCUUUGUUGUAGUUCUUUGAUGUUUUGCUACUAUCUUCAUUUUCAUCUUUGCUACCCGAUUCAUGAUUCUUUUUGCCUAGGAGCUCUCUCAUCUUGUCAAGCUCUGCUUGCAUCUCCUACAUUUGCUCUUGUUGCUGCAGCUGCAAGGAUGUAGUGAUCUGUGCUGUGAUUUGAUCAACAAUUUGCUUUUAUGCUACUGGAUCCAUCUUGGCCAAUGUUGCUCCUCACGCGGUGAAGCGUUUGUACGAGGAACCUUGCUCUGAUACUAAUUGAAAGGAUCUAAUUGGCCUAGAGGGAGGGUGAAUAGGCGUAUCUUAAAAACCUGAAACUCAAAAGCUCAAGUUGCAGAAGUUAAAUGCCUGCCGGUACUACCGACAGAUUGGGCCGGUACUACCGGUGUAAGACAACUAGUACUACCGACGCAACUGUUGGUACUACCGACGCCCUAUGAGAGCUAUGAAAUCAGAGUAGAUUGAGUUUUGAUUUCAGAUCUAAGAGUUACCCCACUCUCCAAGAUGUAGUAGAGGAUGAUGUUGAAGUUCCCUUGGCUCGGUUCUUCUCCAAAACGUAGAUCGGCCCUUGUUCACCUAUGAAAGGGAGUAGAGAGGAAGAACACGAAGAACACAAGAACAGGGGUAGUCGAUGCUACCACCACAGCAAGACAAGAUAUUUUUCCCGAGGUUCGGCAAUCCCCACGAAGGAGUUCCUACGUCCCCGUUGUUGAGGUGACCACGAAGGUGCGACCACAUAGGUCUCCUCCCUCAAGCAACCACACAGGUUAGCUCAAGAUUUCCACUAAGAAUCAAAGGGUUAUACAAACACUUCGGGGUGCCCUCACAAAUGAAUCAACACGGGCAACCACGAAGAAUGCCUAGCCGGCUAGGGUUCGAAGAACCCAAGAGUAACAAAUGCAAACCAAACUGGCAACACGAAGAAACCAAGUGCUCAAGUCACAAAUCGAAGCUCCCAACUCUCUAAUCUCACUUCUCUAGCUCGAAUCUCUCAAGGAGUGAAGUCUAGGAGCAAAGAGGGAGAGAGAGUGGGUGAGUCAAAGCUUGGAAACUAUUUUCUCAGAUCUAUAGUUGAAGGAAUGGGAGAGCUAAUGGUCAGAAAUGCGGGAAGAGCUAUUUAUACACAGGCCCUAAACAACUGUCGGUACUACUGGGGCAACCACCGGUACCACCGGCUACCUCAGAUCUAACGGUAAGAAGUCUCUAGGAUUUGCGAGAAAUAAGCCUACCAGUACCACCGGGCUUUUGUCGGUACUACCGACCAUUGCCGGUACCACCGGUGGAAGGCCGGUACCACCGGCAGUUCAAAUCUCUGCAACCAAAGUCAGCGCAGAUUUGGCCUGCCGGUACUACCGGCGUUUCACACCGGUACUACUGGUGCUGGCCGGUACCACCGGCCCGAGCCCGGUACUACCGGUAGUUCAUUUUCUCGCAAAACUCAGGAGAAGGGCUGGCACUGCCGGUACCACCGACCCUGAGGGUCGGUACUACCGGCUCACCCUGGCAAAGAAGAAAAAUUCCUAGUGGUUCGUGCGUGCAAGUGUGUCUCUCAAGCGCAAGAGCUAAGUUGACCUGAGCACUCUUAUCCUCAUCUUACCAACUCAAUUUGCAUCCCUCUUGAUAGUGCGACAUUUCCUAUAACUCAAGCAAAGAAUAAAACUUUGUAGCCACUUGAGUCGAAACAUCGUUCAUCCAUUGGAAAUUUAGGGGUGCUAUAAUUCACUGAAUGUUUUCGUUCAAUUCCAUCAAUGGACUAACACCUGUAGAUUAUGCUCGAUAAACAUGUUAGUCCCUAAUUUGAUUGUCAUCAAUUAUCAAAACCCACAUCGGGGGCGAAUGCACUUACACUUAUGCAGUGAGCAAGCUAAGUCGGUUUGUAUCAAACCCGGGGGUUGAUCAUUGGCGUGCUCUUGAGAGAGUAUUGCGUUAUCUUAAAGGUACUAUGACCUGCGGUAUUCGUUAUACCGGACAACCCAGAGUGCUAGAAGGCUAUUGUGAUGCCAACUGGAUCUCUGAUGCUGAUGAGCUUUAUGCCACGAGCGGAUAUGUGUUCCUGCUUGGAGGUGGCGCUGUUUCCUGGAAGUCUUGCAAGCAGACUAUCUUAACGAAGUCAACAAUGGAAGCAAAACUCACUGCAUUGGACACUGCUGGGUCUGAGGCUGAGUGGCUACGUGAUUUCCUUUUGGAUUUACCGGUAGUUGAAAAACCGAUACCGGCUAUCUCCUUGAACUGUGAUAACCAGACUGUGAUUACAAAGGUUAAUAGUUCAAGGAAUAACAUGAAGUCCACAAGGCAUGUUAAGAGAAGAUUAAAAUCUAUCAGAAAAUUGAAAACCUCCGAAGUUAUAACGGUGGACUAUGUCUAUACGUCGAAUAAUCUGGCAGAUCAAUUCACCAAGGGUCUAUCACGCAAUGUGAUAGAAGGUGCAUCGAGAGAGAUGGGUAUGAGACCCACGUGAAAUCUACUGUAGUGGUAACCUGCUCUAUGUGAUCGGAGAUCCCGUGAAGUAGAGUGGUGAAACAAGCUAUGAGUAGAUUGAGAGGAAAGAUCCCUUUCUUGACUCAUCUCUGAUGCUCAUCUUUCCUAUCUGUAAGGCAGGUUGGUUUUUAACUUAUUAUUUCCAAAGGUGAGAUGUUGUCCUACAGAACAUCUAUGGAGGAGUACACCUAUAUGAGUUAGACUGCUAGUCACGGUCUAUGGGGCUUGGGUAAUCCCUAAAUACUCAUGAAAGGCACAGAAGUGUGACUUAUAUGCUUCAAACAGCGGGGAUGCCUUAUGCAGCCUAGUAUCAGCAAAGGACUUGAGUGAAUCUCAUCUCGCACAAAACUGUCAAUUCAAGGCUUAGUCCAUUGUUCAGUUGUGACUAGGUGAAACUCUUGUUCUAGGUGGAUGUUCAACUUAACAGUCUCCAUCGAAACACUGGUAUAUCAAAGAAUUGUGAUUCUGGAACAACAUAGUUACAAACCCUAGAGUUUGGUGGGGAUUGUUGGAUUUAUUAUGGGUUAGACCCGUUUAUAUAUUCAAUAAUUCAAUAAACUCUAUGGUAUGUAAACCGUUUUAUACGGUACGAGUUUUUGGCUGAACGAUAUAUUGAGGUAUGUGUCACGCACUAUGGUCGUGAUGUGACGAAUGGAGGGACUUUUUAUUUUGUUAAUCAUGGUGAUUGAAUAUGGGAGUUACUUCUCAUGGUGAUUGAAUAUGGGAGUUACUUCCAUUAUUCUAAUUGAUUAAAAGAAUUGUCAUUAUCUCCACUAAGGGAGUGGCGUGAGCAUCAUGGGCUCUUGGCUUUCUUGCAUGCGUGUGAGGCUUUUGGCCUCCAAGCCAUGAGGCUCCUUGCCUUUUGGCUUGCCCACCUCUUGCCUAUAUAUAGCACAUACUACUACGUCAGUCAAGGGUGAAGAACACAAUCCAGAGACACAAUUCCGCAGCAACGUAGGCUUCUCCAUCUCCUCGAUCCGCGCGCACGGAGAAGGGAGAGGGCAGGUGCCUUCGAAGCCCUUGUCGUUCGUGAUCCUUGCACGGGGAGGACGGCAAUUAGGUUUUUGGGAAGCGUCUACGCGACUACCCAAUCCACCGCCGCUGUUGAAAGCCCUAGUUUGGUUUUGGAUAAUUGAUGAAACCCUAGUACUAACCUCUAUACUAAGUGUGUGUAGACUUAAUAAGGUUGGUACAUGCCAUGUGAUGGAGCAAGAGAUGAUCAUGGUGAUGAUGGUGAUGACCACAAGAUGAUCAAGUGCUCAACUUUGAAAAGAAGAAAGAGAAAAACAAAAACCCUAUGGAGAUCAAGGCAAAGGUAUUGCUUAGGGUUUUGGUUUUGGUGAUCAAGACACCAUAGAGGGUGUGAUCACAUUUAGGAUAGAUAGCCGUACUAUAAAGAGGGGAAUUCUUUGGCUAAGCGGUUAUCAAGUGCCACUAGGUGUCAUUGUUCAUGUGCAUGCAUUUAGAACCUAGUGAGCUAACUUAACUCCUUCGAAGAAAAUGUUUGUGAAAAAGCUAACACACGUGCACUUGUUGGUUUAAACGUUGUGGUGUUGGCACACUUUGAGAAGGAGGUGGAGUUUGAAAGGUAGAGAGAGGAUUCGGCGCUUUUCGAGAAAAUUAAGUGCAUAUUUUCUAUUGCGCUGGUGGGAAAUUUGGAGAAGUCACGGGAGUGUUUCUCGCUGAGGAACACUCACCGGACGCUGACUCAGAGGCACCGGACGCUGUGUCUGAGCGUCCGGUGUGCAGGCAGUGCCUAGCCCAGCUAGGGUAAGGCACCGGACGAUAGGCACCGGACGCUGGCUUGAGCGUCCGGUGGUUAGCGUCCGGUGCGUGGGCGUUUUGCGACCCUCUCUGCGCAUCGGUCCGGUGAGCACCGGACGCUGAGGGUGCGUCCGGUGGCUUGCGUCCGGUGACCCUACGAGUUUGCGGAACUCUCUGCGCAUGAGUCCGGUGUGCACCGGACGCGUCCGGUGCCAACCUGCUCAGCGUCCGGUGCUCUGCAGGUUACCGUUAGACUCUGACACGCGGCUGACUUUGGAGCACCGGAUGCAGGUGUUGAGCGUCCGGUGGCCCUUUAAGAGCGUCCGGUGACCCCGUAUUUCGCCCAGUGAAAGAGCCAACAGCUCUAUUUGUUUGAGGGGCUAUAAAUACGUGUUUGGCUGGCUUGGGGCUUACACUCUUGGCAUUCUAGCAUACUUGACUUCCUUGUGAGCCUAAGCAAACACCUCCCACUCAUCUCCUUCAUAGAUUAUACAUCUUUGUGAGAUUAGGAGUGAUUCCAAGUGCAUUUGCUUGAGUGAUUGCAUCUAGUGGCACUUGGGGAUCGUUCUAGCUGCGGUUUUCUUGUUACUCUUGGUGGUUGCCGCCACCUAGACGGCUUGGAGCAGCGGAGGAGGAUUGGCACGAGUUGGUGACUGUUCGUAGCCAUCUCCCGGAGAUUGUGAGGGGUCUUGUACCUUCCCCGGCGGAGAGCCGAAAGGUAACUCUAGUGGAUUGCUCGUGUCAUUGAGCUACCUCACUUGUGGGUAGGUUCUUGUGGUGUCCUAGCGAGGACGAGGUUCGUGCUACACCUCUUAGCCACCGAACCACCAAGUGUUGGUCGACACAACGGGGACGUAGCGUGCCGGCAAGCAUGUGAACCUCGGGAGAAAAAUCGGUGUUUCAAUUGUGUUUGAUUGACAUUCUCCCGGUGCUUGAUUGUUUAUAUUGGUGAUUGGUUCAUCCCCUACUCGAUGGUAUAAUUAUCUCAUCCACUCUUUUACAUUCCCGCAAACUAGAGUAGCGUACUUACUUGUGUAGAAACUUUAGGUAGCUUUCUAGUAUAAGUAGUGACAUAGCUCUUGCAUGUCUAGUGAUUAUAUCAACUAGAAUUGUUGGAUAGGUGGCUUGCAAACACCCCAUUAGAGCUAGAGCAAAAAGCUUUGCUUUGUUAUUUACUAACCUCUUGCUCUAGUGAGUUUGUAGAAUUUUUAAAUAGGCUAUUCACCCCCCCUCUAGCCAUAUUAGGACCUUUCAGCUGUUCGUCUUCCUCAAGCUGGUUCGGGCGGAUUUCUUCUUUCCGGUGGAAAGAUCGUCUUCAUCCUCUACAUCAUGGAAGAUAUAUUAUGCUUUUAUAUUUUUAAUAAUCACAUGUUCUACAUGUUCAUGGAUCACAUGUUCUAUAUUCCUAUGAACAUGUUUAAUAUCAUGAUUUCUAUGAUUAAUUAUAUUAUAUAUGUCAUCAUCAUAAUGUUGAUUUAUGGAAUUAAAAUGAUAUGGAAAUUGCCUAAAUAUCUAACAUACAUCGCUGGAUAAGUCAAUUUUCCUACAGUUUGUCUUUUAUAGAACUCGUAGUAAAGAUUUAUAACACUAAAUUAGUAUCAUUAGAUACAUUAUAAAAUAUAUGAUGCAUCCAAAAAUAUUAAGUGUCAUCAUGCAGGUUGACAUGAUUGUUUAUGUGAUUGUAGUAGCUAAUCAUUGAGUCUAGCUAGGAUCUAUAAUCCCUUUUUAGUAAAAUAAUAGACAACAAAAGAUUAAAGAAGCACUAGAAUUAAAAUUUAACACGUGGAUUAAAUAUUGAAUUAAUAAGAACAAAAAAUGUAAUAAGAGUUGAUAUAAGUUAAACUAUGUUUCUAACUAAUUACAUCUUAAAAUCUAUGAAGUUGCUAUGCAAAGGAUGAAAACAUAUAUAAGUAACUAGAAAAAGUUACUAGAAGGGUAGAGUUUAUAGAGUAUAUAAUAGUAAUUGGAAAAGUUAAUAUUGUCGGUGUUUUUCCCCCGGGGGGGGGGGGUCGCACCAACAAGUAAAUUUGUAUGCGUGCUCCCUUUCCCGGAUGGUGAUGCAAGAAGACACAGAGAUUUAUCCUGGUUCGGGCAAGAGAAGGCCCUACGUCCAGCGAGGGGGAGAGAGUUUGUAUUAUCUUGCACCUAAGCGCUCGUACAGGGGUGAAUACAAGCGUGGUAUGAAGUGGGGAGCUCUACGGCGUAUGAGCGUGAUCUUGUCCAUUCUAUUCCUGAGUCCCUCCUUUUAUAGUUCCAAGGAGAGACCCAGGGUACAUGUAUAGGCGUCAGAAUAGGAGUUGAUAGCAGCAUGGAGCGCUGACCUACUCGAGGCUUCCGUACCGGCGUGGCCUCGAGCCGUCCCGUCUUGGUAGCCUUGCGAUGAUUACGUGUGCCCUGUUAUCCUGCUCUGCGCCCCGUCUUGGAUUGGUUUACCGGAUGUACGCUCGUACGACCCGACGGCAAACCCGGCGGAGCGGUUGGGAUGUAGUCAGUCGACGCCCAAUUCGUCCCCUAGAAGGAUCCUUGUCUGGUCGAGGUUCGGAUGCCGUACAUUGUGCUGAUAUCUGGAGCGCUGACUUCGGAUGUCUCGAGGGGGUCCCGACUAGACGUUCCAUCCUCGUUUCCCACGUUCUGACACGUCCAGGGUCGUCUGGUGGGAAGGCUGCAAAAAGAACGAUGGGACAGAUGCUUGUUCCCUUAUCACGUCUCCCGUGACCCGUGUGUUAGGUGGGGAAGCGUCAGAUGCAUUAAAUGCCCUGGCUCUCGUGCGCGCGUCAGGCGGCGGACAGUGUCCUUGCGCUCGACGCCUCUUGAUUCGCUCGAGCCCGCUUCCGUAUUCGACGGAAGCUGGCGCUCGAGCCCAGAUCGAUUCGCUCGACGCUACUUCCGUCUUCGAGGCCGCGACCGUCGAUGGUUGCACGUAUGUAUGUACGGAUGGUGUCGUUACAUGUAUUGGUGAGGGUACCCCUUGUUGAUACCCUCGACAGUAGCCCCCGAGUCUCCAUUUGAGCGCUGGCGCUCGAGUGGAGACUUUUGUUUUUACAGUCGAGGUUCCGUGGGGGCGCGCGAGCGACCCCGCGGGGGUAGCCCCCGAGCCCUCGAGGGAGUAUUUAACUCCUUCGAGGGUUAUUUUGCCCAAUUUGCAGAGACGCUGUCGACGCCAGUGGUGGAAGGUUCUGAUCGGCUUUGCCUUGCGAGGAGGUUUCGACGUACUCUCGAUAGAGCGAGCGUCUUCCACUCCAGAUCGAGUUCCUAGCGGGUAGUCCAAGUGAGAACCUGUGCCCCUUUCGAGGGGGUCAGCUGUAGCCCGGAGGCGUUCUCAUAAAGCUGGGUCGACGUGGUCGGGGAUACCGGUCUCAUUCGAUAGAGUCCAGCGGCUCGAUGCCUCCCGUCAUGGGGAUUCCUCUCGACUGUCUCGACCCUGCCUUGGACAUCGCCAGCGAGUUUUCGAGGCAGGCCUCGAUUUUCGACCACUCGCUGGGGACCCCUGACUCUUGGUGCUCGAGAUCGGCUGUCGAACCCAUUCGACGGGCCAGCCAUCGACCUCUCGAGACUAUUGUGGGUACGCUCCUUGGCUUACAAGGGAAGGAAGUGGUCGUGACGGUUCGCCUUUCUGCCCGUUGGGCGCGUCUUUUUAGGCGGGUGUCGUUACGGCGUGGAAUUCGGAACGCCCGGCCUGUGAAAGGGGAAAGACUGUUAGGUGGCGUAUUAAAUGGGGGGACGUUACCUCAUUUCUCGGAUCUGUCCGUUGGCGAUUUUUGGCUUAUAAAUACUCCGCGGCACCGCCGUCGUUCUCUCUUCCGCCUCCCAUCUUUGCUCUUGCUCUAGCCUCCUUGCCGUCCUAGCUCUCUCGCCGUCUUUCGCGCACAGGCCUCCUCGUGCAGUAGCGGAUUCGCCGCCCUUCCGUCCGAGAUGCCUGUAAGACUCAUUGCCGCCGACGACUGGCGCCCGUCGUCGAUGACGGAGCGCCGGCUGCUAGAUCUUGAGAAAGAGGGAUUGCUGCGCCGCCGCACCUCACUAUCGUCGCCGGAGUGGAUCGCGCCGCCGGCGAGUCACAGGGAGCCCCAACCGCCUGCGGGUUACGUGGUGUCGUUUGCCAAGUUCCACCGCCACGGCCUGGGUGCUCCCCGAGUCGCUUCAUGCGGGCCCUCUGCUUCCACUACGGGGUGGAGCUCCAGCACUUCUCCCCGAACGCCAUCACCGUCGCGGUGGUCUUUGCCGCCGUGUGUGAGGGCUACUUGGGGAUGAUGCCGCACUGGGAGCUGUGGCUCCAUCUCUACAGGGGCGAGCUCUUCAACGCCCCCACUGGGACCACCGGCGUGAGGAAACCGGUGCGGGCGGGUUGCCUCAAUCUCGUGCUGAAGACGGGGAAGUCGGAGAGGCCGCGCGAGUACAUCCCGGUGGGACUGUCGACCAACCACGCCGGUUGGGACUCCCAAUGGUUCUACCUGAGGAACGACGACGACCUACUGCCCGCCUAUACCGGGCGCUUGAUCACGGAGCGACCGGAGAAUUGGACGUACGGCGUCGUCCAAGUUCACCAAUCUCGACUCGACCCCCUCCUCGACGUCAUGAAGAAGCUGUGUUCGGAGGGCUUGACCACCGCCCUCGUUCUCUCGGCCGUUCAUCAUCGGAGAGUUCUCCCUUUGAUGUCUCGGCCGUUGAGGAUGGACGAGAUGGGCCCCGGCGUUUCAUCUCGGGACCUCGAGGCGUGCCGGAUGUCAAACGAAGCUCCGGCGGAUGACGAAGUCGCAGCCCGAGUCAGGGCUGCAAUUGUCGGCGAUUUUCAGCCGGAGCAUGUUAACGGCUUCCCCAUGAGGCCAGACGCCGGCUCGAUAGAUCUGGUAUGUUUUCUUCUUGCGUGCAACCUCGAUUCCGGGUUCCUUUUCUUCCCCUCUCCCUUUCUUUUCUAAGUCUGCCUUUAUUUUGACAGGGACGGAUCGACGUCCGGUCCUCGAGGCCUCCGGUAAAGGAGGACGAGGCCCACCGUGAUAAACGGCGCCAAUCUGCCGAAAAGCUAAAGUCCGCCAAGGACUCUGCCAAGAAGGGGGAGAAGAAGAGGAACCUCGACCGUCAAGCGUUAGAGGCGCGUCGGGCCAAAUCCAGGCAGAGGGGGGAGCCUGAGGAAGAAUCCCCCAAUGAUGACGAUGACGACGACGACGACAG
rnacentral:lncRNA from 1 species